rnacentral:lncRNA from 1 species
UAACUUGCGCUUUUAUGAUGUUGUAGGGACGAUGCCGAUUACUCGCUCCCAAUUUGCCGGGGAGGACAAUGCGGCGAACUUUGAGGAGGUCGAGACCUCCGCUACCUCCGGAUCCAGCGAGGUCCGUGAGUUGAGGGGCCAGCUUGCGGCCCUCAUCAAUUUAGUCACUCAGCACGCGGAGGCGGCUCGACAGCAGACUGAGGCGGCGCGCCGACAGGAGGCGCGUAUGAAGCGCCUGGAGGACUUACUCCUGCAGCAGGCAGCAGCUUUUAGGGAGACGUAGGCCCCUACACCGCCAGCACCCGUUGUGGACGUCGCACCGAGGGCGCCGUCCCCCGCGCCCAGUUCUUCUCGUGCGGCGCCUGCGGCCGCGCCCCGGGAGGAGGUUUUGGCGGCACCACCUGUGCAGAGGCCCCCGGUUGGAGCUGCAUUCCCUACCUUGGUUGAGGGGGCGGAGCAAAACAGACUGAUGGAGCGCCUCAAUGAGUUCAAGAGGUGCAGUUCCCGAGUCUUCGACGGCGAGAAGGUCGACCACUGGAUCGUGGAGAAGUGGUUGAUGCAUAUGGAGAAGCUCUUCCGCAACACCUUCAUGGAGGAGAGGGAUCGAGUUUGGCUCGCCACUCACCACUUGGACGGCGAGGCCUACCGCUGGUGGUUGGAUCUCCAGGAGCACCCCAGCACUGACUUGGCAUCUAUCACUUGGACGAGGUUCAAGGAGCUUCUUUUGGUCCAUUACUUCCCGACCAGCGUCAAGCGGAAGAUGGAGCAGGACCUGCGCAACUUGCGCCACGGCGACCGGACUGUGGCCGAGUACGAGCGGGAGUUUUCUCGGCUUUUGCAUUGCGUGCCUUUCGUCGUGCGGGACGACGAGGACAAGGCCCGCAUUUUCGAGCGAGGAUUGAGGCCGUCCAUCUUUCGGUUCGUGCAAUCCUCUAACCUCCAAACCUACCGGGAGGUGGUGGAUCGCGCGCUUAUUGUGGAGAGCGGCGCAGCGGAUGUCCAGGAGCAGCGAGAGGCUAGGGACACGGGUAAGGCCAAGAGGCCUGCGGCUGAGGGUGCGAGCCAGACGCACUCUAGAAGGCCGCUGAAACAUCCGAGGAGCCAGCAGCGUGGACGCGGCUCAGCAGCGCAUCGAGGAGGAUCCGAUCGUCGCCGGUCUUCCCCGUGUGUGAUCUGCGGUGGUCCUCAUUACCCACCGCAGUGUCCACAGAGGGCGGGCAGGUGCUUCCAGUGUGGCCAGGAGGGCCACGUCCGUACUGAGUGCCCAAGAGGUUCUUCACCAGCACCGUCGACUGCAUCGGCACCGGCUCUACCAACCACCAGCCAGGGGACUCCCUCGGCAUAGUAUCAGCUUGGGCGGCCAUCUGUCCAGCGCCAGAGUGAGGGAUCCCGACAGGUCCCGAGUGGGCGCAUGUACGCCGCUCAGACCGAGGAGGCGGCAACAGCCGAGGAUGUGGUUGUAGGUUUCAUUUUACUUGAUGGCAUUAGAGUUCGUGCUUUAUUUGAUACCGGUGCAUCAUAUUCAUUUAUAGAUCGGCUGUUUGCCGAGUUGCAUGGCAUCCUAUUGGUUUCUUUACUGCAUCUGGGACAUGUUGUAGUACCCAACCAUAUUUUGGAUAUUAGAGAGUAUAGCCCCAGUUGCCCUGUUCGGGUAGGAGAUUGGAUCAUGCCGAUAGAUUUGCUAGCUUUGCGCAAGCUGGGGGAUUUUGACGUGGUCUUGGGCAUGGAUUGGUUGACUAAAUAUUAUGCCACGAUUGAUUGCAAGAAUCGCACUGUUACUUUUAGAGAACCGGGGCAGGCUGAGGUGGUAUUUAGUGGAUGCCAGAGUUCGCUGUUUGCGAUGACGAUCAGUCGAGCUAGGCAGCUGAUUAGUAGAGGUUGUAUAGCCUAUUUGGCUAGUGUUGUACUGAGGGGCGAGGAUGACACUCUCAGGAUUGAGGAUAUCCCGGUGGUGCGGGAGUUUCAGGAUGUAUUUCCAGCUGAGCUUCCGGGUAUGCCUCAUGAUAGGGAGAUUGAGUUCGUGGUAGAUCUCGUUCCAGGGACUGCCCCAAUCUCAAACGCACCCUAUAGGAUGGCACCGGCAGAGCUGAGGGAGCUGAGGGCACAGCUACAGGAUUUGUUGGAUAAAGGCUUUAUUCGACCAAGUGUCUCGCCUUGGGGAGCACAAGUUUUGUUCGUCAAGAAGAAGGACGGAUCACUUCGCCUUUGCAUAGAUUAUCGUGAACUCAAUAAGGUCACGAUCAAGAACAAGUAUCCGUUGCCAAGGAUCGACGACUUGUUUGAUCAGCUUCAGGGAUCGUGUGUGUAUUUCAAGAUAGACUUGCAGUCGGAAUACCACCAAUUGAGAAUCAAGCCUGAGGAUGUAUCGAAGACGGCUUUUAGAAAACGGUAUGGACAUUACGAGUUCACAGUUAUGCCGUUUGGGCUGACUAAUGCCCCGGCAGCUUUUAUGGAUCUAAUGAACCGUGUUUUCAAGCCUUAUCUAGACAGGUUCGUCGUGGUGUUCAUCGAUAACAUUUUGGUCUACUCCCGAAGCGAUAUGGAUCACGAGGAACACUUGAGGAUUGUACUCCAAGUACUUCAAAAAAAGGAGCUUUAUGCUAAGUUGAAGAAAUGUGAAUUUUGGCUUCGGAAGGUAGCUUUUCUUGGACACUUGAUUUCAGGAUCAGGUAUAGCUGUGGAUCCUAAGAAAAUUGAAGCAUUCAAGGAUUGGCCGAGACCGACGAGCGUCACGGAGAUACGGAGUUUUCUGGGAUUGGCCGGUUACUACCGGAGAUUUGUUGAGGGAUUUGCUAAGUUAUCUACUCCCCUCACGAGGCUUACGCAUAAAGGAGUCAAGUUCAUUUGGAAUGAUGCAUGCGAGAAAAGCUUCCUAGAGUUGAAGCAACGAUUAACUACCGCCCCGAUCCUGACCCUACCGGUAGCUGGAUUAGGGUAUGUGGUAUAUAGUGAUGCUUCACUUAAUGGUUUGGGCUGUGUGUUGAUACAGGAUCGCAAGGUGAUCGCGUAUGCUUCUCGCCAACUGAAGGAUUAUGAAAAAGAACUACCCGACACAUGAUUUGGAGUUAGCGGCCGUAGUAUUCGCAUUGAAGCUAUGGCGCCACUAUAUUUAUGGCAAGCGGUGUGAAGUAUACACGGAUCACAAGAGCUUAAAGUACCUGUUUACUCAGAAGGAGUUGAACUUGAGGCAGCGCAGAUGGUUGGAGCUACUCAAGGAUUAUGAUCUUACUAUUCUCUACUACCCGGGCAAGGCUAACGUGAUGGCGGAUGUGCUAAGUAGGAAAUCGAUGAAAAACUUAGCGAUGCAUUUGGUUACCCAACCGCAGUUGAUCGAGCAGAUGAAGCGGUUAGUGUUGGAGGUGGUGACUCCUGACACACCCUUGAGGUUGAUGACCUUGGUAGUGCAACCUACUCUUUUGGACAGAAUCAAAGAAAAGCAAGUUUCCGAUUUGGAAUUGCUCAAGAUUAGAGGUAAAAUGGUUGAAGGUUGCUGUAAUACACUGAACUUUCGCAAAUUGCAGAGUUCGAGUGUGUGGAAUGAUAUGUGGAUUUAUUCUACAUGUUCUAUAUGGCUUGGACAAGUUUUUGAAUAAGUUAGAGAGUGAUUGGAGGGUUAAAAGCGAGAAAGUGCAUUGAACUGGCAAAAUUGAGCCUUUUCUGCUUGCUGUACCGGUACAGCCACUAUGGUGUACCGGUACACAAUGGCAAAACGUGGCAGCAAGGCUAAUUUGGUAAUUUCACCUCUUGUCCCUAUCUACUUGACCCCAGCACGACCCCUGGGACUUGCUGGAGUGUGCUGGAGCUCAGAGGAAGAUUCCUCCAUAUUCUUCUUCUCUCUCUCUAAGAUUUUUCUCUCUCUCUACAAAGAAGUCGCCGUUUUGCACCGUUGUCGUCGCCGAGCUUGCUCUUCUCUGUUGGGGAGUGUCGCUGAGCCUUGGUGGACGUGUGAGGGAGUGUUUUGGAGAGCUUUUCGCAGCCCUGGACCAGUAACUCACUGGUUGCAAGCUUGAGAAGGUAAUCGGCUCACUUUUUCAAUUUUCGGCAAUCUAUUGGACGAGUUAUGUAUAGUUUCGGGAUUGUUGCUUCUAGUUGCCGAAAUCUAAGAAUUUCAGUUUCUAGCUGAAAUUCUGCAUUACACUCCUAGGUCAUAAUAAAAAUCGAAAGUAUCACCUACUAAACAACUCCGAGGUCCCCAAUUAGGCCAAUGUUGAAUUAGGAAGCCUGCGCGACAGAAGUAAUUUCCAAAACCCGCAUCAAAUGCCCGAGUUAAACUUCGUAUAUUCCUACUAGCUUCACAUAGCUAAAUAUUUUCAUUAAAGUUUUCAAAGUAGCUUACCCUGUCUAAGCGUUAAUCUCAGCUAAUUAAUCCAACUUUAAUUGCUGAAAUUCACAACAUUCAGNNNNNNNNNNNNNNNNNNNNNNNNNNNNNNNNNNNNNNNNNNNNNNNNNNNNNNNNNNNNNNNNNNNNNNNNNNNNNNNNNNNNNNNNNNNNNNNNNNNNNNNNNNNNNNNNNNNNNNNNNNNNNNNNNNNNNNNNNNNNNNNNNNNNNNNNNNNNNNNNNNNNNNNNNNNNNNNNNNNNNNNNNNNNNNNNNNNNNNNNNNNNNNNNNNNNNNNNNNNNNNNNNNNNNNNNNNNNNNNNNNNNNNNNNNNNNNNNNNNNNNNNNNNNNNNNNNNNNNNNNNNNNNNNNNNNNNNNNNNNNNNNNNNNNNNNNNNNNNNNNNNNNNNNNNNNNNNNNNNNNNNNNNNNNNNNNNNNNNNNNNNNNNNNNNNNNNNNNNNNNNNNNNNNNNNNNNNNNNNNUACCAUAGAUGUCAGUGAACUAUAAAUGUAGGAAAGCAAAGGUAAGUAAAAAUUUAACUUACUACAAAUGAUAUCUCUACUUACGCAUAAAAUACAUGAGUAUGGAAACAAACUAUUAGCCAUGAAGAAAAGUCUCCAACUAUCAUGCAUGAUGUUCACAAUGUGAAAUAGUAAAGUCCGUUGUCUACUAUUCUAGUUCAAAGUCCAGUAAUACUCUAAGUCCGUAUCUGUCCACAUGUCAUGAUGAAAAUGCUUCAAGUAAAUCUGAAGAGACCCACCCAAGGCUGUCUAUGGCCCUGGACCACCGAAGGCGUCUGCGCCGGGUGCCAGAUCUAAUGGCCCCGUGGGUAGUCAACCAUCCCACCCUAGAAAUGAGCUGGCCCUACCUGGCCAAUCCAUUCGGCGCCCAAUCCGCAGCGCGAAUUAUGAAUCGCGAAUGGCCAUUCUCGGAGUAGUGCGGCUUGUUUUAUUAGGGACGCGACCCUCACAAGAUCGUGCGAAUUGAGCACAAUGGCAAGUAAUCAAACUGAUCAGUGCAUGUACAAAUCCUCUGUUCAGACAUGGUGUUAUAGCAAAUGUCCUCGUGCAAGUCACUAUUUCAUCAUAUCUCAAUAUGGGAAUAUAGUUGUUGUCAAUUGUGCCAUUAUCAAGUAUCUAUGUUGCAGUUUAAUAAUUUCUAGGGCCAAGUGCCUCUUUAUGACCUAUGCGCCUCAUUUUGUUCCCCAACAUGGAUCCUAACAAGUCAAGACUUAUAAUUUCUAAUCAAAAUCGCAAGCAUUGAAACUUAUUUCCUUUCAUCUAUAGAAUAUUGUGCGAUGAUUAUUAACAAGCACAUAUUGUCUCUCUACUAAUAAGUAACUUUCUUAAUUGCAUAACAUAUGAGUUCCAAGCAUUCAAAAUUCGUCAUAAUGCUACAAAAUGAAUAUGCAUGAUUUGAAGAAAUGAAAGCAUUUAACCACUUAGGAGGAAUUUUCCUCAAUUACAGGAAGCCAAACCACCAGUCGUCAACGAAGGCUCUCGUUUGUCACGACGAAGGCGUCCACCACACUCCUAGUACACCUAAAGUUACGAGAACAAGUAGUCAUCUAGUCGAAACGUAAGCGACGCUAGUUUCAAUCAUUGAAGCAUUAUAGGGCUAGGGCGGUUUGAACGAAAAGCUCACCAGAUUUGCGAAAGAAGCUUCACAAUCUCAAAUGGGGCUAAGAGUCCUUCCAAUCGUAACCUUAAACAAAGGUUCUAAACCAUUAAUUUGGUACAUAUCUCUCCUUGUAGCUUUGGGCCUUGUGGUGCAUUCACUGAAGUCAGUAAUUGCCCACUGGGAACUAUUCUUAAUAGUUCUCACGCCCCUGUUUCUAUGUUUCCUUUUCAGAGCCUUCGGCACCGGCGGAGGCACGGGAUCGCGGCAAGGGUGUCGCGUAGCUAGCUCGCGGAGAGUUCUUUUGCCUAGGUGGUUUACUCCUCCAUUUUAUAUUUUGAGAGAGUGUGAGGCUUUUGUACCCUGUAUAGAGAGACCACCGUGUACUCCUUUUAGCACUUGUUAUGGGAUCCCUAUUGUACUUACUUUAUGUUUUAUUUAGUGGAUUUACAGUUUUAACUUUAUCCCUUGUUGUAGCAUUUAGACAUUUAUUAAGCUCUGAUACUCCUAGAUGUCUUCUAUUAAUGCUUUUAUUAUUGUUGUUUUUAGACGCCUUAUAUGUUGUAGACAUAUGGCGGGUCUGGGCACGCGCCGGGCAGGCUUCCGCUGGGUCCCGGGGCGUGACAUGGUUGUACCGGUAUAAGGUUGAUGGUUAUAUCGGUACAGCCACUGGGCUUGUACCGGUACAGAGCCGCUGAGCCCCCCGAACUCGAACCUCGGGUUGAGAUUUUUCGUGGGGCUUGUACCAGUAUAAGGGCCCGUGUACCGGUACAAGGGGGCAUUUUUCGUGCAGUCUGGACUGCAGGGGUGUUUUUGCUUUUGUAGCUCUUCUAUUAGAGCCCCUACGCCCCCUAGGGCUCCUCCUGAGCUUGGAACAACAAGAGAGAAGGUAGGAGAGCCCUCCUCUUCAUCUCUUUCAUUUCCUUGAUUUUGGUUUGGGUUUUUGGUGAUUAAACCCCCUCUUUUGCUCUCUUUUGCUUCUUUUGCUUCUUUGGAGGCUUCUUCACCAAUGGAGCUUGAACUUGAGGCUUGGUGAGGGUUGAUCCUUGAAGUUUGAGAACUUUGAGCUUGGAUUGAAGCUUUUUAGAGGUUGGUAGCCCUCUCUCUCCAUUUAGACUUUGGAUUUGAGGUUUUCUUUGAGUUGAAACCCUAGAUUGUAAACUUAGGGUUAUUUUUCGGCGUUUUUGAUUUAGGGCUUUUGAGGCUCAAUCUCUUAGAUUAGAACCUUCCUCUAGGUUGGUUUGGGAGGGUUUUAGCUCUUAUUUGGGGCUUGAGAAGAGAUUGUUGCUCUUGAGGUGAGUUGGCCCCUUUUUGCUAGAUGGUUAAUGAUUGAGCUAUAGGCUCUUCGUUUCGUUUGGGUAACCCUACUUUUGAUGCUUCUAGGGUACUAGGAAGCUCGUGGACAACUUCGUUCGGCAUAAUGAAGAAGUGGAUUUUGGUGGGUUUGACUUCGUGGAAACGGGGCAAAAUGGCCCUAUACUCUCUAUACUUGUUAUAAAGUAUUUUUAAAUGCAUUUCUAUGCUAAAUGAAAUUUAUGUGAAUUUUAGAACACUUAAAAUGCACGCCUUAUGUGUAAAUUAAAUUUCGCUCUAUAUAGUAGAGCAAUCAGGGUUAUCUUCAUGCAUGUGAGGAGUGUUCGUGUAGACGAAUGGGAUUCUCGUUGAGUAUACUAAAUUAGCUCACAUUUGUAUAAUUGGAAACAUUAUACUAAACUUUGACUUGGUAGCAUAAAGUGUCAUCAAGGGGCCCUUGGGAACUAAUAAACUAUGAAACUGCAACAUAGAGACAUAAUGUUAGGCCAUCGUACAUCUGCUAUAUAUUUCAUGUUAGAGACAUGAUGACAUAAAGAUAGGCCAUUGGGACAAUCGAUACAUUCCAUGUUUUAGACAUGAGGACUUAGUACUUGUGACAGGACAUAUGACUACUUGCCAUUGUGCUCAUUCGCACAUACUUGUGAGGGUCGCUCCCUACAAGCCGGCACUCCGGAGAUAGCCAUCGCGAUUCGUAUUCGCCGUGCGGGAUUGGGCGCCGAAGUGGAUUGCCGUGGGCCAGGCUCAUUCCUAGGGUGGGGAUGAUGACUACCACGGGGCCAUUAGGCUCGGCAUCGGCCAGACAGCCUACGGGUGGGUCUCAGGGCCAUAGACAGCCUUCGGGUGGGUCUCUCCAGAAUUGACUUUGAGUAUUCACUACGACAUGUGGACAGAUGAUGACUUAGUAUAUUGACUAGAAUAGUAAACAAUGACAUCUUUACUAUUUGCUUGAGGACAUCGUAUUGGUUGCAUACUUAUGCUUAUUUAUGUCAUACACAUCCAUGUACAUUCAUGUUAUAGUCGCUUUAUUACUUAUGCAAAUCACGCUAAGAAGAGACAUUAUGCUAUAGUGAGUUACAUUUUACUUACCUUUUACUUUACUACAUUUUUGUCACUGACCUCCUCUUUGUAGCUUUUGGGCCUUGUGGCGCAGUUCACUGAAGUCAGUAAUUGCCCACUGGGAACUAUUUUUAAUAGUUCUCACGCCCUCUUUUUCGUGGUUUCUUUCAGAGCCUUCGGCACCGGCGAAGGCAUAGGAUCGUGGCAAGGGGAUCGCAUAGCUAGCUAGCGAGCAGCGGUUUUUUGCUUAGGUGAUUUACUCUUUCUUUUUGUAGUUUAGAGAGUGAGAGAUUUUGUACCCAUGUAUAGAGACCACCUAUGUAUUUACUUUCAACACUUGUUUUUGGGAUUCCUUUGUACUACUUUAUGUUUUUACUAGUGGAUUUCAGCUUUAUGUUCCUUUCUCUAUUGUAGGACUUAGUCUUAUAGCAUGCUCUGAUACUCCUAGAUAUCUUUUAUUAUUGCUUAUUUCAUUGUUGUUUUUAGACGCCUUAUAUGUUUUAGACGUAUGGCGGGUCUGGGCACGUGCCGAGCGGGCUUCCGCUGGGUCCCGGGGCGUGACAUUAAUAAAGUCACGAUUAAGAAUAAGUAUCCGUUGCCGAGGAUCGACGAUCUAUUUGAUCAGUUACAGGGAUCCAGUGUGUAUUCCAAAAUCGACUUGCAGUCGGGAUAUCACCAGCUAAAGAUCAAGCCUGAGGAUGUAUCAAAGACGGCUUUUAAAACACGGUAUGGACAUUAUGAGUUUACUGUGAUGCCGUUCGGGCUUACUAAUGCCCCGGUAGCUUUUAUGGAUCUAAUGAACCGUAUUUUCAAGCCUUAUCUAGACAGGUUUGUCGUGGUGUUCAUCGACGACAUCUUAGUUUAUUCCCGGAGUGAUGCGGAUCACGAGGAACACUUGAGACUUGUACUUCAAGUGCUUCGGAAAAGGAAGCUCUAUGGUAAGUUGAAGAAGUGUGAAUUUUGGCUUAGAGAGGUGGCGUUUUUAGGCCAUGUGAUUUCAGGAUUAGGCGUAGCCGUGGACCUGAGAAAAAUUGAAGCUAUUAAGGAUUGGCCAAGGCCGACGAGUGUCACGGAGAUUCGGAACUUUAUUGGUUUGGCCAGCUACUACCGACGGUUUGUUGAGGGAUUCGCGAGAUUAUCUACUCCCCUCACGAGGCUCACACAUAAGGGCACCAAGUUUAUUUGGAAUGAUGCGUGUGAAAGGAGCUUCCAAGAGUUGAAGCAGAGAUUGACUACCGCCCCGAUCCUAACCUUGCCAAUUACUGGAGCAGGGUACGUGAUUUAUAGCGAUGCUUCCUUUAAUAGAUUGGGAUGUGUUUUGAUGCAGGACGGGAAGGUGAUCGCGUAUGCUUCUCGCCAACUAAAGGAUUAUGAGAGGAACUAUCCUACUCACGACUUGGAAUUGGCGGCCGUAGUCUUUGCAUUGAAGCUAUGGCGCCACUACUUGUAUGGCGAGCGUUGUGAAGUGUAUACGGAUCACAAGAGCUUAAAGUAUUUAUUCACUCAGAAGGAGUUGAACAUGAGGCAGCGCAGAUGGUUGGAGCUGCUCAAGGAUUAUGACUUGACUAUUCUUUACCACCCAGGCAAGGCUAACGUGGUGGCAGAUGCGCUAAGUAGGAAAUCGACAGAAAACUUAGCGAUGCUUGUGGUUACUCAAUCGCCGUUGAUCGAACAGAUGAAGCGGUUGGAGUUGGAGGUGGUAGCUCCUAAUACACCUUUGAGAUUGAUGACUUUGGUGGUGCAACCUACACUUGUGGAAAGGAUUAAAGAAAAGCAAGUCUCCGACGUGGAGUUGCAAAGUAUUCAAACUAAGAUGAUUGAUGGUUGCAUCAGUGACUUCGCUAUGGACGGUGUGGGAGUGAUGCAUUUCCGCGGACGGAUCUGUGUACCGGCGGAUUUGGAGAUUAAAGAAGACAUUCUUCAAGAAGCACACCGAGCACCGUAUGCUAUACAUCCGGGAGGCACCAAGAUGUACAAGGACUUGAAGUUGAUUUAUUGGUGGCCCGGGAUGAAGAAAGACGUUGGUGAGUUUGUUGCUAGAUGUUUAACUUGCCAACAGGUUAAAGCUGAGCACCGGGUCCCCGCAGGGAAAUUAUAGAGCUUACCGAUUCCGGUGUGGAAAUGGGAGAAGAUCACCAUGGACUUUGUGAUGGGAUUGCCCCGCUCGCAGGCCGGGCAUGAUGCUAUUUGGGUGAUCGUGGAUAGAUUGACGAAAUCGGCACAUUUCAUACCUAUCCACACUACUUGGACUGGUGAGAGACUCGCACAGGUAUAUUUAGAUGAGAUUGUGCGAUUGCACGGGGUACCUACUUCUAUAGUAUCAGAUCGAGACCCCCGUUUGGUAUCUCACUUUUGGAGGAGUUUACAGGAUGCCUUGGGCACGCGCUUGGACUUCAGUAUAGCUUUCCACCCUCAGAGUGAUGGGCAGUCAGAGCGCACUAUACAGACACUUGAGGACAUGCUUCGAGCCUAUGUGAUCGACUUCCAGGGAGGAUGGUUGCAGCAUCUACCAAUGGCAGAGUUUGCUUAUAACAACAGUUAUCAAGCAAGCAUCAAGAUGGCGCCAUUCGAGGCACUUUAUGGACGGAAGUGUAGAUCGCCACUUCAUUGGAGUGAAGUUGGCAAGAGAUUGGCUUUAGGCCCCGAUGUGCUCCAGGAAGUAGAGGACAAGGUUCGCAUUGCUAGUGAGCGACUGUUGACAGCCCAGAGUAGGCAAAAGAGUUAUGCUGAUAGGCGUUGACGAGACUUGGAGUUUCUGAUAGGAGAUCAUGUCUUCUUGAAAGUCUCGCCGACCAGAGGGAUUAGGAGAUUUGAAAUUCGGGGCAAGUUGAGCCCCCGAUUCAUUGGACCGCAUAUGCUAUGCUUGUGGUUUAUUAUGUUUCAUUAUGCUUGUAAUAUACCGAAAAUUCGGAAAAUAAAUGUCGAACUUUAGUCAAAUUGACCAAAGUGCGUGGAUGGUACACUUCGGAAAGUCUGAAGGUGUUACAAUGAGUAAAAGUGCGUUGUGGAAGGUUUUCGAGAGCUAAGAAUAAAAAAUUCUGCAAACUGUAGAUUUUCAGCUCUCGGGGACCGGUCCCCGGUGGGAGAGACCGGUCUCCGAACGCGUGAGAAAUGAGACAGCCGAAAAAUCGGUUAAGUCCCUGAGAAACAGCUCUCGGGAACCGGUCCCUCCCCGAGAGACCGGUCCCCCAGAGAGACUAGUUCCCCCUGAGAGAGACCGGUCGCAUUCCGCGCAACAGCUCUGGCUGCACUGGGAGAGCUCUCUGGGACCGGUCCCUAGUCGGGGAGACCGGUCCCCGAGCCCGAAAUCUACCCAGUCUAGGCAGUGUAAUAAAGUGAAAGUUGAGGGGUUUAAUUGCAUUUUUGCAACCCAUUGAGCUAUUUAUGAGGGCAAAUGAAAUAUUUCUCUCAUUCCACUCCCUCUCACACUCUCAUCUCUCUUUCUCUCUCUAGAAGACAAGAAGGAGAAGAAGAAGAGAAGGAAAAUGAAGGAAAAGGAGAAGAAGAAAGUGGAGAAGAAGAAGGAGUGAAGAAGCUCCCUCUCCCUCAUCUCUAGCUUGAAAAAGGAAAGCUUACAAGGUAAGCUUUGAACCCUAAUCAUGGUAGAACCUAAUCUAGGGUUUAGACUAAGCUAAGAAUGGUUUUUAUAGAAGCUAUUGAGUGUUUGGAGCUCUCUUUUGCUCCCUUUUGAGAUCAACACCAUGAAAUGGUGUGGAGGGAGAAGCUUGAAGGAGAGCUUCAACCUCUCUCAUGGUAGAAUCCAAACUACGGUUUGGAUUGAGUUAAAGAUGGUUUUAAUGGACUUCCUAGAGUAGCAUGAAGCUACUUUUGCUUCCCAAUGAGAUCAAACCUUAGAUUUGAUGUAUGUUAUGGAGCUAGGGAACCCAAAUUGGGGCUUUUGCUCAUGAGGAUUUCUACGUAAAAUUGACCCUCUGGAAACCUAAUUGGGGGUGUUUCCGACGCGUUGGUGUGUUCGGAUUAGCAUUACGAAAGGCCAAUGUAAAGAUAUGAGCAAAGUGGCCUAAUAGGGCUUCGUUUUGCCGCAGGUAAAGAACGAAAGGUCUAGAAAUCCCAAGAAAAUCAUCGGAGCACCUUUGAAAGCCUACGAGGUGGGUAGUGCUUUUCAAACUCGUUGAACUUCCCUCUAUACCUAAUGUGUCAUUCAAUUGAGCAUAUGUUUAUACAUUGUUGCAUGCAUUUUAGGGUAAAGUAAUGAUAAUAAUGUGAUGUUGCAUGAUUAUGAGUACAACUUGCAUAAUGUGAUGGUUGAGAACCUUAAAAAUGUCAAAACCCUAUAUGUGUGCAUGAGGUGAAAUGUGAGAACCAAAGUGAGGUAAAAGAACAGAGUGACACAAUGACAUAGAUCGAGUGGCAUUCGAUAGUGCAAAGUAAAGUGACACUAGAGUUAGUGUGAGGCAAAGAAUCAAUGUGAUGUAAAGAAUAAAGCUAAUGACUAAAGUGAAAACAAAGUGGGGCGUAAAGAACAAAGAUUGCUAGAGUUAGCAAAAGUAAAGAAAUGUAAAGAAUAUGAUUGCUAGAGUUAGCAAGAGUAAUGAAUGGUAAAGAACAAUGAUUGCCAGAGUAGCAACAUAAAGUGAUGUAGAGAACACUAGAGUUAGUGUAAAGUCAAGAUUGAACAUACAAUCCUUUGAGUUAAGGAUUCGAUCAUACUUGCUAUGAGUUCCGUGCUCGAGGGCGGUCGCUCCCCCUCGGGCGAUGCGCUCCGGAGUUUUUGCAUCACGGGUUGGAGUAAACCCGAAGGACGGUCUUAGCGGGAGGAAGCUGAGGGCCCGCGAUGAUGGACUUAAUGUGAAGCAAGUUAAUGUGGCGAAACCCCCGGGUUAGCCUUGAGAUUAAAGAAUAAAGAACAAAGAGUAAAGCAUAAAGAACAAAGACAAAGUGUAAUGUGUAAAGAACCAAAGAACUUGCAUAAUCUGCAAACGGGGGCAUAUUUCCUGCUUUUGUUCAGGCAUAUUAGCAUCAUAAUAUAGAUUGGUUACUAUAUUCAGCUUAUCCGUUCUAUUAUGCCUGAGUUAGUCCUAGUGGGAAAGUCGGUGAUGUUGAGGCCGAACCCACUGGGAACUUUGUUGUAGUUCUCACCCCACUAUUUUUACAGAGCCGGGACCGAGCGAGCCGGCGAGCGACCGAGGUAAAGGUAUCGCGCCUUAGUAAGAGGCCACCAGAGUUGGGUUUACAUUUUGUUAGUAGCUACCCUUUUAUCAUCUUUUGUACUUGAUGACUAGUGAUGUAAAGAAAGAAUGUAAUGUGUAUUUUAAGGUAAAUGUGAUGUAAGAAAGACAUGAUAUAAUGAAUGUAAGAAAUCGAUAAUGUACAAGUUGGAUGCAAUGUAUAUGAUCAAAAAUGAAUCAUAGUACAAGUGAAUGUUUAGUUUCCUUUUUCUUUCACUCGUGGCUAUUGCUUACCCUCGUGUAAGCCGUAAUUGUAUGUUUCCGCUAGUGCACUUCAUUGUUUGAAAAUGUACAUAUGAUGAGCCUUGGACGGACAGGGAAACUCUGUCCGUUCGGCGUCUGUUUGACGUGCUCUGGCCGGCCCAAAUUGAUAUCGGUCUCGGGGCGUGACAAUGCUAUACUAUGUGAACCUCGUUUACAUUUUGAUUUUUGCCUACAUGGUUGCUUACUUUUUUAUUGUGAUAUAUGCUAUGCCUAUGAUUGUGUUAUAUGCUUGUUAAUUAUAUGCAUAUAUUUAGGGGGAGCAUUCUACUCUUUUGCUCUCUACUCAUUUGAUAUUAUAUCACAUUAUUUGUCAUCAUCAAAAAGGGGGAGAUUGUUGGCCUAGUGGCCCUAAUCUUCUAUUAGAUUUUGAUGAUAACAAAUAAUUACGAUUAUUGGACUAAUCUUUUAUCUUGAGUUUUGUGUUUUAGAUCUCUCUAUAUUCAAAAAAGAUUCAAGAUGAGCAAUAUUCUAGCACCAAUCUUCACCUGUAACAUACCACAUCCAUCGUAAAUCAUGCCGAGUUUCGUCGAAAUGAGCGGAACACGGAGUUGAGUGAGUUAAAAUGGACCUUAAACGCAUUAGAGUCCAUAAGUGAAGCUAAAAGGGACCCGAGAGAGAAAAUCAGAAAAUCUGGCUAAGUCCCAGAUUUUGUGCUCUCGGGGACCGGUCCGUGAAGGAGAGACCGGUCCCCGUACGCGUAGCCUGCCAGGAAACCCCGAGGCAUCCGGUCCCUGGUGGUGAGACCGGUCCUUGGGAGACCGAUCCCUGGGGGAGAGACCGGUCCCUCGCUGCGCAGCCAGCCAAAAACCCGAAAAUUUGGUUAAGUCCUGGAAAACCCUCGUUCGGGAACCGGUCCCUGGUCGGGAAGACCGGUCCCCGAAGCCAAAAAAUGCCCAAUCUGGGCAGAUCAAUGGGAAAUAAGUGGAGGGGCUUAAGUUCAAUUAUUACAACACUAUAUAUGGCCCAUUCCCUCUCUUCCACAACCAUUUCUCUCAUCUUCUCUCAUUUCCCCUCUUUCUCUCUCUAGAACUCCCCUAGAACUUGGAGAAGAGGAGGAAGAACUUGGAGAAGAAGGUGGAUUUGGUGCUUUGGAGGUUCUAGGAGCUCUCCAACAAGAAGAACCUUGGUGGAGCUUGGACUAGAGGUAAGUUUUGUGAGGUUUUCCUCUAGGGUUUGGGUUUUGGUUUGGAGAAUUGGAGCUAUGUGCUCCUUAGGGGCUUUAGAGGCUCUUUUGAGCCAUGAAUGCCAUGGUACCCAUGAGAGCUCAAGGUGCUCUCAUGGUGAACCCUUGGAAGUUGUGUUAGGAGCCCUAGGGUUGGUUCCAAAGGUCUAGAAACCUUACUAGGAUGCUCUUUAGAUGAUUCUAAGCUAUUAUUCGCUUAGGGUUGAGAUCGAUUCAUGGGGAAACCCUAAAUGACAUUGUUAAGGCUUGAAAAUUGGGACUUUUGCCCUUAGAUUUUUCGGAGACAAAUUGACCUCGUAGAAACCUAAUUGGGGGUGUCCUAAACGCAUGGGACAACUUCGUUUAGCAUUACGAAAAUGUUUGGGAGUAGUUCAUAUGUAAAGGGCCUAAUUUGGCACCAUUUUGGGUUGCAGAACGCAGAGCCGGCGUUCGUAGCGCUCGGUAGUCACUACAUUCCACACCCACACGAUCAUUAGAGGUGGGGGGUGCACGCCGGAAUCGUUGGAUUCCUUUCUACGUCUAUUUCUCUAUUCUUGAGCAUAUGGUUGUUUAUUCCUUCAUACAUAUUAGGGUUAAUGCACAUGUGAACUUUAGUUGUUUUUAUUAUGUUAUCGCAAGGGUAUUUGAAAAUAGAGAGAAAUGGAACCAUGAUGGACAUGUGUUGUGGAACCCUAGGUAUUGCAUGAUAGUGGGACUUGGACUUAGCACAAGUAAACAAUGGGGACAAUGACAAUAGAGAGAUAGAUUGGCUUAGACAAAUCGAUGUUAAACAUAGAUUUAACUAUAGUGACAUUACGAUGAGAUCGACUAGAAAGUGGCAUGAAAACAUAGGUAGAAAACCUAUCACAAAAGUGGCAAUGUGACAUGUGGCUAAAUAUCCUCAACUUGGGGAUUUGAUCGACACUCAUAAUAAGUCUUGGCUUGAGGGAGGUCGCUCCUUCUCAAGCGGUGUGUUUCCGGAAAUCGACACCACAGGAAGCGAGGUCCCUGAAGACGGUCCCUCGGGUCGGUAGUGCUUGGAGCCUCCCCGGUAAAGAAAGGGAUUUCGGGUUAUGAGUUUUUGGGGUUAACGAGGUUAACCGGUAAGAUUGGGUAAGAGCCAGAGCUUAAUUAUGAUUUGAGCAUGCAUGCAUAUUUCAGUAUGGCAUCGAGUAUAUGUAUCCACUGAUAUUCUUCUGCAGGCAUGGUAUUAGAUGCAUUAAUAAUGGUUAGUUUUCAUUCCUUCAAAUACUUAUGCCUGGAUAGACCUAGUGGGUAAGUCGGCAAGGUCGGAUGCCGAACCCACUGGGAACUUCGUUGUAGUUCUCACACCACUAACCCUACAGGUCCUAGCACGAGCAAGGCGGCGGAGGACCGAGGCAAGGGUAUCGCGCCGUAGAUAGCGGCCACCGGGACUUUAUACAUUUUGUAGUCAUUCCCCUUUUUCUUUUGGUGUACAUGUAUCAACUUCUUUGAUUGAUUUAGAAAUGUAAAGUUGUAGAUAAUUAUGUAAUUUUGGGUGGAUGGCUAAAUGUAAAAAAGAAAUGAUGGUUGAAUGGAAAUGCAAUAGUUUUAUUUACUUGUAUUUGGGUCAAAUGCAAUCAAGUAUCUUGUAUGUUAUAUGAUGUAGCUUAGAGCUUUCGCUUCCGUUGUUGCUUGCCCUCGUGCAAGCCUUGUAUUAUAUAUGCAAAUCUCUUGUUGAUUGCCUAUUUAUACAUGUUGUUAGAGCCUUGGGCGGACAGGGGAGGCCCUGUCCGUUCGGCGUCUGUUGAUGUGACCCGAUCCCGACCAAGUUGGCGGGGAUUGGGGCGUGACAGAUAUAAUGGUAUCAGAGCGAAGUGGAAAGUAAAAGUCUAGGAAUGACCUAGAAACCUUAGGAUGGAGACCAUAGGGACUUAGGAAAACGCUUGACGUGGACUUGGUUUAUGCGAAAGUGAGUGAUUGGGUUAAUGGUAACACUUCUUUAGAAGAAAGUAGAGAUGGACUAGAAGGCGUACUUGUUGUCUACUUAAGGGACUUUGUGGGGCGGCCGACCACAUGACACCAAGAGUGGGAACGAUUAUGCUUGUUGCUUUCGCUUAAUUGGGUAGUUACUUGGAACGCGUGAGAGUCACGUGCCUUGAGUGCUAAUGUGUGUGUGCAUUGCAUUUCAGGACGCGAUGGCACCGCCAAGGAGAGUUACGAGGUCCACACCGGCGGAGCCUCGGGAGGAGCCCGGGCAGUCGGGGUCGGACGAAGUGCGCAAGUUGCGAGCCCAAGUAGCGGCCUUGGCCGGGGCUAUGCGGCUUCGAGGGGAGCAUAUUAGGCAGCUCCACGAGAUGAUGGCGCGACAGGCAGCGGCGGCAUCAGUGCCAAGGGAUCCACCCCCACCGGCUGCUCUUGUAGCACCACCUCCUCCGGUGGCGCAUCGCCAGUGACGGCUAUUCCUGCGACGGCAUCGGGUUCAUCGGCUCCUAUUUUCGAUGUACUUGAGGAUGAGCAGGAGCGUACGUUGGCGGCGCUGACGGCAUUUAAACGAUUCAACCCUUCGACCUUCAACGGUGACGUGAAGGACCCUUGGACGACGGAGAAUUAGCUAGCCGUGAUGGAGGCCUUGUUCGAGGAUAUCUAUACCCUCGAGAAGGAUAAAGUUCAUUUGGCGGCUCAUUGUUUUGAUGGGUCGGCCCGGUUGUGGUGGAAUCAAGCGAGGAAAAAUCGCUCGCUAGGGCACCCUUUUCUUACUUGGGAAGCGUUCCGAGAGAUGCUGCUUAUGGAGUAUUUCCUCGAGAGCAACAAAAGAAAAAUCAAGGAGGAUUUUCGGAAGUUAAGACAAGGAAGCCGAUCAGUGCGGGAGUACGAGAGGGAGUUCACGCACAUGAUUAACUGCGUACCGAACUUGGUUCACGGUGAUAGGGAUCGAGCGGAGGUAUUUGAGCGCGGGUUGCGACCCGAAAUUUUCAAGGUUAUUCAUGCAUUUCGCUUGAAGACCUAUGAGGAAGUGCUUGAUCGCAUGCUUUGGGUAGAGCGCGGGAAUGCCAUCGCGCGUGACGAGCACGAGACUUUUGAGAGAGACAGGGAAAGAGAUAAGACCAAGAAGCGACCGGCUGGUGGAUCUGCGGGGCAAUCAAGUUCUAAGCGACCCCCGCGACCUCCGCGAUCACAGUGGCGGGGAGGUAGGAGUCAGACCCAGAGCCGUGUCGCCUAUCCAUGUGUGAUCUGCGGUGAAGACCACCGGGUUACCUCUUGCGCACAGCGAGAGGGGCGAUGCUAUCGGUGUGGCCAGGCAGGCCACAUUGGCCGAGAGUGCCCGGGCGGCCCGUCCCCAGCCCCGUCAUCAGCUUCAGUUCAAUACACUCAGCGACAGCUGGUGGGACUGCCACCCGCAACAUCGGCUGGUCGAUCGCCGGCGCUUCGUCAGCCGGAGGCUUCUCGAGCACCUAGUGGGCGAAUUUUUACCACUCAGGUGGAGGAGCAGCCGAUCAUUGUUCCCGACGACGUUGUAGCAGGUAUUAUUCUGAUCAGAGGCACUAGAGCUAGAGCUAUAUUUGAUACUGGUGUAUCUCAUUCCUUCAUAUUAGCAUCAUUUGCACAAGCUCAUGACAUAGAGGUCACGCAUAGCGAAGAGUAUUGAUCGGUGAACACUCCCGAGCACUCUUUCGACGUUCACGACGAGUGCUUGGACUGCCUAGUGCAAAUAGGUGAUUGGAUCAUGCCGAUCAACCUUCUAGUGUUAAAGGAAAUGUGGGGCUUCGAGGUAAUCUUGGGGAUCAAUUGGCUCUCUAAGUAUUACGCAGUUAUGGAUUGCGAAAGGAGGGUGAUCACGUUCCAUGAACCCAACCAAGAGGAGUUUGUCUAUCGGGCGUGUAAAGGUAAACGCUUCGCAACCACUAUAUCAACGGUGAGGGUGAAAAGGAUGAUCAAGGGUGGUUGUAAGGCCUACUUGGCGACCAUCGUAGACCCUUGACAGGAGUACCCGAAACUAGAGAGUAUUCGAGUUGUGCGGGAGUAUCCGGAUGUAUUCCCAGCGGAGUUACCGGGAUUGCCUCCGGAUCGGGAAGUCGAGUUUGUCAUUGACUUGAUUCCCGGAGCGGCGCCAAUUUCGAAGGCUCCGUAUAGAAUGGCACCGAUGGAGCUAAAAGAGUUAAAAGCUCAAUUACAAGAUUUGCUCGAUAAAGGCUUCGUGCGCCCGAGCGUGUCCCCAUGGGGAGCUCCAGUGCUAUUUGUAAAGAAGAAAGACGGCACACUUCGACUCUGUGUCGAUUAUCGCGAAUUGAAUAGAGUGACAAUCAAGAACAAAUACCCAUUGCCAAGAAUUGAUGACCUGUUCGAUCAGUUGCAAGGGUCAAGGGUAUAUUCAAAGAUUGAUCUGCAGUCGGGGUAUCAUCAACUGAAGAUACAUCCCAAAGAUGUGCACAAGACAGCGUACCGUAUGCGGUAUGGCCACUAUGAGUUUACGGUCAUGCCAUUCGGGCUCACUAAUGCCCCGGUGGCAUUUAUGGACCUAAUGAAUCGCAAUCUUCCGUUCGCUAUUGGACUGGUGCGUCGUGGUCUUCAUUGACGACGUAUUGGUAUAUUCUCGGACCAAAGAAGAACACGAGGAGCAUCUAAGACUCGUGUUGGAGAUACUCCGGAAGGAAAAGCUUUAUGCAAAACUAAAGAAAUGCGAGUUUUGGCUUUCGGAGGUUACCUUCUUGUCACAUUGUAUCCAGAGAUGGCAUCUCGGUGGACCCAAAGAAAGUUGAGGCGAUUAAAGAUUGGCUUCGCACGACAAGUGUAGCGGAGAUUCGUAGCUUCCUUGGACUUGCGGGCUAUUACCGGCAGUUCGUGGAGGGGUUUGCUAGGAUAACAACUCCACUGACGCGCCUUACGCACAAAGGGGUAAAGUAUGUUUGGAGCCCCGAGUAUGAGCGGAGCUUUGAGGAGCUAAAGAAUAGACUGAUAUCUACUACGGUGCUUGCUUUACCGACGCCGGGAGAGAGUUAUGUCGUAUACAGUGAUGCUUCAUACGUCGGUCUCAGGUGUGUGUUAAUGCAAAACAGCCGAGUCAUAGCUUAUGCUUCGCGCCAGUUGAAUAGUUAUGAAAAGAACUACCCGACUCACGACCUUGAGCUAGCGGCGGUUAUAUUUGCGCUAAAACUGUGGAGGCAUUACCUGUAUGGGGAACAUUGUGAGAUCUACACCGAUCAUAAAAGUCUCAAAUACUUGUUCACCCAGAAGGAGCUGAACUUGCGACAGCGGCGGUGGUUAGAGUUACUUAAAGAUUAUGACGUCACGAUUCUCUACCACCCCGGGAAAGCGAACGUUGUAGCUGAUGCCUUAAGUAGGAAGUCGGCGGAAAAUUUGGCGACGGAGAUUACACCUCAACCGGCUUUGCAAAAGGAGAUGCAGCCGUUUGGACUAGAAGUUGUGGCGCCGGGAGUGCCGGCAACACUCGCCACCUUAGUUGUGCAGCCAACCUUGUUGGAGAAAAUUAAAGAAUUACAAGCGUCGGAUGAAUUUCUCCAAAAGGUGCGGGGCAAAGUUGAGAGCGGUAGUGCCGAUGAUUUUGGCAUUGGAACCGACGGCGCACUACGAUAUCGAGAUCGUUGGUGCGUGCCCAAGGACGACGACCUUCGGAGGGCGAUUAUGCAAGAAGCGCAUCAAUCUCCCUAUAGCAUUCACCCGGGCGGCACCAAAAUGUAUCGAGAUUUGAAAUUGCAUUAUUGGUGGCCGGGCAUGAAGAAAGAUAUAGAAAAGUUCGUGGCGCAAUGUCCACGUGCCAACAAGUGAAGGCGAAGCGUCGAUUUCCGGCGAAAAAUUGCGAAGUCUACCUAUACCUGUGUGGAAAUGGGAAAACAUCGCGAUGGACUUUGUGACAAGUUUGCCAAGGUCACAAGGUGGACAUGACGCGAUUUGGGUAGUUGUGGACCGGUUUACAAAAUCGGCGCAUUUUUUGCCGAUCCACGCUACUUGGUCGGGAGACAAGUUAGCUCAAGUCUAUAUUGACGAGGUGGUGAGACUCCAUGGGGUUCCGGUAUCUAUUGUGUCGGAUCGGGACCCUAGGUUCACAUCUCAUUUUGAAGAGCUUACAAGAUGCAUUAGGCACGCGGCUCGACUUUAGUACGGCAUUCCAUCCUCAAAGUGACGGUCAAUCGGAGAGGACGAUUCAAAUACUUGAGGACAUGCUUCGAGCGUGUGUACUUGAUUGUAAGGGCGGAUGGCACAAUCACUUACCGAUGGCGGAAUUCGCAUACAACAAUAGCUAUCAAGAGAGCAUUGCGAUGGCGCCAUUCGAGGCCCUGUAUGGAAGAAAAUGUCGCUCGCCGAUACAUUGGAGCGAUGUGGGCGAGAAGAUGGUUCUUGGCCCGAAAGUGGUGCGGGAGGCGGAAGAGAAAGUCCGCCUGGCCCGACAAAGAUUGGUGACGGCGCAAUCAAGGCACAAAAGUUAUGCCGACAAGCGGCGAAAGGAUAUUGAGUUCGCGGUAGGAGACCGCGUAUUUCUAAAAGUAUCGCCGAUGUGAGGAGUUAAGCGAUUCGGUGUUCGCGGGAAGCUAAGCCCCGCUACAUCGGACCCUUCGAGAUUCUAGAACGAGUUGGCGUGGUGGCCUAUAAGUUGGCAUUACCACCGAGGCUCGCGGGAGUACAUGAUGUAUUCUAUGUAUCCCAACUUCGCAAAUAUGUGUAUGAUCCAGAUCAUGUUCUCUCGUAUAUACUGAUAGAACUUCAAGAGGAUAUGACAUAUGAGGAGUUCCCGACGCACAUUGUGGAUCGGGAAGUAAGAAAACUACGGAACCGCGAAAUCCCGUAUGUUAAAGUUCAUUGGUGCGAACAUGAUGACCGGGAAGAAACGUGGGAGCUCGAAAGCGAAAUGAGGGAGCGUCAUCUUCACAUUUUCGAGGAUCUAAAGUGAGGUACGGAAUUUAAAUUUCAAACUUAAUAGUUUCGAGGACGAAACUAAAUUUUAGGGGUGGAGAAUGUAACAUACCACAUCCCUCGUAAAUCGUGCCGAGUUCGGUCGAAACGAGCGGAACACGUAGUUGAGUGAGUUAGAAUGGACCCUAAGCGCAUUAGAGUCCAUAAGUGAAGCUAAAAGGGAUCCGAGAGAGAAAAUCAGAAAAUCUGGCUAAGUCCCAGAUUUUGUGCUCUCGGAGACCGAUCCCUGAAGGAGAGACCGGUCCCUGUACGCGUAGCCUGCCAAGAAACCCCGAGGCAUCCGGUCCCUGGUGGUGAGACCGGUCCCUGGGGGAGAGACCGGUCCCUCGCUGUGCAGCCAGCCAAAAAUCCGAAAAUUUGGCUAAGUCCUGGAAAACCCCCGUUCGGGAACCGGUCCCUGGUCGGGGAGACCGGUCCCCGAAGCCAAAAAAUAAGUGGAGGGGCUUAAGUGCAAUUAUUACAACACUAUAUAUGGCCCAUCCCCUCUCUUCAGAUCAAUGGGAAAUAAGUGGAGGGGCUUAAGUGCAAUUAUUACAACACUAUAUAUGGCCCAUCCCCUCUCUUCCACAGCCAUUUCUCUCAUCCUCUCUCAUUUCCCCUCUUUUUCUCUCUAGAACUUCCCUAGAACUUGGAGAAGAAGAGAAAGAACUUGGAGAAGAAGGUGGAUUUGGUGCUUUAGAGGUUCUAGGAGCUCUCCAACAAGAAGAAUCUUGGUGGAGCUUGGACUAGAGGUAAGUUUUGUGAGGUUUUCCUUUAGGCUUUGGGUUUUGGUUUGGAGAAUUGGAGCUAUGUGCUCCUUAGGGGCUUUAGAGGCUCUUUUGAGCCAUGAAUGCCAUGGUACCCAUGAGAGCUCAAGGUGCUCUCAUGGUGAACCCUUGGAAGUUGUGUUAGGAGCCCUAGGGUUGGUUCCAAAGGUCUAGAAAUCUUACUAGGAUGCUCCUUAGAUGAUUCUAAACUAUUAUUCGCUUAGGGUUGAGAUCGAUUCAUGGGGAAACCCUAAAUGACAUUGUUAGGGCUUGAAAAUUGGGAUUUUUGCCCUAGGAUUUUUCGGGGACAAAUUGACCUCGUAGAAAUCUAAUUGGGGGUGUCCUAAACGCGUGAGACAACUCCGUUUAACAUUACGAAAAUGUUUGGGAGUAGUUCAUAUGUAAAGGGCCUAAUUACCAUUUUGGGUUGUAGGACGCGGAGCCGGCGUUCGUAGCGCUUGGGAGUCACCACAUUCUACACCCACACGAUCAUUAGAGUUGGGGGGUGCACGCCGGAAUCGUUGGAUUCCCUUCUAUGUCUAUUUCUCUAUUCUUGAGCAUAUGGUUGUUUAUUCCUUCAUGCAUAUUAGGGUUAAUGCACAUGUGAACUUUGAUUGUUUUCAUUAUGUUAUCGCAAGGGUAUUUGAAAAUAGAGAGAAAUGGAACCAUGAUGGACAUGUGUUGUGGAACCCUAGGUAUUGCAUGAUAGUGGGACUUGGACUUAGCACAAGUAAACAAUGGUGACAAUGACAAUAGAGAAAUAGAUUGGCUUGGACAAAUGGAUGUUAAACAUAGAUUUAACUAUAGUGACAUUACGAUGAGAUCGACUAGAAAGUGGCAUGAAAACACAGGUAGAAAACCUAUCACAAAAGUGGAAAUGUGACAUGUGGCUAAAUAUCCUCAACUUGGGGAUUUGAUCGACACUCAUAAUAAGUCUUUGCUUGAGGGAGGUCGCUCCUCCUCAAGCGGUGUGUUUCCGGAAAUCGACACCACAGGGAGCGAGGUCCCUGAAGACGGUCCCUCGGGUCGGUAGUGCUUGGAGCCUCCCCGGUAAAGAAAGGGAUUUUGGGUUAUGAGUUUUUGGGGUUAAUGAGGUUAACCAGUAAGAUUGAGUAAGAGCCAGCGCUUAAUUAUGAUUUGAGCAUGCAUGCAUAUUUCAUUAUGGCAUCGAGUAUAUGUACCCACUGAUAUUCUUCUACAGGCAUGGUAUUAGAUGCAUUAGUAAUGGUUACUUUUGCUUCCUUGAAAUACUUAUGCCUGGAUAGACCUAGUGGGUAAGUCGGCAAGGUCGGAUGCCGAAUCCACUGGGAACUUCGUUGUAGUUCUCACACCACUAACCCUACAGGUCCUAGCACGAGCGGGGCGGCGGAGGACCGAGGCAAGGCUAUAAUGCCGUAGAUAGGGUCCACCGGGACUUUAUACAUUUUGUAGUCAUUUUCCUUUUUCUUUUGGUGUACAUGUAUCAACUUCUUUGGUUGAUUUAGAAAUGUAAAGUUGUAGACAAUCAUGUAAUUUUGGGUGGAUGGCUAAAUGUAAAAAGAAAAUGAUGGUUGAAUGGAAAUGUAAUAGUUUUAUUUACUUGUAUUUGGUUCAAAUUCAAUCAAGUAUCUUGUAUGUUAUAUGAUGUAGCUUAGAGCUUUCGCUUCCGUUGUUGCUUGCCCUCGUGCAAGCCUUGUAUUAUAUAUGCAAAUCUCUUGUUGAUUGCCUAUUUAUACAUGUUGUUAGAGCCUUGAGCGGACAGGGGAGGCCCUGUCCGUUCGACGUCUGUUGACGUGACCCGAACCCGACCAAAUUUGCGGGGAUUGGGGCGUGACAGACACUUGAAGCUGUGUUUGCAUCCUUUGUCAAAUAGACAAACCAUUCUUAAUUUGAUUAAUAUUUUGCCUUAUGAUUAGAGUGAGAAAUUUUGAGCUAAGUUUAAACUAUUCAUUUUAUCACCUUAUAGAUCACUUAAACAAAUUUCUAAAUUUAUGAUUAGGUGAAAAGGACUUUUAAAUAUUCAAAAAUUGCUCAAAUUCUGUGUUCUGUCAAGUUGAAAUUUCUGGACCCUAUUCUGGGCGCCCUAAAGUGGAUCCGAAUCUUUUGAGACUUUUUGGAUCUUGCCUGUUUGCUGUUCGGGUGAUCCAAAAACUUCUGGGCACCAUUACUUCAAAUUAGGGCAACCAAGGUUAUUUGACUUGACAGGUUGCAUAUCAGCCCAAAAAUUCUGACAGCAGGCGGCGCGCAAUACUGGGCGCCCAGAUUUUAUGGAAGCCCAUAAAUGAUCUUGGUAAGCGGCGCACGCAAUCUGGGCUGUCUGGCAAGAAAGUCAGCACGAUUUUCUGGGCGCCCACAACUUUUGACGGCUCGAAUCCAGAAAAACGGCGCAUGUCAGAAAAGUUGUCCCUCGAGAUCUGGGUGCCCAUAAUUUCUGAUGGCCCAAAUCCAGAGGUGGCGGCGCGUGUCAGAAAAGCUGUUCCUCGUGUUCUGUGCGCCCACAACUUUUGACGGCCCGAACAUACAAAGUCAAGAAAAGCGGCGCACGUGGUCCGACAGGCAGCUGGCGUGCACAACUUCUGGGCGCUCGGAAACAGGUUUAGGGCGCCUGAAAGUACAACCGAUAGAAGCUGCCCGAGGCUGUAAAUAGAUGGUAUUGAGGCCUCUCUCUGCAGCAACUUAGUAAUUCAUUUGAGCUUAAAAAUUUUAGUGAUCUUUAUACUCUUAGCUCUCAAUUCUUUCUCUAAACUUGAGUGAAAUUGGUAGUGAGAUUUAAUCUUGUAAAAAGUGAGAAAAUCAAAGUCUUGAAGCUUGAGAAGAAGGAGUUGAUGUGAAGGCUUGGUGCUUGCCCGCAAAAGCAUCAUCUAGUGGAGAUCCAACAUUCUCGAGUGAUUGAGAAGUUGGCGGGGACGUAGGCAAAGUGCCGAACCUCGAAACAAAUUGAUCGUGUGCUUUUCGAGUUUGCAUUUCUUUUAUUUGCAUCGGUUUUUAAUUUGCUUGAUUAUUUGGAUUUUUAUUUUAGAAACCUAAUUCACCCCCCCUCUUAGGUUGCCAUUUUGAUCCUCAAGUGUUAGACCACCCAUAUGUUUGAGCCCUAGCGUGAUAGGAAGGCUCAUCAUUUAAUUUGAAAUAAAAGUAUUAACUGAAAAGUUGCCCCAGCUAAAGAACAAUUAGUGUCUCUUGUUAUGGCUACAAGUUUAGAUUUUUUGUUCCUAGUUUGACUCCUCCAUUAUCUGGCGUUACGUAAGCUGAGAUACAAAAGAACAUUUAGCUCAUAGUCUUAAAAAUUCAUUGAUCAUGGAUCUAAUAAGAAGGAUGAAGUUUCAAAUCAGAUCAAUAUCUAGAUUCUUAACAUUAUAAGAGAAUUCAAUUUUGUUAAGUAUUUGUAUCGGUAAUAACAACUAUCACUACUCUUGACAUUUUAUAUUUUCCUCUUUCUGUUGUCAAUAGACCUAAAAUUUUGCUCAUUAACUAUUUUAUCUGGUGUUUCCUGGUAGAUUAGAUUCUUUCUUUUGCUAGUACUCAUCAGAAUUCUAUUCCACUUAAACCUGAGCUGGAUUAGAGAAUGAAUUACACUACCCAGCUUAAUAGAACAAGCCAUCAACAAAGAUUGUUCAUCAAUAUAAUGCCUAUAUACUAUGACUGAUCAGAUUUUGAAAAACUACGGUUAUUUACCUGCCCUAAAGUACGCAGCACAUUACACCAAUAAUGAUGAGGAACUUCUUUUCUUAUAAAAAGAAUUUCAGAUUUGAUUGAUUAAGAUAAGAGAUUUGUAAAUCAUUCUAAACUACAUAGAAAAUAAAUUAGGCGUGAGAGAUCCUUACAAGGCCCAUGACAGCAGAAACCACAAUCGCAGCCAAGGCACACUAAUACAGAGAAAAGCAAAUCAACAGUGAGUAGAUAUGUUUCAUGAUUGUGAAAGCAUAUAGGAAAGAGAUUACAUGGAAAAAACAAAAGAAGUAGUAAUAUUUAAUUAGUUCUUCGCUGCUACAAUUUCACAAUUAGUUCCUGCUAUGAAAUGAUGUUAACAGAGGAAUUCAAUUAGAUGUGACGAGGUAAACUAGCAACAUUGAACUAUGAAUUUGAGUAAAGAUAGCGGUAUUACUAAUCAAUCAUAUUAUUGCUUAUUCAAUAGAGAAAUAUUGUUAUUGAAAAUAUGGCCUCAAUAUGAUAGUAAUAGUAUGCAUGAAAAGUUCAUAACUAAUACUAUUGGAUAUGCAGUUUUAAAAGUUAUACCUAAGGUAUGUCACUAAAUAAUGGUGUCAUAAACAUAAGGGCACAACCAAUUAUAAUGCCCAUAGUGAUUCCAGAUAAUCCAGUCUAUGCGCCACUCUCAUGAUUUACAGCUGACCUGGAAAAUGAACCUGCAUAAAAAAUAGUGAGACUCCAUCUCACUAACUCACGCUAGCUCAAACCUAGGCUUAACUAUUUUUAUCUGGAAAUGCAAAGAAUAAAAAGUAAACAUUAGUCAGACCUUGUAAUAUACACAGGAUGAGUAUCUUACCAUUCAAACACAUAGAUUCGUGUAGAGGAACAAUCACAGGUACCAAACAAUAUCAUCAUCGCGCAUGAAUGACUUGACAAAAAAAUUAUUCUUCAACUAGCUUAACAUUACUAAAUGAAUGAUUCAAUCCUCAUGGUCUCACAGGUUACAAUGUCAAGAAAUUUCAGAAGUAGCAAUAAAUCAUUAAGCGAUAAUUUCACAAACAAUUAUUCAAAAUAUAAAUUUGCAAAACAAAUAGCUUUUUCUAAAUGUGUCAUAAUUGAGAUAAGUACCACGAAUUUUCAGCAAAAUAAUUCAAAAAUUAAUUCCAAACCCAUUCAAAAACCGAACAAAAAAUCUAAAAAAACCAAUAGAAUCGGCAAAGGAGCAAAGGGCCUUAUCCUCCCACGCCGCAAUGAAAGCUGUAGUAGCAGACAACGAUGAGGUGAAUAUUCCGGCGAGCGACAGUGAAGGCGGAUGUAACACACUGGACCUGUGCAAAUUGCGAGGUUCGAGUGAUUGGAUGUGUUUUGAGCUUUUCCACGCUUUGUGGAGGAUCAUAGAAGGUGUUCCGACCUAAAAAGUUUGAAUCUUGGAAUUUCUGCUAAGUCCUGAGAGUUUUACUCUCGGGGACCGAUCCCUGCAGGGAAAGACCGGUCCCCCGGCGAGGCAACCGGUCCCUGGCGGAUGAGACUAGUCCCCGAGCGCGUUUUCGCGGGGAGAGACCGGUUCCAUGCGGGGAGAGACCGGUUCCCGAGAACAAGUUUUGUGGGAUGGACCUGAGAGAUCGGUCCCAAGCAGGGAGAGACCGGUCCCUCUGGGCGAAAUCUGCCCAGUCCGGGCUUUGCACAGGUUGCAAAGUUGAGGACUUUUCUGGAUUUUGUUACACUAGAGGGCCUAUAUGGCCAUUUCACUUCCCUUUCUCCCUUAUUUCACCCUCCCACUUGCUUUUAGAGAGAGAAGGAGAAGAAGGAGGAGAAGGAAGGAGAAGGAGAGCUUGUUUGAGGACUUGGAGCUUCACCCUCACCCUCUUUUCUUCCAUUUGAUGGUUUGGAGCUUGCUUUUGGAGCUUCGUGGUGGAUCAAUUUUCAACACUAGAGGAUUUUGAGCUUGGUUUGGAGCUUCCUAGAGGUUAGUUGCUUGUUCCUCCCUUCUAGACCUAGUUUUGGUGGAUUUUGGAAGAUGAAACCCUAGAAUGGAAAACCUAGGUUUUAUUUGGGGCUUUUUGAUUAGAGGCUUUUUGAGCUAAUCUAAUUGGAUUAGAACCUUAGUUUAGGUUGCUUUGGAAGGGAUCUAGCUUUCAUUUGAGCUUUGGAAAGGAAUUUCUACACUAUAGGUGAGAUUUGGCCCUUUUGCUUAGUAGGUUAAUGUUUGAGCUUGUAGUUGAUCGGAAGGUUCGUUUAACCUUUGUUCUUGUGCCUCUAGGGUACUAAGAGGCUAGCGGACACCUUCGUCGGAGCUUACGAAGGGUUGCGCAAGUUUCGGUGGGUUUGACCUAGCUUACAAUAUGAGAGAUGCUCAUAUUUUGUGAUUUAUGCUUCGUAAAGUAGAAAUUCAUGCAUUUUCAUACUAAAUGUAUUUAUUGUGAAUUUUAGAAUGCUUAACAUCCCUAUGUCAUGUAUAAUAAAUUUUCGGACCUCUAUGUAGUAGAGAGUUGCAUGUGAGGCUUAUACUAGCAUUUGGCAUUCUAAUGUUGGACUUGGGACCAUGUUUCUUACAAUGAAAAUGAGUAUUGUUUAGUACUCUUAAACCUAUACAUUUUAGAGACAUGAGAGAUAGCUAAUGCCAUAAAGAGGCAUCGGACUAGACCGUUAUGGAAAAAUUUGGAGCUAAUGUCAUAAAGUGGCAUUGAGCUCGGGUUAUGUGUGAACCUAGUACUAGUGUCAUGAUUGGAACAUAGAAUAUGAAAUGUGCUUAACUUAUAGCAAUGCUUAAGUGUCAUAAAGAGGCACUACGCAAGGUGAGUGUUGGGACAUCAUAUUGGAACAUAGAACUAGACCGUUGGGUGACUAGUGACUAUUACCAAGUUAGAGACAUGAUGAUUGAUUACUUGAGACGAUGACUUUGCUUGCUUGCCAUUUGUGCUCAUUCGCACAUACUUGUCGCUCCCUACAAGCCGGCACUCCGGAAUUGGCCUACGCGACUUAUGUUCGCUCGUGCGGUAUCAAGAAACCUACGGGGUCGGGAGGGAUAGACUCAUUUUCAGAGUGAAAAUGCUGGAGCUACCACCGACACUUAGGCGGCGCAAGCCGGACUACACUCGUGUAGCUCCUAAAACAAGAUUGAGCUUGGACAUAAACUCUUAAACAUAAAUCACUACUAGAUGAAUCAUAGUAGUUGGAUUACUUGGCAUAUUUAUAGUGUGGCUUUGAGAUUUUGGGACAUGUAGUAUACUUGAUAGAAUUGCUUUGCAUCUUAGUAUACUUGGCAGUUAUGAUGAACAUUUCCCCUUGUAUUGGCAUAUUCAAUCAUGAUAGCAUUGAUACACAUCAUUUUUACAUGUAGCAUAGUAGCAUAGCAUUUCAUACAUGCUUUCAAUUCAGCAGCUUAUUAUUGUCUAAUACUAUCGUUACUUACCCCUUUUCUUUGGGCCUAGUAGUGCAUUGUGCUGAGGUCAGUAAUUGCCCACUGGGAACUAUAAAUUAUAGUUCUCACGCCCUUUGUUUCUUGCUUUUAUUUCAGAGCCUUCUACUCCGGGCGAGGCUAGGGACCGAGGAAAGGGAAUCGCCACGAGCUAGCUUGUGAGCGAGGGACGUUCGAUAGGUGGUCCACCUCUUCUUUGUUUUCUUUUUGGGAGAGGAUGAGAGUUGUAUCUUGUAUAGAGACCACCCUUUUUGUAGUGCUUUUGUGACGACUCUUGUACUGACUUUAUCUUUUUCUUUAGCAGUUUACUUUCCCCUUUCUCUACUUGUUGUUAGUUGUUAGCUGUUAGUAGCUCUGAUAUCUCUAGUAACUUUAUUUCUUCUUGCUUCCAUAUCUCUUUUGUUGUAGAUGCCUUAUAUGUGCAGGCAUAUGGCGGGUCUGGGCAUGCACCGGGCGGGCCUAUGCCGGGUCCCGGGGCGUGACAGAUUAAUUUGGUAUCAGAGUCUAGGGUUGAGUCUUAGAGGACCUACUAAACCUUAGGCCGGUUGGACUAUAGGAAAUAGGCUCGUGAGAGACGAGGUCUAUUUGACUUGUAAGCGAAAGUAUUUCAAUUGGGUUUUAUGAUAACUCUAAAAAGUUAGAGUUGAUUGGAGUGUAUGACUUCUAACUUCGCGGAGGGUUACGUUGGCGGCCGACAACGUAAUAUCGGGACUUAGUGGUGAAGAACACUCCUUACUUUCGCAAGAUUUGGGUUUUGUCUACUUUGAGCGGGGAUGCGAUAGCGUGGGUUUUACUAACUUGCACUUUUAUGUUUGUAGUGGCGAUGCCGAUUACACGCUCCCAAUCUACCGGAGCGGAUGAUGCGGCACACCUCGAGGAGGUUGAGACCUCCGCUACUUCCGGAUCUAGCGAGGUCCGCGACUUGAGGUCCCAGCUUGCGGUCCUCACUGAUCUUGUAGCGCAGCAGGCGGCGGCGGCGUAACGACAGGCCGAGGUGGCACAGCGGCAGGAGGCGCGAAUGAAUCACCUGGAGGAUCUCUUGCUACAGCAGGCGGCAGCUUCUAGGGAGACUCAGGUUUCCACACCACCAGCGCCCGUUGUGAACGUUGCGCCGAGGGCGCAAUCCCCCGCGCCCAGUUCUUCGUGUGCCGCGGCCGAGACCGAACCUCGGGAGGAAGUGGUCACAGCACCACCGGUUCAGAUACCUGCGGCGAGGGCAGCUUUCCCUGUGAUAGCUGAGGGAGCCGAGCUGGAUCGGCUCAUGGAUCGCCUCAGUGAGUUCAGGAGGUGCGGUCCGAGGAUCUUUGACGGCGAGAAGGUCGACCACUAGAUUGUUGAGAAGUGGUUGAUGCAUAUGGAGAAGCUUUUUCGAGAUACCUUUGUUGAGGAAAGGGAUAGAGUUUGGCUCGCCACACAUCACUUGGACGGCGAGGCCUAUUGUUGGUGGUUGAAUAUCUAGGACAACCCUAACACUGAUUUGGUAGCAAUUUCUUGGACGAGCUUCAAGGAGCUUCUUCUGGCGCACUACUUCUCUACCAGCGUCAAGAGGAAGAUGGAGAAGGACUUGCGCAGCUUACGCCAGGAGGAGCGGACAGUGGCCGAGUACGAGAGGGAGUUUUCUUGGCUACUCCACUGUGUACCCUUCGUAGUGCGGGACGACGAGGACAAGGUUUGCAUUUUCGAGCAUGGAUUGCGGCCUUCGAUCUUUCGGUUGGUGCAGUCCUCCAACUUCCAAACCUACCGGGAGGUUGUGAACCGCGCCCUCAUCAUGGAGAGCAGCGCGGUGGAGCUUCAGGAGCAUCGCGAGGGCUUGGAGAAGGGGAAGGGCAAGAGGCCUGCGGCUGAGGGUGCGAGCCAGACGCAAUCGCAGAGGCCGCGGAGGCAUCCCAGGAGCCGGAGCUAGUCGCGAGGACGUGGCCAGUCUACUCAGCGAGGAGGACCCGAUCGUCGCCAGGCUCCGUGCUGCGUGAUUUGUGGUGGUCUUCAUUACCUACGACAGUGUUCACGCAGUCGGGGCAGGUGCUACCUGUGUGGCCAGGAGGGCCACUUCCAGUCGGACUGUCCGAGGGGUCCAUCGCCAGCGCCAUCGUCGGCAUCUGCACCAGCUUCACCGGGUCUCAGCCAGGGGACACCUUCUGUACACCAGCAGGCUUGGCGGCCACCUGUGCAGUGGCAGUUGGAGGAGUCACGGCAGCCCCGAGCGGGCGCAUGUACGUGGCCCGGACGGAGGAGGCGGCAGCGGCUGAGAAUGUGGUUGCGGGUAUCAUUUUACUUUAUGGUAUUCGAGUACGUGCAUUAUUUGAUACCUGUGCAUGGCAUUCAUUCUUAGACCGGCUAUUUGCCGAGUUGCAUGGCAUCCCACUCGUUUCUUUGUUGCACCCGGGACGUGUAGUUGUUCCUGACCACUCCUUAAAUAUUAGAGAGAUUUAACCCAGUUGCCCUGUUCAGGUCGGAGAUUGGAUCAUACCCGCGGAUCUAUUUGCAUUGCGCAAACUAGAAGAGUUUGACGUGGUUUUGGGCAUGGAUUGGCUAAUCAAGUACUACGCCACUAUCGAUUGCAUGAAUCGAAUGGUGACGUUCAAAGAGCCGGGGCAGGCAGAGGUUGUGUAUUGAGGAUGCCGGAGUUCGCUGUUUGCGAUGACUAUUAGCUCCUCUCGAGUUAGGCAGUUGAUUAGCAGAGGCUGCAUAGCCUAUUUGGCUGCCAUUGCGUUGCAGGGCGAAGUCGACGCCCCUAGGAUUGAGGACAUCCCCGUCGUGCGGGAGUUUGGAGAUGUGUUUCCAGCAGAGCUACCAGGCAUGCCACUGGAUAGGGAGAUUGAGUUUGUGGUGGAUCUCGUCCCUAGGACUACUCUAAUCUCAAAGGCGCCCUAUAGGAUGACAUCGGCGGAAUUAAAGGAGCUGAAGGCACAGUUGCAAGAUCUUUUGGAUAAGGAUUUUGUGUGUGUCACCUUGGGGAGCACCGGUCUUGUUUGUCAGGAAGAAGGACGGGUCACUUCGCUUGUGUGUGGACUAUCAUGAACUUAAUAAAGUCACGAUCAAGAACAAGUACCCGUUACCGAGGAUCGACGAUCUGUUUGAUCAGCUUCAGGGAUCGAGUGUGUACUCUAAGAUCGACUUGCAGUCGGGGUACCACCAGUUGAAGAUUGCACCCGAUGAUGUAUCGAAGACGGCUUUUAGAACACGGUAUGGACAUUACUAGUUUACGAUUAUGCCGUUUGACCUCACUAACGCUCCGGCAGCUUUUAUGGAUUUAAUGAACCGUGUGUUUAAGCCUUAUUUAGACAGGUUCAUCGUAGUGUUCAUCGACGACAUUUUGGUCUGUCUCGAAGUGAUGCAGAUCAUGAGGAACACUUGAGACUUGUAUUUCAAGUGCUUCGGAAAAAAAACAUUUUGCCAAACUGAAGAAGUGUGAAUUUUAGCUUAGAGAGAUGGCGUUUUUGGGCCAUUUGAUUUUCGGAUCGGGUAUAGCCGUGGAUCCGAGGAAGAUUGAGGCUAUCAGGGAUUGGCUGAGGCUGACGAGUGUUACCGAGAUACGGAGUUUUAUUGGCUUUGGUCGGCUACUACCGACGGUUUGUCGAGGGAUUUGCAAAGCUAUCUACUCCCCUCACGAGGCUCAUGCAUAAAGGCACCAAGUUCAUUUGGAAUGAUGUGUGUGAGAAAAGCUUACAAGAGCUGAAGCGGAGAUUGACUACCACCCCGAUUCUAACCUUACCGAUUGCUGGAGCAUGGUAUGUGAUUUAUAGUAAUACUUCUUUUAAUGGAUUGGGCUGUGUUUUGAUGCAGGACGGGAAAGUGAUCGCGUAUGCAUCUCGCAAACUGAAGGAUUAUGAAAGGAAUUACCCUACUCACGACUUGGAGUUGGCGGCCGUGGUCUUCGCCUUGAAACUAUGGCGCCAUUAUUUGUACGGCGAGCGAUGCGAAGUAUAUCCAGAUCACAAGAACUUAAAGUAUCUAUUCACUCAAAAGGAGUUGAAUUUGAGGCAGCGCAGAUGGUUGGAGCUCCUCAAGAAUUAUGAUUUGACAAUCCUUUACCACCCGGGCAAGGUAACGUGGUGGCGGAUGCGCUAAGUAGGAAAUCGACGGAAAACUUAGCGAUGCUUGUUGCUACUCAACAGCUGUUGAUGGAGCAGAUGAAGCGGUUGGAGUUGGAGGUAGUGGCUCCUGAUACACCUUUGGGUUGAUGACUCUGCGGUGCAACCUACACUUUCGAAAAGGAUUAAAGAAAAACAAACUCACGAUGCGGAGUUGCAGAAGAUUAGAGAUAAAAUGAUUGGAGGUUGCACCGGUGAUUUCACUGAGGACGGUGAUGGAUUGAUGCAUUUUCGCGGACGGAUUUGUGUACCGACAGAAUCGGCACUUAGAGAAGAAAUUCUACAAUAAGCGCACCGAGUGCCGUAUGCUAUACAUCUAGGAGGCACCAAGAUGUAUAAGGACUUAAAGUUGCUCUAUUGGUGGCCCGGGAUGAAAAAGAAUGUUGGCGAGUUUGUUACUAGAUGUCUAACUUGCCAACAGGUUAAAGCUGAGCACCGAGUUCCCGCGGGAAAGUUGCAGAGCUUACCGAUUCCAGUGUGGAAAUGGGAGAAGAUCACCAUGGACUUCGUGACAGGAUUGCCCCGCUCACAGGCUGGGCAUGAUGCUAUUUGGGUGAUCGUGGAUAGGUUAAGGAAGUCGGCGCACUUCAUACCUAUUCAUACUAUUUGGAUCGGGGAGAAGCUCGCACAUGUGUACCCUGAUGAGAUUGUGCGACUUCACAGAGUGCCUACGUCGAUAGUAUCUGAUUGAGACACCCGGUUUGUGUCUCACUUUUGGAGAAGUCUACAAGACGCCCUAGGCACUCGACUGGAUUUCAGUACAGCUUUCCACCCUCAGAGUGACGAGCAGUCAGAGCGCACUAUACAGACUUUAGAGGAUAUAUUCCGGGCAUGUGUGAUAGACUUCCAGGGAGGAUGGUCGCAGCAUCUUCCGAUGGCAGAGUUUGCUUAUAACAACAGUUAUCAAGCAAGCAUCAAGAUGGCACCUUUCGAGACACUCUAUGGACGGAAGUGUAGAUCACCACUUCAUUGGAGUGAAGUUGGCGAGAGAUUGGCUUUAGGCCCAGAUGUGCUCCAGGAAGCUGAGGACAAGGUUCGAAUUGCUCGGGAGCGAUUUUUGAUGGCACAGAGUAGACAAAGGAGCUACGCCGAUUGACGACGGCGAGACUUGGAGUUCCAAGUUGGAGACCAUGUAUUCUUGAAGGUCUCGCCAACUAGACGGAUCAAGAGAUUUGGGAUUCGGGAAAAGUUGAGCCCCUGUUUUAUUGGACCGUAUGAGAUCUUGGAACGUAUAGGUCCGGUAGCAUAUCGACUUGCUCUACCACCGAACCUAUCGGGCGUGCACAACGUCUUUCACGUAUCGGUCCUUCGGAAGUAUGUCUUCGACCCGACUCAUGUGUUGGAUGCUACCCCGUUGGAGUUGCGGGACAAUUUGAGCUUCGAGGAGCAACCCAUGGAGAUCUUGGCUAGCAAGGUGAAGAAACUACGGAAUCGGGACAUUCCGUAUGUAAAGGUGCUUUGGAGAAACCACGGGGAACGGGAGGCCACGUGGGAGCUAGAGAGCGUGCUGCAGGAGCGCUAUCCCCAUCUUUUUCAGAUAGAGUCUUGAGGUAUGCAGUUGCUUUGAGUAUCGCGGACGAAACUCCUUUUUUAGGAGGGGUGAAUAUAACACACUGGACCGUGCAAAUUGUGAGGUCAGAGUGUAUAACACACUGGACCUUUGCAAUUUGCAAGGUUCGAGUGUUUGGACGGUGCCCUGAGUUUUUCCAGACUUUCUGGUGGGUCGUAGACAGUGUCCGACCUAAGGCUCGUGUCCCGAGAAUGGAGGUUUGAAGCUUAGCACCAAAACCCAAAAAAUCGGAUUUUUGGUUAGCUCUCGAGUAGCCUUCAUUGGGCUGUGUACCGGUACAGGGUUGAUGGCUGUACCGGUACAGGGUUGAUGGUUGUACCGGUACAGGAUCGUGUACCGGUACACAGGCAGCUUCCCAGCCAACCCGAGGCUCGGGUUUGGCUAUUUCGUGGGAUGUGUACUGGUACGUGGGCCCGUGUACCGGUACGCAGUGCAGAUUUCUGAGCAGUUCGAACUGCAGGGGUGUUUUUGCAUUGUGGCUUCUCUAUAUUACACCCACGCCCCUUGGAGUGUUCCCUAAGCUAGGGCACAGCCGGAAUAAGGUGAGGAGCCCUCUCCUUCCCCUCUCUUUUGUAUUCUUGCUUUUGGAUUAGAUUUUUUUGAGGGUUAAAUCCUUUCUUUCUCCCUCUUUUUGUUUCUUGGUGGUUUCUCCACCAUGGUUGAAGGUUGAGCUCGGGAUUGGAGCUUGUUGGAGGUGAGAUCUUGUUAUUUAGAGGACUUAGAGCUUGGAUUGAAGCUUCUAAAAGGUAAGCCACUUACUCUUUUCCUUAGAUUUGGUUUUUGUCGAUCUCUAUGAGAUGAAACCCUAGAUUGUGGAUUUAGGGUUUAUUUUUGGGGGUUUUGGACUUGGGGCUUUUUGAUCUAAAUCGAUGGGUUUUGAACUUUGGUUUAGGUUGGAUUUGAAGGGUUAUUACUCUCAUUUGGAGAUUGAGAGAGGAUUUCACCUCACAAUGUGAGUUUUGCCCCUUUUCUUGUAUUGGUUAAUGUUUAACCUAGGAGUUGUUCGUUCGGUUUGUGUGACUCUUCGUUUUGUACCCUUAGGGUCCUAGAAGAGUAGUGGAUACCUUCGUUGGAGCUUACGAAGGAUUUCGUGACGCCGUGGUGGGUUUGGCUUCUUUGAAAUGGGAGGAAAUUCCUCCUAUGUGGUUAAAUGCUUUCAUUUAUUAUAAAUUCAUGCAUAUUCAUGUUUAGUAGCAUUUAUGAGAAUUUUUGAAUGCUUAGAACUCAUAUGUUAUGCAUCAAAAAAAUUUACUCCAUAUAGUAGAGAGAUAUAUAUGCUUUGUUAAUAUGCAUGCGGUGAACAUUCUGUGAGAUGAUAUGAAAUCAAAUUUCUUGCUUCGAAUAUGACUAGAAUUACAAGUUCUUGAACUUAGUAUCCAUGUUGGGACAUAAUGAGCCAUAGUGUCAUGAAGAGGCACUUGGACUAGAAAAUUGUUAAACUGCAAUAUAGAGACUUGAUGAUAGGCCAUUUUGACAUCGACUAUAUUCCAUAUUUUAGAUAUGAUGAAAUAGUGACUUAGCCACGAUGACAUUAGCUACUUUCCAUGUAAGAGACAUGACGAUAUAGUAGCAGGCCUUUGGGGACAUGAGCUAUAUUCCGGGUUUUAGAUCUGAUGAAAUAGUAAUGACCUAUUGGGACCUGGGACACGACGGUUGAGGCAGGCCUUUGGGACAUGUGCUGUAUUCCGGGUUUUAGAUCCGACGCAACAGUGAUGGACCACUGGGACUUGAGGCAGACUUAUUCGCUUGCAUGCCACUGUGCUCUUUCGCACAUACUUGUGAGGGUCGCUCCCCAUAAGUCGACACUCCGGAGAUAGCCAUCGCGACACAAGCUCGCUCGUGCAGGAUUGGGCGCCAAAAUGAGUUGCCGUGGGGGAGGCUCAUUCCUAGGCUAGGGAUGUCGACUACCACAGGGCCAUUGUUGGCACGACGCAGGCCGGACUACCUACGGGUAGCUUCCACAGGGUUGGGUUACUAGUGACCAAUUAUACCUUUGGACAUUGACUAGAAUAGUAAACGUUGACACUUUACUGUUUAGCUUGUGGAUAUUAUGUUGGACUUACUCUCUAAAAUUAUGUCAUAGUAACUUCAUUACUUAUGCCAAGGUAUGCUAAGUAGAAUACAUGAGAUGGUUGCUUAUUACUUGUGCAAUUUCAUGCAAAGUAGAGAUCAUGUGAUAGGUUAUUACUUGUGCAAUUUCAUGCAAAAUAGAGAUCAUGUGAUAGGUUAUUACUUGUGCAAUUUCAUGCAAAGUAGAGAUCAUGUGAUAGAUGUGAUAGGUUAUUACUUGUGCAAUUUCAUGCAAAGUAGAGAUCAUGUGAUGGGUUAUUGUUUACGCUAUUUACAUACUUAUUGUAAUUAUCGUGUAUCUACUUACCCUUUUCACGCUUGGGCCUAGUGGCGCAUUUCACUGAAGUCAGUAAUUGCCCACUGGGAACUAUUAUUUAAUAGUUCUCACGCCCCCUGUUUUAUGGUUUUAUUUCAGAGCCUUCAGCACCGGUGGAGGCACGGGAUCGCGGCAAGAGGAUCGCCUAGCUAGCUAGUGGAGCCAGUUUUGCUCCUAGGUGGUCAUUCUCUCUUUUGGUUUUUGGUGAGAGAGAGUUUGUUACCAUGUAUAGAGACCACCAUUGUACUCCUCUUUGUACUUGUAUUUUGGGUUUCCUUUGUAUUAAGCUAUGUUUUAUUUUAGUAGAUUUCUAGCACUCUUUUACUAUUCCUUGUUGUAGAACCUAGUUACUUUUGCUCUGAUAUCGCUAGAGUUCUUUGUGGCAUAGUUGUAUUUAUUAAAAUUUUGGUAGACGCCUUAUAUGUUUUAGACGUAUGGCGGGUCUGGACACGUGCCGGGUAGGCUUCCGCUGAGCCCUGGGGCGUGAUAGAGUAAUUGGCUGUGUUCCGAGCUUUUUCACGCUUUGUGGAGGGUCGUAGAAGGUGUUCCAACCUAAAAAGUUCGAAUCCUGGAAUUUCUGCUAAGUCCUGAGAGUUUUACUCUCGGGGACCGGUCUCUGCGGGGAGAGACCGGUCCCUGGCGGAUGAGACCGGUCCUCGAGCGCAUUUUCGCGGGGAGAGACCGGUCCCAUGCGGGGAGAGAUCGGUUCUCGAGGGCAAGUUUUGCGGGAUGGACCUGAGAGACCGGUCCUAAGCAGGGAGAUACCGGUCCCUCUGGGCGAAAUUUGCCCAGUCCUGGCUUUGCAUAGGUUGCAAAGUUGAGGGACUUUUUUGAAUUUUGUUACACUAGAGGGCCUAUAUGGCCAUUUCACUACCCUUUCUCCCUCAUUUCACCCUCCCACUUGCUUUUAGAGAGAGAAGGAGAAGAAGAAGGAGCAGGAAGGAGAAGGAGAGCUUGUUUGAGGACUUGGAGCUUCACCCUCACCCUCUCUUCAUCCAUUUGGUGGUUUGGAGCUUGCUUUUGGAGCUUGGUGGUGGAUCAAUCUUCAAUACUAAAGGAUUUUGAGCUUGGUUUGGAGCUUCUUAGAGGUUAGUUGCUUGUUUCUCCCCUCUAUACCUAGUUUUGGUGGAUUUUGAGAGAUAAAAUCCUAGACUGGGAAACCUAGAGUUUAUUUGGAGCUUUUUGAUUAGAGACUUUUUGAGCUAAUCUAAUUAGAUUAGAAUCUUGAUUUAGGUUGCUUUGGAAGGGAUCUAGCUUCCAUUUGAGCUUUGGAAAGGGAUUUCUACACUAUAGGUGAGAUUUUGGUCCUUUUGCUUAGUAGGUUAAUGUUUGAGCUUGUAGUUGAUCGUAAGAUUCGUUUAACCUUUGUUCUUGUGCCUCUAGGGUACUAAUAGGCUAGCGGGCACAUUCGUCGGAGCUUACGAAGGGUUGCACAAGUUUCGGUGGGUUUGACCUAGCCUACAAUAUGAGAAAUGCUCAUAUUUGGUGAUUUAUGAUUCGUAAAGUGGAAAUUCAUGCAUUUUCAUACUAAAUGUAUUUAUUGUGAAUUUUAGAAUGCUUAACAUCCCUAUGUCAUGUAUAAUGAAUUUUCGGACCUCUAUGUAGUAGAGAGUUGCAUGUGAGGCUUAUACUAGCAUUUGGCAUUCUUAUGUUGGACUUGGGACCAUGUUUCUUACAAUAAAAAUGAGCAUUGUUUAGUACUCUUAAACCUAUGCAUUUUAGAGACAUGAGAGAUAGCUAAUGCCAUAAAGAGGCAUCGGACUAGACCGUUAUGGAAAAAUUUGGAGCUAAUGUCAUAAAGCGGCAUUGAGCUCGGGUUAUAUGUGAACUUAGUACUAGUGUCAUGAUUGGAAUAUAGAAUAUGAAAUGUGCUUAACUUAUAGCAAUGCUUAGCAAUUCGCGAAGGUCCAGUGUGUCACACCGUCCUUCGGGGCCACUAUCCCCGUGGUGACCUACUCCGGAGCGCACCGCUUGAGGGGGAGCUACCGCCCUCAAGCCAAGACUUAUCGUGAGUAUUGAUCCGAUUCCCAACUUGGGAACGUAUAGCCACUAGUCAUAAUGCCACUAUCAUAAUCGAUUUUCUACCUAUUUAUUCAUGCCACUUAUGGUUAAACUAUGUUUAACAAUCACUAUCUCAAUGCCAAUCUUGUCUCUAUAGUCAAUGUCACCCUUGUUUACAAAGAUCAAGGUCCAAGUCUCCUAUUCAUACAUCUCUAGGGUUCUAGCAUACAUGUCCAUUAUGGUUCUAUCAUUCUUUAUGUCCAACUACAUUAUAAGCACAUAAAUAAAGUUACACCAAAGUUCACAUGUAAGCAACCAUAAUAUGCAUGAACGACUAUAUACAAUAUGCUCAAAUGAAAAGUGACAUAGAUAUAGAAGGGAAUCCAACGAUUUCAGAAUGCACCCCCGACCACGCGUGGUCGUGUAGGUGUAGAAUGUGACGACUCCCGAACUUUAUGAAAGCCGAUUUCGCACCCUAUAACCAAAAUAGUGCUAUAUUAGGCCUUUUGUACAUGAACUAUACUCAAACAUUUUCGUAACUUCUAACGGAGUUGUCCAACGCGUUUGUUUGACCCCCAAUUAGAUUUCUACGAGGUCAAUUCGCCCUCGAAAAAUUUUAGGGCAAAAGUCCCAAAUUUGAGCCCUAACAAUGCCUUCUAGGGUUUCCUCUUAGAUUGACCUUGUUGCUAAGCAAAAGGUAGCUUAGAAUCAUCUAGGAAAUAUUCUAAUAAAGUUUCUAAGCUUUUAGAACAAUCCCUAGGGUAUCUACCAUGAGCCAUAGUGAUCCACCAUGAGAGCUCCCCAAGAAAACCAUGGAUUUCAUGGUUUCAGGUCAAUAGAGGGUUUCUAGGUUAAUUAGAGGAUCAAAACUCUAAAUCCCAAGGUUUAAAACCAAACCCUAGAGUUUUACAUACUAGAAAACUCACCUUAGCCCAAGUUCCACCAAGCUCCUCCUUGUUGGAGAGCUCCUAGACCCACUAAACCCACCAAAAAUUCACUUCCCAAGCUUCUCCUUCUUCUUCUCCAAGCUCUAGGGCUAGAUUUCUAGAGAGAGAAAGAGAGGAAAAUGAGAGAGAGAGGUGAAGAUGGCUGUGGGAGUGAAGGGCUAGGGCAUAUAUCAUGUUGUAACAUUUGCAACUAGGCCCUCCCAACUUCAAAAUUCUGUGUCAGCCCUUACUGGGCAAUUUUCGCAGUCGGGGACCAGUCUCCGCGACCAGGGACCGGUUCCCGAACGUUUGAUUUCAAGGACUUAGCCGAUUUUUGGGUUUUCUGGCUGGUUGCACAGCGAGGGGCCGGUCUGUCCUUCAGGGACCAGUUCCUCAUGGACCGGUCUCACUGCCAGGGACCGGUUGCCUCAAGGUUCCUGGCAGGCUACCCGUAUGGGGACCGGUCUCUCCUUCAGGGACCGGUCCCCGAGAGCACAAAAUCUGGGACUUAGCCAGAUUUUGGAAUUUCACUCUCUCGGGUCCCUAUAUAACACAUAUAUAGGCUCUAAUGCACUUAGGGCCUAUACAUACUCGUCCCACUCCGCGUUCCUGUAGUAUACUGAACUUUAGCAAAUUGCGAAGUUCGAGUAUGGGGAUGACAUUUAGAAUUACCCUACAUGUUCUAAAAGGUUUAGAGAUGUUUGUGGACGAGUUGGAGAGUCAUCGAACCCUCGGAAGUGAGAAAGUGCUUUGAAAUUGCGAAUUGUGCAUUUUUGCAUUGGUGUACCGGUACAACCCUCAGGCUGUACCGAUACAGAAAGCAGCAGAGGCAGCAGGUGCGUGGCAGUUUGGCUAUUUUGGUCUUUUUGCUGCUUGACCUUAUCUCUACAGGCCAGCUCGACCUCCAGCAGCUGGUUAGGGAUAUUUGAGCUUAGAGAUAAGGAUUUACACCUAUUUUUCACUUUCUCUCUCUAAAUUCUUCUAUUGAAGUGAUAAACUAGUACCUUAGACCUAGUUUCAUUUUCCCUUUUGAUGUUAGCAAGCUGGGAGGGCUUUGGACCUGUGGUAGAGGGAAGGAAAAGGUGUUCUGGAGAAUGCUUUGCAGCCUGAGCACAACCGUGACUGGUUUGAUACAUCAGAAAGGUGAGCUAAUUAACUCUUCAUUGGAUUAAGGCUCUAAGAGGAAAGUUGAGCUUGAUUGUGGAACUUUUUGUUCUCAGCUGGUUGAGGAAGGAAAUUGGUAGUUGUAGCAGGGUAUUUAUGAUACCCUUAAUCAGUUGGAGCUAAGCUAUUAACCUUAGAAGGUAAUUAUCCAAUUCCUUUCUUGUUUGGACAAGUUAGUAGGGUUACUAAUGCAGUUUUGGAAGCUGUUUAGCAGCAGAGUUGCCGCAGGAACCUUAACUCCUGCACUUGAAUUUUGAGGGUUCUUGUAAUACACUGACUCUAGCAAAUUGCGGAGUCCGAGUGUGUGGAAUGAGUUGUGGAACUAUCCUACAUGUUCUAAAUGACUUGGACAAGUUUUUGAACAAGUUUGAGAGUGAUUGGAGGGUUAAAUGUGAGAAAUUGCAUCAACUGGCGAAAAUCAGCCUUUUUCUGCUUGCUGUACCGGUACAGCCAUCACCUUGUACCGGUACANAUGGCAGAGUUUGCUUAUAACAGCAGUUAUCAAGCAAGCAUCAAGAUUGCACCGUUCGAGGCACUCUAUGGACGCAAGUGUUGAUCGCCACUUCAUUGGAGUGAAGUUGGCGAGAGAUUGGCUUUAGGUCCUGAUGUGCUCCAUGAAGCUGAGGACAAGGUUCGCAUCGCUCGGGAGCGGUUAUUGACGGCCCAGAGUAGGCAGAGGAGUUAUGCUGACAGGCGGCGACGAGACUUGGAGUUUCAGGUUGGAGAUCACGUCUUCUUGAAAGUCUCGCUGACUCGAGGAAUUAGACGAUUUGGAAUCCGGGGCAAGUUGAGCCGCCGAUUCAUUGGACCGUUUGAGGUUUUGGAGCGGAUAGGCCCGGUAGCGUAUAGACUUACCCUACCGCCGAACCUAUCGGGUGUGCACAAUGUAUUCCAUGUAUCGGUCCUUCGGAAGUACAUCCACGACCCGGCUAAUGUAUUGGAUGCUACACCUAUGGAGCUGCAGGAGGAUUUGAGCUUUGAGGAGCAACCCUUGAGAAUUUUGGCUCGCGAGGUGAAAAGAUUGCGGAACCGGAAAAUUCCCUACGUGAAGGUGCUUUGGAGCAACCACGACGAGCGCGAGGCCACUUGGGAGUUAGAGAGCGCACUGCGGGAGCGCUAUCCCCAUCUUUUUCAGAUGGAGGCUUGAGGUACUUUGUUUGUUUUGAGUUUCGCGGACGAAACUCCUUUUUAGGAGGGGUGAAUGUAACACACUGGACCUUUGCAAAUUGCGAGGUUCAAGUGUUUGGCUGUGUUCUGAGUUUUUCCAAACUUUCUGGUGGGUCGUUGACUAUGUUCCGACCUAUGGCACGUGUCCUGAGACUUGUGGUACAAAGCCUUGCACCAAAACCCGAAAAAACGGAAUUUAGCUGACUCUCGGAUUGAGUUCUGGCAAGCUUGUACCGGUACAAGGCUGUGCUUGUACCGGUACAAGGUUGAUGGUUGUAUCGGUACAGCCAUCGGAGCUUGUACCGAUACAGAGCCGCAGAACCCAGCAACCCGAGCCUCGGGUUUGGAUUUCGUGGACCUUGUACCGGUACAAGGGCCCGUGUACCGGUACAAGGCGGCAGAUUUUGUGCAGUUCGAAACUGCAAGGGCUUUUUCGCGAUUGUAGCCUCUCUAUAACAGCACCCUCGCCCCUUAAGGCUUUUCUUGUGCUGGAACCACAGGGAAACAAGGUAAGGAGCCCAUCCAUUCCCUCAUUUUGAUUUUCCUUGGUUAUAUUGGAGAUUUUUGAGGAUUAAUGCCUCAUUUUGCUUCUUGUUGCAUUUUGGAGGCUUUUUCCCACCAUUGGAGAGGACUUGGAGCUUUGUUGGAGGCUUGUUGGAGGAAAGAUCUUCCACCCUAUUUGAUUUGGAGCCCAAGUUGAGACUUCUAGAGAGGUUAACAACAUGAUUUGAGCUUUUGAUCCAUGUUUUGCUAAGUUUUUGAGAUGAAAUCCUAGAUUUGAUACUUAGGGCUUAUUUUGGGUAUUUUGAUUCUAGGGCUUUUGGGGCUAAAUUAGUUGGUUUAGAACCUUCCUUGGGCUUGGAUUGGAAGGGCUUUAGCUCUCUUUUGGAGCUUAGGAGAGGAUUUCUACUCUUGAGGUGAGUUUUGGCCCUUUUUGCUUCUAGGUUAAUGUUUGAUAUUUUAAGAUGAUCGUAAUGCCCGUGUAUCUUGUCGCUCAAUACUUUUAGGGUAUUUUGAGACUCGGGGACAACUUUGUUCGGCGAAACGAGGCCCUACGCGACGGUUCCGUAGGUUUGACCUAGGCUACCUAUGAGAAAUCCUCAUAUAUGGUUAUAAAUGUUCCGUAAAUUGGAAAAGCAUGCAUAUUCAUCCUAAUUGUAUUUAUUAUGAUUUUUAGAAUGCUUAAAAUGCAUAUGUUAUAUAUGAUGAAAUUUUGGACUUCUAUGUAGUAGAGAGUUGCUUGGGAGAUCUUUGGUUGCAUUUAGCAUUCGUUAUGAGACUUGGUUUCAUGCUUCUAUAGUAUAAAUGAGUUCGGAUUCAUGCGUUCAAACUUGAGUUUACUUGUGACAUGAAAGAUGACAAGAUUGCUAAUUAGAAGGUAUGUGAACUAGAGAGCUAAUGUCAUCAAGCGGCAUUGAGCUCGGGACAUGUGAGAACCUAGUGGAUAGGGCCAUCGAGGAACAUGCUUAAACAUUAAAUGUCUAAGUGUCAUAAAGGGGCACUAGACCUAGAGAAUGUUGGAACUUCAUUUGUGACUUAGAACUAGAUCUUCGAGAUGCUAGUGACUAUACCAUGUUAGAGACAUGAGGGUUGGAUACUUGAGNNNNNNNNNNNNNNNNNNNNNNNNNNNNNNNNNNNNNNNNNNNNNNNNNNNNNNNNNNNNNNNNNNNNNNNNNNNNNNNNNNNNNNNNNNNNNNNNNNNNNNNNNNNNNNNNNNNNNNNNNNNNNNNNNNNNNNNNNNNNNNNNNNNNNNNNNNNNNNNNNNNNNNNNNNNNNNNNNNNNNNNNNNNNNNNNNNNNNNNNNNNNNNNNNNNNNNNNNNNNNNNNNNNNNNNNNNNNNNNNNNNNNNNNNNNNNNNNNNNNNNNNNNNNNNNNNNNNNNNNNNNNNNNNNNNNNNNNNNNNNNNNNNNNNNNNNNNNNNNNNNNNNNNNNNNNNNNNNNNNNNNNNNNNNNNNNNNNNNNNNNNNNNNNNNNNNNNNNNNNNNNNNNNNNNNNNNNNNNNNNNNNNNNNNNNNNNNNNNNNNNNNNNNNNNNNNNNNNNNNNNNNNNNNNNNNNNNNNNNNNNNNNNNNNNNNNNNNNNNNNNNNNNNNNNNNNNNNNNNNNNNNNNNNNNNNNNNNNNNNNNNNNNNNNNNNNNNNNNNNNNNNNNNNNNNNNNNNNNNNNNNNNNNNNNNNNNNNNNNNNNNNNNNNNNNNNNNNNNNNNNNNNNNNNNNNNNNNNNNNNNNNNNNNNNNNNNNNNNNNNNNNNNNNNNNNNNNNNNNNNNNNNNNNNNNNNNNNNNNNNNNNNNNNNNNNNNNNNNNNNNNNNNNNNNNNNNNNNNNNNNNNNNNNNNNNNNNNNNNNNNNNNNNNNNNNNNNNNNNNNNNNNNNNNNNNNNNNNNNNNNNNNNNNNNNNNNNNNNNNNNNNNNNNNNNNNNNNNNNNNNNNNNNNNNNNNNNNNNNNNNNNNNNNNNNNNNNNNNNNNNNNNNNNNNNNNNNNNNNNNNNNNNNNNNNNNNNNNNNNNNNNNNNNNNNNNNNNNNNNNNNNNNNNNNNNNNNNNNNNNNNNNNNNNNNNNNNNNNNNNNNNNNNNNNNNNNNNNNNNNNNNNNNNNNNNNNNNNNNNNNNNNNNNNNNNNNNNNNNNNNNNNNNNNNNNNNNNNNNNNNNNNNNNNNNNNNNNNNNNNNNNNNNNNNNNNNNNNNNNNNNNNNNNNNNNNNNNNNNNNNNNNNNNNNNNNNNNNNNNNNNNNNNNNNNNNNNNNNNNNNNNNNNNNNNNNNNNNNNNNNNNNNNNNNNNNNNNNNNNNNNNNNNNNNNNNNNNNNNNNNNNNNNNNNNNNNNNNNNNNNNNNNNNNNNNNNNNNNNNNNNNNNNNNNNNNNNNNNNNNNNNNNNNNNNNNNNNNNNNNNNNNNNNNNNNNNNNNNNNNNNNNNNNNNNNNNNNNNNNNNNNNNNNNNNNNNNNNNNNNNNNNNNNNNNNNNNNNNNNNNNNNNNNNNNNNNNNNNNNNNNNNNNNNNNNNNNNNNNNNNNNNNNNNNNNNNNNNNNNNNNNNNNNNNNNNNNNNNNNNNNNNNNNNNNNNNNNNNNNNNNNNNNNNNNNNNNNNNNNNNNNNNNNNNNNNNNNNNNNNNNNNNNNNNNNNNNNNNNNNNNNNNNNNNNNNNNNNNNNNNNNNNNNNNNNNNNNNNNNNNNNNNNNNNNNNNNNNNNNNNNNNNNNNNNNNNNNNNNNNNNNNNNNNNNNNNNNNNNNNNNNNNNNNNNNNNNNNNNNNNNNNNNNNNNNNNNNNNNNNNNNNNNNNNNNNNNNNNNNNNNNNNNNNNNNNNNNNNNNNNNNNGCACCGGCGGAGGCACGGGAUCGCGGCAAGGGGAUCGCUUAGCUAGCUAGCGAGGAGCGGUUCUUUGCCUAGGUGGUUUGCUCUUUCUUUUUGUAGUUGGGAGAGUAAGAGAUUUCUGUAUACAUGUAUAGAGACCACCUAUAUACCUACUUUUAGCACUUGCAAUUGGGAUUUCCUAUUGUAUUUACUUUAUGCCUUAUUUAGUGGAUUUACAGUUUAUCCUUAUCCUUGGUUGUAGCAUUUAGACAUUUAUUAUGCUCUGAUACUUCUAGAUGUCUUUUAUUAUUGCUUUCAUUAUUGUUGUUUUAGACGCCUUAUACGUUUUAGACGUAUGGCGGGUCUGGGCACGUGUCGGGCAGGCUUCCGCUGGGUCCCGGGGCGUGACAGUCGCAUUGCGCGCAGCAGCUCUGGCUGCGCUGGGAGAGCUCUCGGAGACUGGUCCCUAGUCGGGGAGACCGGUCCCCGAGCCCGAAAUCUGCCCAGUCCAGGCAGUUGAAUAAGAUGAAAGUUGAGGGGUUUAUUUGCAUUUUGGCAACCCAAUAGUUAUGUAUUGGGGCCUAAUGAGAUUUUCUCUCAUUUUUACCCUCUCAUCCCCUCUCAUCUCUCUUUCUCUCUCUAGAAGGCAAAGAAGGAGAAGAAGAAGAGAAGGAAAAGAAGGAAAAGAAGAGGAAGAAAAUAGAGAAGAAGAAUAGGAAGUGAAGAAACUCCCUCUCCCUCAUCUCUAGCUUGGAAAGAGAAAGCUUACAAGGUAAGCUUUGAACCCUAAUCAUGCUAAAACCCUAAACUGGGGGCUAUGUGACCUAGAAAUGGUUUUUAUAGAGCAUUUUGAGUUUUUGAAACUUUUCUUUUGCUUCUUUAGAGGUCAAAACCAUGAAAUGGGGGUAAUGGGUAAAGCUUGAAGGUGAGCUUGACCCCUCUCAUGGUAGAAUCCAAACUAUGGUUUGGAUUGAAUUAAAGAUGGUUUAGAUGGACUAUUUAGAGUAUAAUGAAGCUACUUUUGCUUCCCAAUGAGAUCAAACCCUAGGUUUGAUGUAUGCUAUGGAGCUAGAGCACCCAAAUUGGAGCUUUUGCUCAUGAGGGUUCCUAAGUGAAAUUGACCCUCUAAAAACCUAAUUGGGGGUAUUUCCGACUUGUUGAUGCGCUCGGAAUAGCAUUACGAAAAGUGUAUGUAAAGUUAUGGCCAAAUAAGCCUAAUUUGGCUUCGUUAUACCGCAGGUAGUGAACCGGGUAUCUAAAAAUCCCAAGAAAAUCGUCGGAGCACCUUUGGAAGCCUACGAGGUGGGUGGUGCUUCUCAAACUCCUUGAACUUCUCUCUAUGCCUAAUGUGUCAUUCAUUUGAGCAUAUGUAUAUACAUNUUCGAGACAGAUAUUGUACUACUUAUGACUCCUUUUAUUGUCUAGCUUUACUUCUUUACUUUGGUGUAGAUGUUAGAACUAUACUCGCUCUGAUAUCAUUAGUUGCUAGUUAUUUCACUUCUGCUAUUUGUCCUACUACUUGCUUUUACUUCCGCUUUUAGUAUAGACGCCUUAUAUGUGUAGACAUAUGGCGGGUCUGGGCACGCUACCAGGAGGGCCUCCGCCGGUCCCGGGGCGUGACACCGGGUAUGCUUCCACCGAUACCCGGGCGUGACAGAUUAUAGUGGUAUCAGAGCCUAGAGUUAAGUCUUAUUGGACCUAGCGAACCUUAGGCUGGUUGGACUAUAAGAAUAGGCUCGUGAGAGACGAGGUCUAGUUUAGUUUUUAGCGAAAGUACUUUGAUUGGGUAAUUUAUAAACUCCGAAUGGUAGGAGUUGAUUGAAAUAUGCAAUUUCUAACUUUGCGGAGAGCCACGUUGGCGGCCGACAAUGUGACAUCGGAAGUUAGUAUGUUUUACAUUUCAUUACUUUCGCUUGAUUGGGUGGUUAAUAUAAUGAGUAGGGGUUCAAUAGUGUAAGUUCUAUUAAUUUAUGUUUAUUUUUGCUGCAGCUUAAGAUGCCUACUACUCGUUCUAUGGCUACUGGAGCAGCCAAGGCAGCUGAUGCAGAGGAAGUGGAGACCUCCGUUACUUCCGGAUCUAGUGAGGUCCGUGAGUUGCAGGAUCAGCUUGCAGUAUUGACGGAUCUAGUGACACAGCAGGCUGCAGCAGCUCGACAACAGAUGGAUGCCGCGCGCCGACAGGAGGAAAGAAUGAAGAGGUUAGAGGAUUUGCUACUGCGACAGACAACUGAUAGAGAGGGCCCGAGUUCGGUGCCAACAGUACCUGAGAGGGACACGAUUGCGAGGGUACAGUCACCAGCACCAGAUACUUCACCGGCAGCCCCGCGCGCUGAGCACCAACCGGGGACCGUAGUACCACCCCUAGUGCCUGUGGCUGCGACAGGGACAGUGUUACCAGAGAUGGUAGGGGCUGAGGAGUAAGAGCAGAUGAUGGAGCGAUUGAAUGAAUUUCGCCGUUGCAAUCCUCGUGUAUUCGACGGCGAAAAAGGUGAUCAUUGGGUAGUUGAGAAGUGGCUAAUGCACAUGGAAAAGUUAUUUUACGAUACCUUUGUAGAGGAGCGAGACCGAGUCUGGUUUGCGACACACCAUAUGGAUGGCGAGGCCUAUAGGUGGUGGUUAGACAUUCGUGAGGAUCCCUGUACUGAUCUAUCUGCGAUCACUUGAAGAGAUUUAAGGAAUUAUUGUUGACAACCUACUUCCCGCAAAGUGUAAAGAGACAAAUGGAGAGGGAUCUGAGAAAUUUGAGGCAGGAGGAUAGGACAGUGGUUGAGUAUGAGCGAGAGUUUUCUCGACUACUAUAUUGUGUUCCUUUCGUGGUCAAGGAUGACGAGGAUAAGGCCCGUAUCUUUGAGGUGGGUUUGCGACCUGCGAUUUUCAGGUUGGUCCAGGCGUCAAACCUAUCGACUUACAAGGAGGUAGUAAAUCGGGCACUGAUUGUUGAGAAGGGGGCAGAGAUUGUGAAGGAAAGGAAAAUUGUGGAUCGAAAUAAAGGAAAGAGGCCAGGGGUGGAGAGUCGUGGUCAGCAAUCGUUCAGGGGACCGCCAAAGUAUCCGAGAGGCCAGCCAAGUCAGUCGAGGGGACGAGGUUCUUUUGCACCCCGUAGAGCACCUAAGCGUCAUCGACAGUCGCGUUGUGUGAUUUGUAGUGGUCCUCAUUUUCCACCGCAAUGCCCACAACAUGGGGGCAAGUGCUUUCUUUGUGGUCAGGAGGGCCACUUUCGGUCUGAGUGCCCGAGGGCUUCGUCACACGCACCAUCGUCAGCAUCAGCACCUGCAUCUUCAGCUCCGAGUCAGGGGACUCCGUCAGCACAGUACCAAUCGAGACGACCACCCGAACAGCGGCAGUCAGAGAGUUCUCGACAGGGUUCAAGUGGGCAUAUGUAUGCCGCCCAGACUGAGGAGGCCGCGGCAGCAGAAGAGGUUGUAGCAAGUGUUAUUUUGAUUCGUGAUGUUCAUGUUCGUGCAUUAUUCGAUACUGGCGCAUCGCAUUCUUUUAUCGAUCGGCUAUUUGCCGAGUUGCAUAGCAUUUAGUUAGUACCUACUUUGCAUCCGAGACGAGUAAUCAUGCCCGACCAUACCCUGGAUAUUCAUGAGUAUUGCCCUCGCUGCCCAGUUCGGGUAGGUGAUUGGAUUAUGCCAGUGAACUUAUUAGCACUACACAAACUAGGUGAGUUUGAUGUAGUUUUAGGUAUGGACUGGUUGACACAAUACUAUGCUAUUAUAGAUUGCACAAAUCGAACGUUGACCUUUAAGGAACCAUGUCAGCAGGAAGUGGUGUACAGGGGAUGCCAGAGUUCAUUGUUCGCAAUGACAAUUAGUUCUUCGCGAGCACGACAAUUGAUACGGAGGGGUUGCGUGGCCUAUUUGGCUAAUAUCUCUGUCAGUAACGGAGGAGUUACUAGUAUUGAUGAUAUCUCGGUAGUACGGGAAUUUCGUGAUGUGUUUCCAGCUGAAUUACCUGGAAUGCCGCCUAAUAGGGAAGUUGAGUUUGUGAUAGAUCUUGUUCCUGGGACUGCCCCAAUCUCAAAAGCACCCUAUAGGAUGGCACCUGUUGAGUUGAAAGAGCUGAAGGCACAGUUACAGGAUCUUUUGGAUAAAGGUUUUAUUCGACUGAGUGUAUCACCCUGGGGAGCACCGGUGUUAUUCGUUAAGAAGAAAGAUGGAUCCUUUCAAUUGUGCAUGGAUUAUCGGGAAAUUAACAAAGUCACAACCAAGAAUAAGUAUCUACUACCACGAAUUGACGAUUUAUUUGACCAGCUCCAAGGAUCGCAAGUGUACUCCAAGAUUGAUUUACAAUUUGGAUAUCAUCAGUUGAAGAUCAAGCCCAAAGAUGUAUCUAAGACUGCUUUCAGAACAUGGUAUGGUCAUUAUGAAUUCACAGUUAUGCCAUUUGGAUUGACUAAUGCCCCGGCAGCUUUUAUGAAUUUAAUGAAAUGUGUUUUAAGCCCUAUUUGGACAAGUUUGUGGUCGUAUUCAUCGACGAUAUCUUGAUCUAUUCCCAAAGUGACGAGGAGCAUGAAAACCAUUUAAGACUGGUGUUGCAAAUACUUCGAGAAAAGAAACUAUUUGCAAUGUUAACAAAAAAAAAAAGCAAAUUUUGGCUUCGAGAAGUAGCAUUUCUGGGACAUGUAAUUUCAGAAGUCGGGAUAGCUGUGGAUCCAAAGAAGAUUGAAGCAAUUAAGAAUUGGCCUAGGCCGACCAGCAUUACAGAGAUUCGGAGUUACCUUGGUUUGACAGGAUACUACCGAAAGUUUGUAGAAGGAUUUGCGAAGAUGUCAACUCGUCUCACUCGACUCACACAUAAAGGGGCGAAGUUUAUAUGGAAUGAGGUCUGUGAAAUUCGACCUCUUAGAAAUGUUAAUGUGAUAGAAUUACGUAGGAUUUGAAGUGGAGUGCUCCUAGCUAAUCAUGUAUUGAUUACUAGGGCUUUCGGAGAAUUGUGAAGAUCCAUACCCAUAGGUCGAACGUGAAUCGUCGGUUAAUAGGUGGGUUUGACCUCACCAGAGUAAGUGAAUUCCCCUAUGUUCUAUAUGUUACUAUAGGACUAUUAAUUAUAUGCAAUUGAAUUACUUUGGCGGUUUUAUUUGAAGGCAUUGACAAUCAACUCAACUUAAUAUUUAACAGUGAGUGAUUUUGUUAUGUUUUAAUAAAGUAGAGAACAAAUUAUUCGAUUGUGACCUGACCAGUGUUGUAUUAUUAAAAGACAAGUUUACCUUGCGAAUAACACAUGUAAAUUAGCAUCUUUAUUAUGUGGUUAUUGAUCUAGUGGAUACUAGCAUUUCUUAUUGUACAGAGAAUCCGACCUAUUGGCCGAGAGUAAAAAACUUACAUACUUGAUAUAUGAUGAUUGAAGCGGUUGGACUAUGAUUUAUGCUUGCUUGCCAUUGUGCUCAUUCGCACAAGCUUGUGAGGGUCGCGCCUUACAAGCCAACACUCCGGAGUUGGCCUACGCGACAGACUGCUUGCCCAUGCGGGAUUGGGUGCCGAAGUCGAUUGCCGUGGGGAGUGCAUACUACCACGGGGCCAUUAGGCGCGGCGCAAGCUGGACUACCUGGUGUAGGUCCUUAUGAAUUGAACCAAGUUACUAAAAGAUAGUAAUAAAUAAUUACUAUUAUACAGUGUACAGCUACCUUUAAUACGACAUGUUCAAGCUUUAAGUAAUUACUUUACUUGUUUCUACUUGUUUGACAUAGUUGAUAGCAUCAUACAUGUUCAUCGUUAUUUGUUGUUGAAUUAUCUCGCACACAAUAAAUGUUUUUACAUUUAUAAUAGUACAUCAUGAGCCUAGUGGUGUAACUCGCCAAGGCUGGCGGCUUACCCACUGGGAACUAUUGUUUAAUAGUUCUCACGCCCUUUUUAUUAUUGUUUUUACAGAGCCACCUACUACAGGAGAGGCUAGGGAUCGUGGCAAGGGAGUCGCGUCUAGCUAGAUAUAGCUUGGAGCUUGACUAGAUGAUCAUCUUGCUACUCGGGCUACGACCGAGGGUUAUGUACCCGUGUACAGAAAAACUACCAUUGUACAUAUAUUUUGAGUGACCUUGUGAUGUAUUUACGGUUUGUACCUGGGAUGACAGUUUUGGUGUUUCUCUGUGGAAUAGAAGAAUUCGGGACUGUACAGACUUGCACUUUCUUCUGAUAGUGGUAUUAUUGAUUUGUACUUUGCUCUGAUCAUCUUCACUUGUUUAAUAUGAUUUUAUAAACGUCUUAUAUACUACAGGUAUAUGACGGGUCUAUACAUGUACCAGGUAUGCUUCCGCUGAUACCCGGACGUGACAGUUCCGCUCAUUCCGACGGAACUCGGCACGAUUUACGCGGAAUGUGGUAUGUUACAUUCUCCACCCCCUAAAUUUAGUUUCGUCCGCGAAACUACUUAUCUACUAAUCGAGAUUCACCUCAACGCAGUUCCUCGAAGAGAUCAGGGUAACGCUCCUUCAUCACGUCCUCAAGCUCCCAAGUCUCUUCUCGGUCGCCGUGCUCGCACCAAUGAAUUUUAACAUACGGGAUUUCGCGGUUCCGUAGUUUCCUCACUUCUCGAUCGACGAUAUAAGCCAGGGACUCCUCAUAAGUCAUGUCCUCUUGAAGCUCCAUCGGUACAUAUGCGAGAACAUGCUCGGGGUCGUAAACAUACUUGCGGAGUUGAGAUACAUAGAAUACAUCGUGCACUCCCGCAAGCCUCGGUGGUAAUGCUAACUUAUAAGCCAUCGCGCCAAUCCGUUCUAGAAUCUCAAAGGAUCCGAUAUAGCGGGGACUUAGCUUCCCUCGAACACAGAAUCGCUUGACUCCUCGCAUAGGCGUCACCUUUAGAAAUACGCGGUCUCCAACAGUGAACUCGAUAUCUUUCCUUCGCUUGUUGGCAUAACUUUUGUGCCUCGAUUGCGCCGUUGCUAACCUUUGUCGGGCAAGGCGAACUUUCUCCUCCGCCUCACGCACAACAUCUGGGCCAAGAACAGUCCUCUCGCCCACAUUGCUCCAAUGAAUCAGCGAGCGACACUUUCUUCCAUAGAGGGCCUCGAAUGACGCCAUCGCAAUACUUUCUUGAUAGCUAUUGUUGUAUGCGAAUUCCGCCAUUGGUGAAUGAUCGUGCUAUUCGCCCUUAUAGUCAAGUACACACGCCCGAAGCAUAUCCUCAAGUAUUUGAAUAGUUCUCUCUGAUUGACAGUCACUUUGAGGAUGAAAUGCCGUGCUAAAGUCGAGCCGUGUGCCUAACACGUCUUGCAAGCUCCUUCAAAAAUGAGAUGUAAACCGCGGAUCCCGAUCCGACACAAUGGAUACCAGUACCCCGUGUAAUCUCACCACCUCGUCAAUAUAAACUUGAGCGAGCUUGUCUCCCGUCCAGGUAGUGUGGAUCGGCAAAAAGUGUACCGAUUUUGUCAACCGGUCCACAACUACCCAAAUCGCGUCAUGUCCACCUUGUGAUCUAGGCAAACCUGUCACAAAGUCCAUUGCGAUGUUUUUCCACUUCCACAAGAGUAUAGGUAGACUUUGCAACUUCCCCGCCGGAAAUCGACAUUCUGCCUUAACUAGUUGGCACGUGAGACAUUGCGCCACAAACUCUCCUAUAUCUUUCUUCAUGCCCGGCUAUCAAUAAUGUAGCUUCAAAUCUCGAUACAUUUUAGUGCCGCCCGGGUGAAUACUAUAAGGAGAUUGAUGAGCUUCUUGCAUAACCACCCUUCUAAGUUCGUCGUUCUUGGGCACACACCAACGGUUUCGAAAUAGUAGUGUGCCAUCGGUUCCAAUGCUAAACUCAUUAGUAUUACCAUUCUCAACUUUGCUCCACACUUUUUGGAGAAAUUCAUCAGACGCUUGCAAUUCUUUAAUCUUCUCCAAUAAGGUUGGUUGCACUAUCAAUGUGGCUAACGUUGCCGGCACACCCGGCGCCACAACCUCAAGACCAAACCGAUGCAUUUCUUUUUGCAAAGCCGAUUGAGGUGUAUCGGCCGUCGCCAAAUUUUUCGCCGACUUUCUACUUAAAGCAUCGGCUACGACAUUUGCCUUCCCGGGGUGGUCUAGGAUAGUGACGUCAUAGUCUUUAAGCAACUCCAACCAUCGCCGCUGUCGCAAAUUCAGUUCCUUCUGGGUGAACAGGUAUUUGAGACUCUUAUGAUCGGUGUAGAUCUCGCAAUGCUCACCAUACAAGUAAUGCCUCCACAAUUUUAGCGCGAAGACAACCGCCGCUAGCUCAAGAUCGUGGGUCGGGUAGUUCUUUUCAUAUGUCUUCAACUAGCGUGAAGCAUAUGCUAUAACUCGGCCCUUUUGCAUCAAGACACACACGAGACCAAUGUACGAAGCAUCACUAUAUACGACAUAACUCUCCCCCAGUGUCGGCAAGGCAAGCACCAGAGUAGAUGUCAACCUAUUCUUUAGCUCCUCAAAGCUUAGCUCACACUCGGGGCUCCAAACAUACUUCACCCCUUUGUGCGUAAGGCGUGUUAGUGGAGUUGUUAUCCUAGCAAACCCUUCCACGAACCGCCGGUAGUAGCCCGCAAGUCCAAGGAAGCUAUGAAUUUCCACCACACUUGUCGGGCGAGGCCAAUCUUUAAUCGCCUCAACUUUCUUUGGGUCCACCGAGAUGCCUUCACUGGAUAUAACGUGACCCAAGAAGGUAAUCUCCGAAAGCCAAAACUCACACUUCUUGAGUUUUGCAUACAGCUUUUCCUUCCGGAGUAUAUCCAACACAAGCCUUAAAUGCUCAUCGUGUUCUUCCUUCGUCCGAGAAUAUACCAAUACGUCGUCAAUGAAAACCACGACGUACCAGUCCAAUAGCGGACGGAAGACUCGAUUCAUCAAGUCCAUAAAGGCUGCCGGGGCAUUGGUAAGCCCAAACGACAUCACCAUGAACUCAUAGUGGCCAUAUCGCGUACGGUACGCUGUUUUGUGCACAUCCUUGGGCCGUAUCUUCAAUUGAUGAUACCCCGACUGAAGAUCAUUCUUAGAAUAUACCCUUGACCCUUGCAACUGAUCGAAUAGAUCGUCAAUCCUUGACAAUGGGUAUUUAUUCUUAAUCGUCACCUUGUUCAACUCACGAUAAUCAACGCAAAGUCAAAGAGUGCCGUCUUUCUUCUUCACAAAUAGCACCGGAGCUCCCCACGGAGACACACUCGGCCGCACGAAGCCUUUAUCGAGCAAGUCUUAUAACUGGGCUUUUAGCUCCUUUAACUCUACCGAUGCCAUUCUAUACGGAGCCUUCGAAACCGGCGCCGCCCCAGGAAUCAAGUCAAUGACAAAUUCGACUUCCCGGUCCGGUGGCAAUCCCGGUAACUCCACCGGAAAUACAUCCGGAUACUCGCAUACCACCCGAGUACUUUCCAACUCCGGGUGCUCCUUUUGAGGGUCCACGAUAGUCGCCAAGUAGGCCUUGCAACCACCCUUAAUCAUUUUCUUUGCCCUCACCAAUGAUAUGGUCGCCGCAAAAUGCGCACCAUUACACGCCUUAUAAACCAUCUCCUCUUGGUUAGGCUCACGGAAAGUGAUCACCUUCCUUUUGCAAUUGAUAACCGCGUAAUACUUGGAGAGCCAGUUGGUAACCAAGAUUACGUCAAACCCCACAGAUGCUUCAACACUAAUAGGUUGAUCGACAUGACCCAAUCGCCUAUCUGCACUGGGCAGUCCAAAUACUCGUCAUGCACAUGAAACGUAAGUCCAGGUGCUGUCACCGUCCAAUAAUCCUCAUAAUGCGUGACCUCUAUGUCAUGAGCUAGUGCAAAUGAUGCUGUUAUGAAUGAUUGAGNCUCCAACCCUAGCUUGAGGAGCUUAAUGAUUGAGCUAUUUGCUCUUCGUUUCGUUUGGGUGACCCUAUUUUUGAUGUUUCUAGGGUACCAGGGAGCUUGUGGAUACCUUCGUUCGGCGAAACGAAGAAGUUGAUUUUGGUGGGUUUGACUUCAUGAAAAUGGGGCAAAAUGGCUCCUAUGCCUUCUAACCCUUUUGUAAAGUAUUUUUGAAUGCAAAUUUAUGCUAAACAUGAUUUAUAUGAAUUUUAGAACACUUAACAUGCAUGCCUCAGGUAUCGUAAAAUUUGUACUCCAUAUAGUAGAGCUAUAUGUGUAGAUUGCAUGCAUUGUGGAUAGUGCUUGGUUUCGCAAGUUGAGAACAUGUCUCCAUGCUAGAAUUGAGUGAACUAUGCAUCAUGAACAUAUUAAUGCCAUGCUUGGGACUCGUUGAACAAAAGUGUCAUAAAGGGGCACUUAGGAUUAGUAAACUAUGAAACUGCAACAUAGAGACAUAUCGAUAGGCCACUAUUUAUCCGCUACAUUCCAUGUUAGAGACAUGAUGACAUAGGGAUAGGUCAUUGGGAUACUUGACACAUUCCAUGCUAUUAGACAUGAGGAUUUGAUACUUGCGAUAGAUCGUUUGACUACUUGCCAUUGUGCUUAUUCGCACAUGCUUGUGAGGGUCGCUCCCUACAAGCCGGCACUCCGGAGAUAGCCAUCGCGAUUCGUAUUCACCGUGCGGGAUUGGGCGCCGAAAUGGAUCGCCGUGGGACAGGCUCAUUUCUAGGGUGGGAAUGAUGACUACCACGGGGCCAUUAGGCUCGGCACUGGCCAGACAGCCUACGGGUGGGUCUCAGGGCCAUAGACAGCCUUCGGGUGGGUCUCUUCAGAUUUGACUUUGAGUAUUCAUUAUGACAUGUGGACAGAUGAUGACUUAGUGUACUACUUGGACAUUGGCUAGAAUAGUAAACAACGGAGCUUCACUAUUCGCAUUGUGAACAUUAUGAUAGUUAGAGACUUUUACUUCAUGCAUAGUUGCUUCAUACUUAUGCUAUUUAUGCUAAGUAGAGAUAUCAUGUUGUAGUAAGUUACAUUUUACUUACCUUUCGCUUUUCUACAUUUAUAGUUACUGACAUCUUUUGUAGCUUUGGGCCUUGUGGUGCAAUCACUGAAGUCAGUAAUUGCCCACUGGGAACUAUUUUUAAUAGUUCUCACGCCCCUGUUUUAUGGUUUNGCGUAAGGCGUGUUAGUGGAGUUGUUAUCCUAGCAAACCCUUCCACGAACCGCCGGUAGUAGCCCGCAAGUCCAAGGAAGCUAUGAAUUUCCACCACACUUGUCGGGCGAGGCCAAUCUUUAAUCGCCUCAACUUUCUUUGGGUCCACCGAGAUGCCUUCACUGGAUAUAACGUGACCCAAGAAGGUAAUCUCCGAAAGCCAAAACUCACACUUCUUGAGUUUUGCAUACAGCUUUUCCUUCCGGAGUAUAUCCAACACAAGCCUUAAAUGCUCAUCGUGUUCUUCCUUCGUCCGAGAAUAUACCAAUACGUCGUCAAUGAAAACCACGACGUACCAGUCCAAUAGCGGACGGAAGACUCGAUUCAUCAAGUCCAUAAAGGCUGCCGGGGCAUUGGUAAGCCCAAACGACAUCACCAUGAACUCAUAGUGGCCAUAUCGCGUACGGUACGCUGUUUUGUGCACAUCCUUGGGCCGUAUCUUCAAUUGAUGAUACCCCGACUGAAGAUCAUUCUUAGAAUAUACCCUUGACCCUUGCAACUGAUCGAAUAGAUCGUCAAUCCUUGACAAUGGGUAUUUAUUCUUAAUCGUCACCUUGUUCAACUCGCGAUAAUCAACGCAAAGUUGAAGAGUGUCGUCUUUCUUCUUCACAAAUAGCACCGGAGCUCCCCACGGAGACACACUCGGCCGCACGAAGCCUUUAUCGAGCAAGUCUUGCAACUGGGCUUUUAGCUCCUUUAACUCUACCGAUGCCAUUCUAUACGGAGCCUUCGAAACCGGCGCCGCCCCAGGAAUCAAGUCAAUGACAAAUUCGACUUCCCGGUCCGGUGGCAAUCCCGGUAACUCCACCGGAAAUACAUCCGGAUACUCGCAUACCACCCGAGUACUUUCCAAUUCCGGGUGCUCCUUUUGAGGGUCCACGAUAGUCGCCAAGUAGGCCUUGCAACCACCCUUAAUCAUUUUCUUUGCCCUCACCAAUGAUAUGGUCGCCGCAAAAUGCGCACCAUUACACGCCUUAUAAACCAUCUCCUCUUGGUUAGGCUCACGGAAAGUGAUCACCUUCCUUUUGCAAUUGAUAACCGCGUAAUACUUGGAGAGCCAGUUGGUAACCAAGAUUACGUCAAACCCCACAGAUGCUUCAACACUAAUAGGUUGAUCGACAUGACCCAAUCGCCUAUCUGCACUGGGCAGUCCAAAUACUCGUCAUGCACAUGAAACGUAAGUCCAGGUGCUGUCACCGUCCAAUAAUCCUCAUAAUGCGUGACCUCUAUGUCAUGAGCUAGUGCAAAUGAUGCUGUUAUGAAUGAUUGAGAUGCACCUGUGUCAAAUAUGGCUCUAGCCCUAGUGCCUCUGAUAAGGAUAAUACCUGCCACGACGUCGUCGAGAACGGUAAUCGGCGGCUCCUCCACCUGAGUGGCAAAUACCCGCCCACUAGGUGCUCGAGAGGCCUCCGGCUGACGAGGCACCGACGAUCGUCCAGCAGACGUAGCGGGUGGUAGUCCCGCCAGCUGUCGCUGAGUGUACUAAACUAAAGCUGAUGACGGAGCUGGAGAUGCGCCGCCCGGGCACUCUCGGCCUAUAUGUCCCGGUUGGCCGCAUCGGUAACACCGCCCCUCCCGCUGUAGGCAAGUAGUAACUCGGUGGUCUCCGCCACAUAUCACGCACGGGUAGGUAGUCUGGCUCUGAGACUGAUUCCUGCCUCCCCGCCACUACGAUCACUGUUGCCACAGGGGUCGCUUAGAACUCGACUGCCCCGGAGAUCCACUAGACGUCCGCUUCUUGGACUUGUCCUUUUUCCUAUCCUUCUCAAAUGCCUCGCGCUCGUCUCACGCAAUGGCAUUGCCGCACUCCACCCAAAAUGCGCGAUCAAGCACUUCCUCGUAGGUCUUUAACCGGAAGGCGUGAAUGACCUUGAAAAUCUCGGGUCGCUACCCGCGCUCGAAUGCCUCCGCCCGGUCCCUAUCGCCAUAAACCAAGCUCGACACGCAAUUGACGAGGUGCGUGAACUCCCGUUCAUACUCCCGCACCAUGCGACUUCCUUGCCUUAGCUUCCGAAAAUCCUCCUUGAUUUUUCUUUUGUCACUCUCGAAAAAAUACUCCAUAAGUAGCAUCUCCCGAAACGUCUCCCAAGUAAUAGAAGUGUGCUCCAACGAAUGAUUCUUCUUUGCCCGAGUCCACCACAACGGUGCAGACUCGUCGAAACAAUGAGCCACAAGGUGAACUUUAUCCUUCUCGAGGGUGUAGAUAUCCUCGAACAAGGCCUCCAUCGCGGCUAGCCAACUCUCCGUCACCCACAGGUCCUUCACAUCGCCGUUGAAGGUCAGAGGGUUGAAUCGCUUGAAUGCCGUCAACGCCGCCAACAUGCGCUCCUGCUCGGCCUCAAGUACAUCAGGAAUAGAAGCCGAUGAACCCGAUGCCGUCGGAGGAAUAGCCGUCACCGGUGCUGCCGCCACCGCAGGAGGUGGUGCUACAGGAGCAGCAGGUGCGGGCGGAUCCCUCGGCACAAAUACCGCCGCUGCCGCCUGUCGCGCCAUCAUCUCGUGGAGCUGUCCAAUCUGCUCCCCUUGUAGCUGCAUAGCCCCGGCCAAUGCCGCUACUUGGGCUCGGAGCUCGCGCACUUCAUCCGAUCCCGUCUGCUCGGGCACUUCAUCAAGCAGUGUCGAAGCGACUCUAUGUGUGUAGCGUCUGAAACGCAGCACACGCAUUAGUACUCAACACACGUGAUUCUUACACGUUCCAAAUAACUACCCAAUUAAGCGAAAGCAACCAAACAUAAUUAUUUCCAACUCUCGGUGUUAUGUGGUCGGCCUCCCCACAAAGUCCCUUAAGUAGACAACAAUUAAGCCUUCUAAUCUAUCUCUACUUCCUUCUAGAGAAGUGUUAUCGUUAACCCAAUCAUUCGCUUUCGCAUAAGCCAAAUCCACGUUAAACGUUUCCUAACCUCCUAAGGUCUCCAAUUCCUAGGGUUCCUAGGUCAUUCCUAUACGUUUGCUUUCAACUUUGCUCUGAUACCAUUAUAUCUGUCACGCCCCAAUCCCCGCCAAUUUGAUCAGGUUCGGGUCACGUCAAAAGACGCCAAAUGGACAGAGCCUCCCCUGUCCGCCCAAGGCUCAAAACAUGUAUAAUAAAGCAAUCAAACAAUGAGAUUAACAUUUAUACAAGGCUUGCACGAGGGCAAGCAACAACGAAAGCAAAAGCUCUAAGCUAAUAUAUUCAACCAUACAUAAUACUUGAUUACAUUUGAACCAAAUAAAAAUAAAUUGAACUAUCACAUUUCUUUCGCAAUCUUUCAUGAUUCUUUACAUUUAGCCAUUCACCAAAAUUACAUAUUUGAUAUCAACUUUACAACUUUCUAAAUCAACAAAAGAAGUUGAUACAUGUAAACCAAAAGGGGAAUGACUACAAAAUAUGAAAUAGUCCCGGUGGCCGCUAUCUACGGCGCUAGACCCUUGCCUCGGUCCUCCGCCGCCCCGCUCGUGCUAGGACCUGUAGGGUUAGUAGUGUGAAAACUACAACUAAGUUCCCAGUGAGUUCAACAACCGACCUCGCCGACUUACCCACUAGGUCUAUUUCAGGCAUAAGUAUUUCAACGGAAAGGAAAUAGUAGCUAAACUAAUGCUAAUACUAUGCCUGGAAGAAAGAGGUCAGUGGAUAUAGAUAUGAAAGCAAUAAAUAUGCAUGCUUGCUUGAUCGAUACUUUUCUUUGGCUUUUACCAAUCUUACCAGUUAACUUUGUUAACACCAAUGACUUACAACCCAAAAUCUCUUUUGAUCGAGGAGGCUUCGAGCACUUCCACUCGAGGGACCGUCCUUCGGGGCCACUAUCCCCGUGGUGACCUACUCCGAAGCGCACCGCUUGAAGGGGAGCUACCGCCCUCAAGCCAAGACUUAUCGUGAAUAUUAAUCCGAUUCCCAACUUGGGAACGUAUAGCCACUAGUCACAAUGCCACUAUCAUAAUCGAUUUUCUACCUAUUUAUUCAUGCCACUCAUGGUUAAACUAUGUUUAACAAUCACUAUCUCAAUGCCAAUCUUGUCUCUAUAGUCAAUGUCACCUUGUUUACAAAGAUCAAGGUCCAAGUCUCAUAUUCAUACAUCUCUAGGGUUCUAGCAUACAUGUCCAUUAUGGUUCUAUCAUUCUUUAUAUCCAACUACAUUAUAAGCACAUAAAUAAAAUUACACCAAAGUUCACAUGUAAGCAACCCUAAUAUGCAUGAACGACUAUAUACAAUAUGCUCAAAUAAAAAGUGACAUAGACAUAGAAGGGAAUCCAACGAUUCCGGAAUGCACCCCCCACCUCGCGUGGUUGUGUAGGUGUAGAAUGUGACGACUCCCGAACUUUAUGAAAGCCGAUUUCGCGCCCUAUAACCAAAAUAGUGUCAUAAUAGGCCUUUUGUACAUGAACUAUACUCAAACAUUUUCGUAACGUCCAACGGAGUUGUCCAACGCGUUUAUUUGACCCCCAAUUAGGUUUCUACGAGGUCAAUUCGCCCUCGAAAAAUUCUAGGGCAAAAGCCCCAAAUUUGAGCCCUAACAAUGCCUUCUAGGGUUUCCUCUUAGAUUGAUCUUGUUGCUAAGCAAAAGGUAGCUUAGAAUCAUUUAGGAAGCAUUCUAAUAAAGUUUCUAAGCUUUUAGAACUAGGGCAUCUACCAUGAGCCCUAGUGAUCCACCAUGAGAGCUCCCCAAGAAAACCAUGGAUUUCAUGGUUUCAAGGUCAAUAGAGGGUUUCUAGGUUAAUUAGAGGAUCAAAACUCUAAAUCCCAAGGUUUAAAAUCAAACCCUAGAGUUCUACAUGCUAGAAAACUCACCUUAACCCAAGUUCCACCAAGCUCCUCCUUGUUGGAGAGCUCCUAGACCCACUAAACCCACCAAAAAUCCACUUCCCAAGCUUCUCCUUCUUCUUCUCCAAGCUCUAGGGCUAAGUUUCUAGAGAGAGAAAGAGAGGAAAAUGAGAGAGAGAGGUGAAGAUGGUUGUGGGAGUGAAGGGCUAGGGCAUAUAUCAUGUUGUAACAUUUGCAACUAGGCCCUCCCAACUUCAAAAUUCUGUAUCUACCCUUACUGGGCAAUUUUCGCAGUCGGGGAUCGAUCUCCCCGACCAGGGACGGGUUCCCAAACGUUUAAUUUCCAAGACUUAGCCGAUUUUUGGGUUUUCUGGCUGGCUGCACAGCGAGGGACCGGUCUGUCCUUCAGGGACCGGUUCCUUAGGGACCAGUCUCACUGCCAGGGACUGGUUCCUCAAGGUUCCUGGCAAGCUACGCGUACGGGGACCGGUCUCUCCUUCAGGGACCGGUCCCUCACAAAAUCUGGGACUUAACCUUCCCUAUAUAACACAUAUAUAGGCUCUAAGGCACUUAGGGCCUAUACAUACUCAUCCCACUCUGCGUUCCGCUCAUUCCGACAGAACUCGACACGAUUUACGGAGAAUGUGGUAUGUUACAGAAUCCACCUAUCCCUAAGUUCACAAUCCACUAGUGUCACUUUACACUAAGUUAUAUGCCACUCGUUCUGUUCAUUUAUCAAUCAUGUGCCCCUCAUUAUGUCACGAGGUAACCAUCGAGUCCAUCUCUUUUCCUCAGCACUAUAGAAUUCAAUGUCAAGACCCAAUCCUCAUCUAUCCAUUAUACCAAGCAUUCAACUCACACUAUGAUGUCAAUUAGAAAGCAUAAGGAAUGGAAAACAAUGCAAUCAUACAAUACAACAUGCAAGAGAUGCAAAAUCAUAGUGUGCUAAGACAUAGAGAGGAAUCUGGUUGCUUCGGGAUGACACCACCCACCUUUCGACGAUGUAGGGGUUCUAAGAACGUGUUUCGGCACUUGUUACGACGUUGUCUCGGCCUCCGAGGCGGAAACGAAGCCCAACCGGUCUUGUUUUGCCGAUUUCUUUUCAACGACUCGACGAAAUGUCAAUCCAUCUUCGCCAACGCGUUUAGACACCUAGCAAUUAGGUUUAGAUGCUAUCAAUUGAGAUCAAACCUUAUUAUUAAGCAAAGCCCCAAUUUGGAGCCCUAGGUUUGCAUCUAUGCAAAAAUGCCCCAACAAAUCUCUAGCUUUAAGCAUUAAACAUCUAUUAAGCAUGCUAGAGUUCUAAUCAAACCAUUUCUAGAGCAAGAAAUCUAAGCCCUAAGAGUCUACCAUUGUUGAGCUCAAAAGCUUACCUCCAAGCUUGCUCCAAUGGUGAGGAGAGGAAGAAGAAGGUGACAAAAGCCCUUCUCUAGCUUGCUUCUCCUUCUUCCUCUUCUUCUUCUCCUUCAUUUCCUCCUUCUCCUUCUUCACUUCAAGAAAGAGGGAGAGAGUGUUUAGAGAGAGAGAGAGAGAGAGAGAGAGUGUUGGGUGUGAAAAUGAGAGAGGGAGAGAAUGAUCUCCCCUCUAUACCCCCAACUAAUGCAACAAUUGCAUAAUAGCCCCUCCACUUUGCUUCUCUCACACUGCCCAGACUGAGCAGUUUUCAUGCUCGGGGACCAGUCUAUCCCUAAAGGGACCGGUCCUCGAGAGCAACCCUUGCGGGUAGAGGCUCUCAGCCAGCUUCUACGCGUACGUGGACCAGUCCUCGCCUGAGGGACCAGACCUUCAAGGAUCGGUCCCCUCUCGAGGGACCGGACCCCAAGAGCAAACAUCGCGCGCAAAAUUUUUCUGCCGCACAUUCAGCUUACGGGGACCGGUCUCUCCCACCAGGGACCGGUCCCUGAGAGCAAAAUCUGCAAAGUUGUAGAUUUCCAUUAUUUUGCUCUCCGAGGCCCUCGCCAAUGCACUUUUUGGAUUUUUGACUCCUUCGGCCUUUUCAAAGCGUACCGACUCGACAAUUAGUCGAUUCUGAACUAAGUCCAACUCUCGGAUUUCGAGAAUUCACUUCCUUACACCAGGUGCCGCCGCCGCCACUUGCUGCGCUACCAACUCCUGCAGCCUUCCAAUUUGAUCCUCUUGGCGCUGCACCACACCGACUAGUGCAGCCACUUGCGCUCGCAGCUCCUGCACCUCAUCAAAUCCAGAAUGCUCGGGCACCUCAGAAAGUGGGGCCGGAGCGGAUCUCGUCAUGGGGCAUCUCGUCUGUAGUGUACCAAGUCCUUGGUGCGCUAAACCGAACUUGUCAAAUUGACCAAAGUGAGGUAAUGGACGCUUUAGAGAGGUCCGUUGAGUGUUCCGAGUGAUCAGAAUGACUUAUAAGGAUAUAAGGGACCAAAAGGGACCUUGGAGAGCAAGAUUGGAAAAAUUCAAAAAUUUUUGUAUUUGGAGUGCUCUCAGGGUCCCGACCCUGCAUAUAGGGUUCAGACCCCGUACACAAGAAAACGUGAAGUUGAGCAAAAACACCUAUUUGUGUGAGGAGCUAUGUGCAAUUGUGCUGGGGAGUGUAUAUAUGAGGGAACUUAGCUAUUUUCCCUCAUUUCCCCUAACACUCUCAACCAAAGAGAGUUUCUCUCUCUCUUUAAAUCUCUCUCUCUCUCUCCUAGGGUUUGCUUCAAUAGUGGAAAAAAUGGUGAGCUUGCUUAGUGGUGAAGCAACCUCAUGUGCAAGCUUGGCUUGGGAGAGAGCUUGGAUUAGAGGUAAGCAUCAUGAGGUUUGAGGGUUUUUGGUUAGGGUUUUGUGUAGAAACCUUAGAAAUGUGAUAAAUUGGAACCCUAGAUGAUUCUAAUCUAUGUUAUUGCAAGAAUCAUGAUGAGAUUUGGAUUAUAAGCAAUAUAUGGAUUUUUAGGGUUUCAAAUGAGGGUUUUUACUCAUGAUGAGUUUUGAUCUUAAUUAGUCCCUUAAUUCCGCAAUUGAAGGUAAAGCUGACGCAGUGGACUACUUAGAUUGAGGUUUCGUUGAGCCGAGGUUGGUCGAUUUGGAGAAAUUGCCGUUUUGGCUUCGUUUGCUGCAGUCGGGAGAAAUCGACGAUGAUAAAUUACGCAGCUUGGCUUUCCCGCUUCGUGGCAUCGACACGAGGUGGGGGGUGCUAUCCGAAAUAGCCAGAUUUCAUUCUAUGUCUAAGUUCUACAUUUUGAUCAUAUAACAUCAUGCAUUUAUGUGAGAAACCUAUGAGUCCUUGGUAAAUUCAUGCUUAGUGUGAGGGAUGAUGAUCCAUGUUGCAUGAUACUUGUAGGUGUAUAAUUUCCAUGAUAUUGAGGUAGAUGGAUAUAUGUGUAUGCAUGAGAUGCUAGUGGACAUAUACAUGUGAACAUGUAGUGAGAACAUGUUAGAUAUGUUGCAUGAGAACCAUAUAUGCUCUUAUUGUAUAAUGCCAAGAUAGUUGUAUAUAUGCAUGUUGCAUGAAUUGCUAGUGGACAUAUAUGUAUGUGGACAUAUUGUGAGAAUAUGCUAGAUUCAUGUGAAUUAGAGAUGUGUACAUGAUGUGAGAAUAUACUAGAUAUGUGUGUGAGAUGCUAGAGGGCAUAUGUAUGUGGACCUAUUAUGAUAAUUGGAAGACAUUGCAUAUGUAGCAUAUCCUCACUCGUGAGAAUUGUGAACUUGGCAUUAUGAGAAUUAGGAUGUAGGAUUCCCGAGGCUCUCGGACAAGAGGACUUGAGCAUAAUGCAUAUGUGGCCGAUUGUGAGCAUUGCAUGCCUUGUGAUGGAUAGGGAUGUGGGAUUCCCGCAGUCCUCGGGCAGGAGGACUAUGAUCAUACUCGCGUCGUCUGUUGUGUUAGCGGAUACUCGCUUAGACGUCUAUUGUGUUACUAGAGGUCGCAUCUCCCAUUCUUGUGAGCUCCGGAGUUGUAUCACGGUGAGAUAGAGACGAAGGGGGUAAGGCACCGAGGGUGUGCCCCCGGCAGACGGUCAUGGUUGCGUGACAUUUGCGUGGCGAGUUGUGGUUCGACCUUCGGGCGAAUCAAUUUGAUUAGAUUCAAGGCAUGGUUAUGGCAUUUCAUAUAGAUGCAUACAUAGUAGAACAUUGAUAGAUGACAUUGUUCAUGACAUAGUAGAACUUAUUCUUGUUGACAUGAUUGGUAAAGGUAUAUAUAGCUACACAUUUGAAGCAUGAUAUAGAUGUAUAUGAGCAGGUUAGGCUUAUUGUUUAUCUAUUAUCUCUUUGACAUAUUAUCCUAUCUAUUGUUUCUAUGCCAUCUUAGACCUAGUGGAAAAAUCGGCGGGGUCGGCGGCCGAACCCACUGGGAGCUUUGUUUAGUUCUCACACCCUGUUUUUACAGAGCCAAACGUGAGCGCAUUCGUCGAGGACGCGGCUUGGGCAUCGAGCCCUAGAUAGUGUGGACCACCAGCAUUAGCUCACUACCCUCAAAUAUAUAAAGGAAAAGAAAAAGAAAUGUAUAACGCUUUGGAAAGAAAUGUAUAACGCUUCGGCCGCCAACAUAACCUCCUCGAGUUGAGAACAAAUAUUACUUGAAUACGUCUCUAUCAACCAUUAGAGACAUACUAGCACUACACUUAAUUGGCUUAACCUCCGCCACAAAUCGUAGAUCCGCGUCACUCACGCACCUAUGUCCUUAGGGUCACCGUCCUAGGAUCUCCUAAGUCCAUCCUAAACUUCUCUCUUUUACAUGAUCUGAUACCACGCUCUGUCACGCCCCACGCCCCGGGACCGCCAAUUUGGUCAGUUCGGGCGCACGGGCGGACCGCCGAACGGACAAGAUUUCCCCUAUCCGCCUAAGACUCAACAAAAAUCAUGUAUAUCUAGUUUGCCCAGGUAAAACAUAAUCAACAUACAUGAAUUGCGCGAGGGUAACAUAAACAAGAGUAAGAGAGAAAUACUAGCUAUUACAUUCCACAUUUGAAUAUUUACAUUCAACCACCAAAAUACAUUUGGUUUACACAAUUUGUUCCAUAAUACAUGUACAUCAUCCAAAAGUAACCUCUCCCAAAAUACAUCAUGUCCCUCGAUAUAAUACAUGGUACUCUAAUGCAAAGGAGGCUAUUAUCUAGGACGCUAUGCCCUUACCGUGAUUCUCGACCACUCCGUUCGUGCUAGGCUCUGCAAUAAAGUAGGAUGAGAACAAACAAAAGUUUCCAGUGGGUUCGGCCGCCGACCGCGGUGAUUUUCCCACUAUGUCUAAGCAGGCAUAAGUAGAAAGGUUAGCACAUAAUAAAAAACUAGUAUGCUACUAUACCUCAACAAUAUGAUACAAUAAACAGGUACAAUAAACAGGUACGUACUAGCAACUAAUUUUCAUUAAAUUAUGCAAGGGCUUUUUUUUGCAUAAAUUAAAUUAAAAAUAUUAAUUUAUGCAAGGAUUUUUUUGCAAAUGGCCUCCUGAAAAAUAUUUAUUUUAAAAUUAGCCCUGUCAAAAUUUAAUUUGCAAAAAUGGCCCUGGCCCUGCCGCGCAGGCGCCACAUCAGCGCCACGCGGGCAGGGCUGGGGCCAAUGUGUUAAGUUUGAACACGGUGAACCAUUCACCGUGUUCAAACACGGUGAAUGAUUCACCGUGUUUCAUAUUUAUGUUUCUUUUCUUCUUUUUUAGGGAUGUCAACGGGUCGGGUUUGGAUCGGGUUUUAAAAAAUCUGAAUCCGAAUCCGAAAAUCAAAUUAAAAUCCAAACCCAAAUACGAACCCGGCGGUAGGGGUGGAACUGGGCCGGGUUUGGGUCGGGUAAUACUAUGCCCAAGCCCAGUCCAAAUGAAAAUGUUGGGCUUCGGGUCGGGCUUUUACCCAAUUUUUUUUUGAAAAUAAAGGCCCGGCCCAAGCCCAAGCCCAAUGCCCAAUACCCAUUGCGCUUUGUGGAGGCCCAUUUUAUGCAUUUGUCAUAGAAUACAUAAAUACUUUUAUUUGUAUAAAAUUAAAAUAAAAUACCUAGUUUUAGUUAGAUCACAUCAAAGAAAUUAAUAUCUAACAACAAAUAUAUCCUAAUAUAGAACUAAAUAUUUUGUUAAUAUAUAAUAUAUCCUCAUAUAUAUAAGUACAUAUCAUUAAUAACNAUUAAUAUCUAACAACAAAUAUAUCCUAAUAUAGAACUAAAUAUUUUGUUAAUAUAUAAUAUAUCCUCAUAUAUAUAAGUACAUAUCAUUAAUAACAAUAUAUACUAUAUAUGAUAUACUAUAUUAUUUAUUUCUUUUAAUAGAUAAAUAAUAUAUAUAUAAUUAAAUAUUUUAUUUUGAUAAUUAAUAUAUCAAGCUUUUGGGCCGGGCUCGGGCCGGGCUUGGACAUGCCCAAAUAGGCCCAAAAUUUUUUGGGGCUAAAAUUUUUAAGCCCGGCCCGAACCCAAAGUUAUAUUUUUAAUAACCAAAGCCCGGCCGAAACAUGGCCCAUCGGGCCGGGCCUUGUUUAGGCCCGGGCCCGGUUCCACCCCUACCCGGCGGGCUUUUAAAAAUCCAUACCCAUAUAAAACCCAUACCUAUAUAACUUUAAUAUAUGGAUAUGGGUAUGGAUUUUUAAAAACCCGCCGGGCUCGGAUUCGUGUUCGGGUUUUAAUUUGAUUUUUGGAUUCGAUUUCGGUUUUUAAAAACAUGAUCUAAACCCGAUCCGUUGACAUCCCAAAAGAGAAGAAAAGGAAUAUAAAUAUGAAACACGGUGAAUCAUUCACCGUGUUCGAACACGGUGAAUGGUUCACCGUGUUCAACUUAACAUACUGGCCCCAGCCCUGCCUGCGUGGCGCUGACGUGGCGCCUGCGUGGCAGGGCCAGGACCAUUUUUGCAAAUUAAAUUUUGACAGGACUAUUUUUAAAAUAAAAAUUUGUCAGAGGGCUAAAUUGGAAAAAAGCCCUUUUCCACUUGGAAAAUGCUAACUGGACAACAGGGUUGGGUUGUAGAUCCUACAACUCAAAGAUCCAACGGUUGAUAUUAAUCACUUUGCACAGUAGGUUAUAAACUCACCCUCUUUUUUUUUUCACCUACUACUACACCCACAGUUGUCGCCUUCUCUCUCUCUCGCUCUCUCGGUCUCUCCACCAUCUCUCUCUCUCGCUCUCUCUCUCUGUUUCUCGCUCUGUCCUGCACACCUCUCGCCACUCUCUUCCGCACAGGUCUCACCAUCUCUGAGUUUCUUCCUCUCGCUCUCAUCUCUCUCUCUCUCUCUCUCUCUCUCUCUCUCUCUCUCUCUCUUGCUCCUCGCUCGCUCACAGAUCACUCCAUCGAGCGCUGUUCGGCAGGAAAGGCGGUAGGUAGAAGCUCGUGUCCGAAGCUGUCUCGAAGGUGUCUCUCGCCCUCACCUCUCUUCAAUGGUAGGAGGUCGCGUCUCAACUGCUCCACUGUUCAUCCCAGUACCUGUGACGCAUUCCUUCAGUCGUGGGCGUCCAAAAUUGGGAACGAUUUCGGAGCUAAUUCGGCCACAACCGAACAGAGGAUUCAACUCAAAUAGGGGAUAUUUUUGAAUUUCUAUAAUUUUUUAUUUCUAAUUUUAAAUUUAAUAUAAAAUUUAUAUUUUGAGGGUUUAGGGUUGCAACUUGGGUUCGUCUGUGCAUGCUCCGGAUUUCGUCAUAAGGUUUACUCAGCUGGUAUAUUAUAUUAUUUGUUGCAUUUGUAAAAAUAAAGCAUUUAUGAUUUUAGUGUUUAGAAGAUGCGCCCACAGUAACAUACAUAUAUUUCAUGUAUUUCAUAAAUUUUGCUUAGUUUAUGAUAGAAAACAUGUUUAUGGUUACCAGUAUGUAGAAAGGUAUAGAAAAUAUGUUUGGGGUUACUAGUAUAUUCUCUUAUUCAUACUUCUAUACUUGUAUUAAUAAUUAAUUUGUUUGUAUUCGUAUAUGUAUAGUUGGCUAGGAAUAUGUAUGCAUUGCAAUCUGUCACUCUUAUGCCAUAAAGGGUUUACUCUUAGAGCUUAUAAGAACACUCUUAGUAGAACACUCUUAUAGAAUUUGUGUUUGCGAAUAUAUAUGCUUGACAAUCUAACACUCUUAUGCCAUAAAAGAACACUCUUACAGCUUAAUGUCUGCUACCAUGAAUGACGCACCUCGCACGGUCGAUGGAUUUUGGCCGUGGGGUAGUAUUCAUAAUUCAGAUGAGUAUUUAUAUGUAUGUGUAGGUAUCAGGUAUUGCGAGUCCAUGGCUUCCAAUAGAUGCAAGCAUCUACUGUUAAUUACCCCCUUGAGAUUGGGGCACCUUCGAUUAAGAGACCUUUAUAUCUUGGAUGAGAUGGAUCGUAUCUCGGUUUAUUGAAUCCUAAGUAUAUGUAUUAGGAUUCAGUUGGAUUUGAGGUUGAUUAGGCCCUAAGUAUAUGUGUUAAGACCUAAUCGAUAUUAAACUCUAUGUAUUAGAGUUUAAUUGGUUCAUGAGAUAUGGGUAUGAGAUCUGGGUAUUGGUUCAUGGGAUUUGGGUAUUGGUUUAUGAGAUUUGGGUAUUGGUUCAUGGGCUAUGGGUAUUGGUUUAUGAGAUUUGAAGAUGAUUUAGUUCAUGGCUCAUAGGAUUUGGCCUAUGGUUCAUGAGGUUGGGUAUAUGGUCCAUGGGAUUUGGUCCAUGAGAUUUCGUCUUCAUGGUUCACUCAUGAGAUUUGGCUCGCAUAGUUUCGUUGUUGUUCCAUACGGAUUUGGCCAUAGGUUUCGACUUAUCGGUUCAUAGUAUUCUGCGCCAUGCAUUUCGGCUUGGUUCAUGACGAUGCUCCACUGGAGAUUUGGUUUUUUGUUCCCCAUCGGGAUUUUGUCCUAUGACGGUUUGGUUAUUGGUUCAUGGAAUUGGUCCCAUGAGUUUGGUCUUGGUUCAUACGGAUUUUUGGCUCCAUCGAACCUGGUUUUGGCUCAUGAGAUUUUGUCCCAUGAGAUUUGUUUUGGUUUUUGUUCCCUGGGGAUUACUGGUCACAAUGAGGUUUGCGUUUGAGUUCCAUGUGGAUUUAGGUCCAUGACUUGUGUUUGGCUCAAUGGAUUUGCUCCCAUGGAGGAGUUGGGUUUGGUUCAUGGAAUUUGUCCAUAACUUGAGUUUGGCUCAUGGGCAUUUGUCCAUGAGUUUGGUUGUUGUUUCACAUAAGGGCAUUUUGGUCAUGAGAGUGUGUGUGAGAAUGGGAUUGCGGUCCAUGCAGGAAUUUGGUUUGGCUUCAUGGGAUUUGCUCCGAUCGAGGUUUGGUGAUUUGGCUCAUGGGAUCUUGCGUCCGAUCGAGAGUUUGGUUCUUGCGUUCAUGGGCGAUUGUGCUCAUGAACGCUUGGUUUGAACUCAUGGAUGUCUGUCCAUGACGAUUCUGGUUUGGUUCAUUCGGGAUAUUUGUCCUGAACUUGGUAUUUGGCAUCAUAGUGGAGAUUGAUCUCAUUCGAGUUUGGUCUGUGGUUCAUUGGGAUUUGGUACAUGCAACUUAUUUUUGGCUCAUGAGAUGUUGGUCCAUGAGGCUUUGGUUUUAUGGUUCAUGGGAUAUAUUGGUCCCAUGAAACUUGGUUUUGCUCAUGGAUUGGCAGUCCAUGCAGGAUUCUCGGUUUUGCUUCAUGGCGCAUGAUUGCUCCAAUAGAGGCGGCCGGCUUCUGGCUCAUGGGAUUUGGUCCAUCGAGGGUUUGCAUUUGGGUUCCAUAUAGGGUUGGCUCCAUGAACUUGGUUUUCCGGCCAUUCUUGAUUCUGGAAGGGUUUGGGCGUUCAUUUAUAGUGGCAACUUGGUUGGUUUCGGUUAUUUUUGGUUUUGGGUUGGAUGUUUAUUUGGCCAUGACACUUGGUGUUGGUUAGUUUGGGGGGCACGUUUGCUUCUUGUAAUGGUGACUUGUUUGGCUUUGGGCCUUUAUUUGGGUUUGGUUGGACUUUAUUUGGAACUUGGUUUGGUUUAGGUUUGGGCCAUUUGGCUUUGAGUGAUUGGUUUGAUUUGGGUUAUUCUGCUGUUUGGGUUAUGGUUUGGGUUUGCGGACAUAGAACUUGAUUUAUGGUGUAGGUGAACUGAUUUCGCAAUUUGGUUCCGAUAUUGAAAACUUAGAUUGCAAUUUGGGAUUCGCAUAUCACCUACGUUAAUUUCGCAUUAGUAAGCUUCUGCGUAGAUAAACUCAUGCAUUUCAAUUUGAUUUGCGGGUCGAAGAAAGUCCUUUUUGAUUUUGCACAUAGAUUUUGGGGAAUCCGAAGAAAGGUCCACUACUCUGAUUUUGCCAGAUUGCAAAUUUGGGUCGGUCCGAAAGAAAGAUCGCCCAUUGAUUUUGCAAUUGAACUUUGGCGUCCGAAGAAAUCGCCGCUUUGAUUGAAUAUGAAUUGGGGUCCGAAAAUCCCCAGGUUUCGAUUUUCCGAAUUCGAUUUUGGAUUUCGGAGUCCGAAGCAAAUCCCCCGUUGAUUUGCCAUUAGACUCUAGUGGGGUCCGCGAAGCAACGUCCCGUCUGAUUUGAAUUUGAAUUUGAUUCUUAAUAAUUGAUCUUGAUUUUGGGUCGACAGAAAAUCCCCGUUUGUUCAUGAAUUUGGGGUCCGAAGAAAUCCCCACUGUUGAUUCCCAAUAUCGGAGGUCCGAAGAAAUCCCCCGAUUUUAAUCUUUGAUUUUGGGGUCCGAAAGAAACAGGGGAAUCAUAAGAUUCCGCCCUUCCCACUUCUUCGCGAUCAAUUCAUUCCCAGCGAUUGUUAUAGUGUCGUCCGGAAGCUUGUGACUGGUGGACGGAUCUGUUCGGAAUCCGCAAUUUGAUUUUGACAUAUGUUGAAGAAUAUUGAAGGGCGUUCCGAAAGAAAAGCGGGCGAUCAAAGAUUCCCUCCCAUCUUCUUGUCCGAAAAGGUUAAAUAACGCCUGAAUUGUAGAUGUCGUCGCCGGAGUUGUUCAACGAGUGGCAGUGGAAUCUGUUCGGACCGGCCAAUUUGGUUUCGAUAUUUAUGAACGAAAUGUGAAGGGUCCGAAGAAACAGGGAAUCAAGAUCCCGCCUCCCCAACCGCUUGGACCUCCCUUUCUUCGCGAACGUCAUCAAACCGCGGUUCACGUUUGUCAGAUGAUGUCGACUCGAAGUUUGAUCGACGGUAGUGCGGAUACUUGUUGGGCCGUACGAUAUAAUGAUUGAGACAUUUUCAGAUCAGAAUCAUUGCAAGGGUCGCCACCAGAAACGGGGAAUCAAAAGAUGUUCCCCCUCCCGUCAAUCUCUUUUCUAUCAACUCGCCGUGCUCCGGUGUCGUCCGUAGCUGUGACGAUGGCGUGAUCUUUGUCCACCAUCAAAUUUGAUUUGAUAUUUUCGAAGAAAAUGUUGCAAGGUCCGACGAAACAGGGAAUCAAAAAUCCCUCCCCUAUUCUUCGAAGUAUCAAACCAUACGAUGUUAGGGUGGUCGCAGGCCAUGUUAGAGUCAUCAAUUCAUAUCAACCGGGCUAUCGACAUGGGUAAGUUGAGAGGUCCGAUGAAAUGGGGAAGUCGAAAGAUUCCAUCCACUCUCAACCACCCGAAGCCAUCUAGAUAUAUGGAUGGUAUACGAUCGCAGGCACAAAGAAAAAAGAAAAGGGGGGGGGAGAAAAGAGAUCUUUUUUUUUGACUUAUUUUCUUUCUUUUUUUCUUUCUUUUUUUUUAAUUAUGUUUUCUUUGUUUCUUCUUCAUUUUUCUUUCUCUUUCUUUUUUUUUUUUUUACCUGUUGAUCAAAUGAUGAAUUGGAUGAAGCAGCUCAACGAUUUCUCGUUCUUUCCGCGGCUCGGCGAUAUCUCCUCCUUUCAGCGGCUUGGCGAUAUCUCCUCCUUUCAGCAGCUCGGCGAUAUCUCCUCCUUUCAGCGACUCGGCGAUAUCUCCUCCUUUGAAUAUUUUGAACGUGGAAAUGUGUGUAGCAAUCUAUCUCUCUUUUUGUCUCUGUCCAAAAAAAAGUUCCCCGAAUUUGAUUUCGGUUCCCGUAUUUAUAAUGGGAGGGGAGGGGUUAGUUAAGAAUUCAAAAUUCGAAAUUCGAAUUUUGAAUUAUUUGUUGGAUGAUUGGAGGAUAUUUGGGGAGUGGUUGGGAAUUAAAUUUUGAAUGAGUUGUUGGAUAGUUGGGAGAUAUUGUGGGAGUUGGUUGAAGGUUCGAAAUUCGAAAUUCGAAUUUUGAACGGAUUCUCCAAAGUUGAGCAGGAUGCAAAAAAUUUUCUAAUUUCCCCACCUAUUACAAAGUUCGUCAAUCUGACUAUACAUGUAGUGAUUAGUUAACAUUAAAUAUCUUUGGCAAAAUAUUCUACCUUAACUUGACAGCAAUUCCUUUCUUUCGUAUUAUUAAUUAAAUUUUCUUUUUAUAGGGGACUCAUAUGGCAAGAUGAUACAAAAGGAUCAGAUUCGCCUUCUGUUAGCGGUCAAGUCCUCCUUGAUUACUUAUUUGGAGGCCCGACGCGCGACGAGGUUAGUGCUGCCACAGAUUAUGCAUUGUAGUUAGCGCUUGUAGCUUGUUUUAUACAUAUCUAAUUAUAUAUAUAUAUUAUUCUAAUUCUCUUUGUUUUGCUGACUUUCUUAUUUAGGUGAUUAAUGUAUAUUUCCAUAUAAUUGAUAAGCUCGAUUGUAUGGGUGUACAUAAAUUUAGUCAACUGGAUAUUUUCUUGCGAACUGAAGUUGCGGUGAGUUUGAUACUUUCACUAUUAAAUUAGUUGUUAUCUAUUUCUCUCUUGUUCUCUAUUUCUGUAAGCAAACUUAAAGAAAUAUAAAAGUGAGUUACAAUGGAAGAAAAAAUAUGUGUUGAAGUCCGAAUCCCAAUUUGUUGAAUAAUAUUGAUUAGCUCCUGUUCCAUAAUCUGUGAACAUAUGAAUUGUCCAAAUAAUAGCAUUUGAGUUUCCCACAAGGUUUCGUAAGGCAUCUUGCUAUCUUGAUUCCUAUAUCUAUGCAGAUGCACAUACUCAAUAAGAUGCAGGGAUUUGGAAAGGAUAAGACAGCAACAGCUGAUUUUUUGAGGGAUGUGGUAUUUGGAUCCACAUCUAUACGUCACUUUCUGGAUAAAAUAAAUACACAUACCUGCAGCACUUCUAGAUAUGUACUUAUUCCCUUACAUAGUAAUUGGCAUUGGCAUUGGCAUUUACUAUCAAUUGAUUUGAAGGAACGACGUUUUGAGAGUUGGAACUCUUUGUGGAGCCAUAGCGGGGCACAGGAUGCGGCACAGCUGCUGGUAUUAAUUUAUUCUUCUCAGUAGACAGAGUGUUUUAGUUAUUUAUUCACUCGGCAGUAACAUCUACUAUCCACUUGUUUUAAUUAAUUUACCUUUUUUUUCUCUUGGACAGGCGAAGUGGUUUGCGUCCUAUUUUGAGCACACCCUCCAAAUCCCCGUCGGCGCUCCUGACGUCAUAUUUCAUAAGGAAUGUCAACAACAGGGUUCCACGGAAGUCGAUUGUGGCAUGUACACAUGCCUUUUUGCCGANAUCCCCGUCGGCGCUCCUGACGUCAUAUUUCAUAAGGAAUGUCAACAACAGGGUUCCACGGAAGUCGAUUGUGGCAUGUACACAUGCCUUUUUGCCGAAAGAAUCGUAAGAAACGGCCCCCCGAUCUAUCAUUGUACGAUACUGACCGCCACUCCUUCCGUGCUCAUAUCGUCAGUGCCAUCUUAAAGGAUCCAUAUUGUGUGACCUAUGCUUCUAUGAUCGAGUCCACUGUCGCAAAAGAUGAUGUCUGAAUGUUAUAGGAUUUUGCAAUUGUGACUGGUGUUGUGCAGUUUGUUUAUAUAUUCUCUCAUAUGGCUUGCAUGGCAGUGCUCCUUAGCUUCUCUCUCUUUAGCUGGCUUGGUUCCCGACUAGCCCGUCUCUCUCCCAAGAGCAAGAAUACUGCUUGACUAUCUUAUGCAAUUGUGACUGAUACAGGACAUUUGUUUAUAUAUGAUUGUGAAUGUGCAAUUGUGCACAUUGUGAGUGGUACUGGGCAGAUUUUUUAUAUACGAUUGUGAAUGUGCAAUUGUGAAUUUGUGGCUGGUAUUGGGCAGUUUGUUUAUAUAUGAUUAUGAAUUUAUUUAUAUAUGACUGUGAAUUUGUUUAUAUAUGUGACUGUGCAAGUAUGCACAUUGUGACUGGUUCUGGGCAAUUUGUUUAUAUAUGAUUAUGAAUGUGCAAUUGUGCACAUUGUGAGUGGUACUGGGCAGAUUGUGUAUAUAUGAUUAUGAACUUAUUUAUAUAUGACUGUGAAUUUAUUUAUAUAUAUGACUGGUACUAGGCAGUUUGUUUAUAUAUGACUCUGAAUUUGUUUAUAUAUGAUUGUGAAUUUGCGACUGGUACCGGACAGUUUAUUUAUAUAUGAUUGUGAAUGUUUUAUGUUUUAUGUUUAUAUAUAAUUGUGAAUGUUUUAUGUUGUACAUGGCAGUUUUUUAUAGAAACACUGUCACGCCCCGGGGCUCAGCGGAAGCCUACCCGGCGCGUGUCUAGACCCGCCAUACGUCUAAAACAUAUAAGGCGUCUACAAAAUUUCGAUAGAUAAAACACUAAUACAAAGAGAUCUAGUGAUAUCAGAGCAUUGUACAACUAGUCCUAUAACGAGAAAAAGGACAUAAAGCUGAAAGUCCACUAAUAAAAGCAUAAAGUAAUACAAAGGAAAUCUCAAAUACAAGUGCUAAAAGUAGAUAUAUAGGUGGUCUCUAUACAUGGAUACAAAACCUCUCACUCUCUCAACUAUAAAAAGAAAGAGCGAACCACCUAGGUAAAGAACCGCUCCUCGCUAGCUAGCCAUGCGAUCCCCUUGCCGCGAUCCCGUGCCUCCGCCGGUGCAGAAGGCUCUGAAAAGUAAACCAUAAAACAGGGGCGUGAGAACUAUUAAAAAUAGUUCCCAGUGGGCAAUUACUGACUUCAGUGAAUGCACCACAAGGCCCAAGCUACAAGGAAAGGGUCAGUGUCUAAGAACGUAUGAAAGCGAAAGGUAAGUAGAAUGCAACUUACUACAACAUGAUAUUUCUACUUAGCAUGAAAGGCAUAAGUAUGAAAGCAACUAUGUAUGUAGUAAAAGUUUCCAACUAACAUGAUGUCCAUAAUGCAAAAUAGUAAAGUGCCAAUGUUUACUAUUCUAGUCAAAUUCCAGUCAGUACACUAAGUCAUCAUCUGUCCAUAUGUCAUAGUAAAUGCUCAAAGUCAAAUCUGAAGAGACCCACCCGAAGGCUGUCUAAGGCCCUGAGACCCACCCGUAGGCUGUCUGGCCGGUGCCGAGCCUAAUGGCCCCGUGGUAGUCAUCAUUCCCACCCUAGGAAUGAGCCUGACCACGGCAAUCCACUUUGGCGCCCAAUCCCGCACGGCGAAUAUGAAUCGCGAUGGCUAUCUCCGGAGUGCCGGCUUGUAGGGAGCGACCCUCACAAGCAUGUGCGAAUGAGCACAAUGGCAAGUAGUGAAACGAUCUGUCACAAGUACCAAGUCCUCAUGUCUAAUAACAUGGAAUAUAUCAAGUAUCUCAAUGGCCUAUCUCUAUGUCAUCAUGUCUCUAACAUGGAAUAUAGCAGAUAUGUAGUGGCCUAUCAAUAUGUGUAGCACACUGGACCUUUGCAAAUUGCGAGGUUCGAGUGUUCGAUUGGUAUUCCGAACUUUUCCACACUUGGUGGAGGGCCGUCGAUGGUAUACCGGCCUAAAAGUUCGAUCUCGAGAGUUUUGGCAGAGUCCUGAGAGUUUUUACUCUCGGGGACCGGUCCCUGAUAGGAGAGACCGGUCCCCCAGUGAACAGUGCCGCGCAGCAGGCGAGGCAACCGGUCCUUGGCAGUUGAGACCGGUCCCCGAGCCCGUCUGCGCGGGGAGAGACCGGUCCCGCGCAGGGAGAGACCGGUUCCCGAAUGCUGGUUUUUCGGGUUCGCAGCGAGAGACCGGUCCCUGCUGAGGAGAGACCGGUCCUCUGGGCGAAAACUGCCCAGUCGGGCUGAUGUAAUUGACGUUUUGAGGGGCCCUAUGUGAUUUUUUACUUUACGAGCUAUAGGCAGCCUUUCCUCACCCUCCCCUCCACGUCUCCAUUUUCUCCUCCCUCACACUCCUUCCUACACUUCUAGAGAGAGAAAGGGAGCGAGAAGAAGGAGAAUGAAGAGGAGAAGGAUCUUGCAGUUGAGGCUUGGGCAUCAUCUUCUUCCCCCUCAUUACUCUCGCCCCUUUGGAGGUUUGGAGCUUGCGUUUGGAGCCUUGCUGGAGGAUCUAACUCGCAACCCUACCUUGGUUUUGAGCUUGGAUUGGGGGCUUCUCUUGAGGUUGGUCAGCUUAUAAUCCCUAUUUGAUCUGAUACUUGUUUCCUAGGUUUUCCUAGAUGAACCCUAAAUUUUGGGAUUAGGGGUUUAUUUGGGUUUUUGGAUUUAGGGUUAUGAGACCUAAUUGAUGGGUUUGGACCUCUAUAUAGGUUAGAUUGGAAGACCUCCUACCUUCCCAGUUUGCUUUGAGGUUUAGAGAGGGUUUCCAGUUUAGGUGAGUUUUUCCCAACCCUAGCUUGCGCUUGGUUAAUGUUUGAGCUAUUCCGCAUGCCUUCGUUUCGUUUGGGUGCCCCUAUUUUUGAUGGUUCUAGGGUACUAGGGAGCUUGUGGAUAUUCUUCGUUCGGCGAAACGAAGAAGUCGAUCUUUUUUCGGUGGGUUUGGCUUCGUGAAAAGGGGCCGAAAUGGGCCCUAUUGCUCUUUCUAACCUGUUUGGUAAAUUAUUUUAGAAGUUCGAUUUCUAUGCAAAUGGAAUUUCAUAUGAAUUUUAGAGGCACUUAAGAUGCAUGCCUCGUGUAUCAUCCAGAAUUCACUAUAUACGGAGAGCUAUAGAGUAGAAUGCAGCAUACGGAAAAGUGUUUAUUGCAAGCGAAAAAUACAUCUCCGUGAGAAAAUUAUGACUUGGAAUAUGUACUUUUUCGGAAGCAUAGUUCCAUGUUUUGACAUAGAGAACCAGAGUUGUCAUGAAAGUGGGCCACUUUAAAACUAGUAAAACUAUGAAACCUGCAACCUAAUUAGAGACAUGAUGAAGGGCCUUUUGUACAUCUGGCUAUAUAAUCCAUGUUAGAGACAUGAUACAUAGGGAUACGCCUUUGGGACUUUCGAUCAUUCAUGUUAAUUAGACAUGGACUUGUACUUGCGACAAAUCGUUAAGACUACUUGCCAUUGUGCUCAUUCACGCCACAUGUCUGUGAGGGUCGCUCCCUACAAGCCGGCACUCCGGGAUGGCCAUCGCGAUACAUAUUCGCGCGUGACGGUAAUUGGGCGGCCCGAAGUGGAUUGCCGUGGGCCAGGCCCUCGCCUCCUAGGGGUCCGGUGUUGACUACCACCGGGCCCAUUAGGCUGCCGGCACGGGCCAGACAGCCUACAAGGUGGGUCUCAGUGCCAUAGACGGCUCUUCGGGUGGCUCUCCCUUCAGAUUUGACAGUUGAGUAUCAAUCAUGACAUGUGACAAUGAUGACCUGUAUGAGUAAAUUUUCGGACAUUGAACUAGAUAUACGUCACAACAACGGCGAAACUUUACUAUCUUCGCAUUGUUGAACAUUAUGUUUAGUUGGAGACUUUUACUUCAUGCAUAGUCUUUCAUAGCUUAUCCAUUUUAUGAAGUAGAGAAUCAUGUUGUAGUAAAAAAAAGUUACAUUUUACUUACCUUCGCUUUCCUAGCAUUUAUAGUCACUAACCCCGUCUUGGUAGUUUUGGCCUUGUGGUGCAUUCCUGAACGUCAGUAAUUGCCCCUGGGCAAUAUUUUUGAAUAGUCUCAAAAGCCGCCCCCUGUUUUAUGGUUUCCUUUUCAGAGCCUUCCCAACCGGCGGAGGCACGGGAUCGCGGCAAGGGGAACGCGUAGCCUAGCUAGCGAGGAGCCUUACUUGCGUAGGAUGGUUUACUCUUUCUUUGUGUAGCUGAGAGAGUGAGGUUUUGUUCGCAUGGUAAUAGGAGACCCCAACCUAUGUACUCUACUCUUAGCCACCUGUAACCUGGGAUUUACUUGUAUUAGCUUCAUGUUUUCAUUUAUGGAUUUACAGUUUUGUCCCGUAUAUCUGAUUACGUAAUUUAGACCCAUUUAUUAUGGCUCUGAUACUCGCUAGAUGCCGUUUUUAGUUAUAGCUUUUUAUUAUUAUUGGUUGUUAACGCCUUCAUGGCGUUAGACGCAGGCGGGUCUGGGCAGGGCGUGCCGGGCGGGCUUUCCGCUGGGUCACGGGGGCGGGGGGCGUGACAGAUUAAUCUUGUAUCAGAGCCUAGGGUUUGAGUCUUUGGGGACGCUAAGGCCAACCUUAGGCCAGUUGGACUAAUAGGCAUAGGCCUGCGUGAUAGACGAGGUUCUAUUCGACUUGUGAGCGAAUAAGUAUCAUCGAUUGGGUUAUCUAUGAAACUGCUACAAAAGUUAGAGUUGAUUGAGUGUUUGGCUCCUAACUUCGCGGAGGGUACGUUGGCCCGGCCGACACGUAACAAUCCGGGAAGUCUAUGUCAGUGGUAGAACACUUCUCUACUUUCGCAUGAUUUGGGGUUUUGUUUUGAGCGGGGAUGUCGAACGCGUGAGUAUCUUCUAAACUUGCGCUUUAUGUCCUUGUAGUGAGGGAAUGCCCGAUUACUCCUCCAAAUCUUGCCGGGGCGGACCAAUGGCCAAAUUUGAGGAGGUCGAGACUCCCGCUACCUCCUCCGUCCAGCGAGGUCCGUGAGUUGAGGGCGCCAGCUUGAGCCCUUACUGAUUUGGUUUACUGCCAGGCCAAGGGCGGUAGACCGGCCCGACAGAGACUGAGGCCCCGCCGCGCCGACAGGAGGCGGGUGAAGCCUCUGUGAGGAGCUUACUGUUCAGCAGACGGCAGGGCUUCUAGGAGACGCAGGGCCGCUACGCCGCCUGGCACCCAGUUUGUGGACGUUGCACCGACGCGAGCGCCGUCCCCGCGCCUAGAUUCUUGCGCGUGCGGUGCCUAGCGGCCGUACCCCCAGGAAGGAGGUUUUGGUAGCACCGCCUGUGCAGAGGCCCCCGGUUGGAGCAGCUUUCCGCUAUUUUGGUUGGGGGGUGGAGCGAGAUAGACUGAUGGAGCGCCCUCAAUGAGUUCAGGAGGUGCAGUCCCCCUGAGUCUUUGAUGGCGAGAAAGGUCGACCACCUGGAUGCGUGGAGAAGUUGAUGCAUAUGGAGGAAGCUCUUCGCGACACUUUCGUGGAGGAGAGGGACCAGAGUUUGCUCGCCACUCACCCUUGGACGGCGAGGCACCGCUGGUGGUUGGACUUUCAGGAGCACCCAGCACUGCUUGGCAUCGAUCACUUGGAGCGAGGUUCAAGGAGCCUUCUUCUAGCGGCACUACUUCCCGACCAGCGUCAAGAGGUAAGAUGGAGCAGAUCCUGGCGCAGCUGCGCGCAGGGUGACAGGACUGUAGCCGAGUACGAGAGAGAGUUUUCCUCGGCUUCCUGCAUUGCGUGCCUUCGUCGUGCCGGGUUGACGACGAAGGACAAGGCCCCGCACUUUGACGAGGAUUGAGACCGUCUAAUUUCUUCGGUUUGUGCAAUCCUCCUAACCUCCCAAACCUACCGGGAGUGGUGGAUCGCGCGCUAAAUCGUGGAGAGCCGGCGCGGGCAGAGGUCCUGAGCAAGCGAGAGGCUAAGGACAAGGGUAAGGCCAAGAGGCCUGCGGCGAGGGUGCGAGCCAGACGCACUCUAGGAGGCCGCCGAAAGCAUCCGAGGGAGGCCAGGCAGCGUGGACGCGGCCCCCUCAUAGCCGCAUCCCGAGGAGGAAUCCGAUCCGGCGCCGGCCUUCCCCGUGUGUGAUCUGCGGUGGUCCCCCACUACCCACCCGCAGUGUCGCACCAGCGGGCCGGGCAGGUUUUCCCAAGUGUGCCACAGAGGGCCAACCGUUGCGUAACCGAAGUCCGCGGAGGUUCUUCACCGCACCGUCGACUGCACGGCACCCGCUCUACCCCAGCGUCAGGGCCGACGGAUCCUCCGUCGACACCAGUACCAGCCCCUGCGGGCCCGGCCAACCCGUCCAGCGCCAGAGCGAGGGAACGGGCUCAGACCAGGCCCCGAGUGGGCGCAUUGUCUGCCGCUUCAGACCUGAGUGAGCCCCCAGGCAGCCGAGGAUUGUGGUUGGCAGGUAAUCCAUUUUACUUGAUGGCAUUAGAGUUCGUGCUUUAAUGUUGAUACUCGGUGCAUCGCAUUCAUUUUAAGAUAUGGUCUUUUGCCGAGUUGCAAGGCACCCUUUGGUUCCUUUGUCGCAUACGGGAGCAUGUCGUAUGUACCGACCACAUCUGUGGACAUUAGAGAGUAUAGCCCCAGUUGCCCUAAUUUCGGGCUAGGAGACUGGAUUUAUCGCCUAUAGAUUUGCCUAGGCUUGCGCAAGCUUGGGAAUUUUUGAUUGUGGUCUUGGGCAAUGGAUUGGUUGACCAAGUAGUUACUGCCACGAUUGAUUGCAAGAAUCGCGACCGGUUACUUUUAGAGAACCCUGGGGCCAGAGACCGAGGUGGUAUUUUGUGGAUGCCGAAGUUCGCUGUUUGCGAUGACGAUCAGCUCGUCUCGAGCUAGGCAGGCUGAUCAGUAGAGNNNNNNNNNNNNNNNNNNNNNNNNNNNNNNNNNNNNNNNNNNNNNNNNNNNNNNNNNNNNNNNNNNNNNNNNNNNNNNNNNNNNNNNNNNNNNNNNNNNNAACAGAAAGAGAAUAGAUAAGAGGGGCCGCGUGAGUACUAUCUAUUUAACUACCCCGCUUAUGUUCUUAUUGUGUGUGCAGUUGUUUACCUGCUUCAUGAAAUGCAUCGUUCACUAGGUCCGCACAUCGUAUAGAAUAAGUGGCUGUCAGUGGACAAUAUGAUCAAGCGAUACAUUGCGUCUGUAGUGUAAUAAGUAAACGGUUACUUCAUUAUAAUUGCGAUUACCGCCAUUCUCUGUAAUUUACAUACAGUAACGUGAAGCAACUAUGCACUUACUAUGAUCAUGAACACCCCACACAUGCAUAUAAAGGUCCAAACUUGCAUCGAUUGGUAACCUACCCUCAAAGUCACUCAACUCGUAAUUCCGUUAACGAUCAUCAUUUGUGUUACGCUCCAUUUAGUCUAAGCUCACUUUUUAAUACUUUACUCAUUUCAUGACAUGUUCUGCUUCACCACCGCCAAGCUUCGCAAUCAUUAUAAUACCCAUCCACCUCAGGCUGUGGUCUUUUCGCUGUUGUUGAUGCUCGCCGUGUAGUAACCAUCUCCACUCUAGGAUAGCUUCCCCACGCACUCCUACUUCGGUCAUCCCCCCCAACUUGCCGUGCCCGGCCCGACGCAAUUCAUGUCGUCCCUGUGAUUGGUCUAUCUUCGGAUGCGCUGUAGGGACUUGAUCUUUCCACUUAUAUCAUUUCGUGGCACCAUCAGCACAGGCACCUCAACCCCAACCACUUUGAUUCCGCCUCAGGAUUAUCAUAGUUCUUGCCUAUGUCUAUAUCAAUGCAUGGAAAUAUUAAUGAUAUUCUAAUGUCGUCUUUUUCUUAUUGUAUCAUGUUCUCUAACAUCUGGGAAGUGCAGAUAUUUUUACGUGGUCAUAUUCAACUUAUGUCUUUUAUCGUCAUUUUUUUAGUUUAUAGUUCAAUGAUUCUUUUGAUGACAUUCGUUCCUGUUUUUCUAUCGCUCAAUUGUAUUAUGGCCAACUAUAUUUUUCCAUAGUUAAAUGUUCAUCUAUUCAAUUCUCAUUUAAGAGUUCUACUUCACUGAUUUGCUUAAAGUAACACUGUUCUUCGUUUAUGGCAUGGCGUUCAUAGCUGGAUUUAUAUUCUCUACCUUAUAUUAGUGAAAAUUGUUGUUCAUAAUAUACAAGGCAUGAUUUUAAGGUGCUCUAUAUAAGUUUAUAUAAAUCUAUUUGUACAUAGCAUGAAACUCUUAAAAUAUUUUUAACAAAAGUAGAUAAGAGCAAUAGGGGGCCAUUUCGCGUUAGCCUCGCCAUUUCUACAAGCCAAAUCCUCACCUUGAUGAACGAAAACUCCGCGUGCUGUUUCGGCUCACCAUGAGGCCGUGUCCCUCUAGCUCGCUAGUACCUCUAGAGGUAUAUUUGAAACAGUUCAUAACGAGCAAACCUAUCAAACACCUACUCAAUCAUUAGUCUAAAUAAGCAAGGUUGAGGAAAACUCAUUUCCCGCUAAGCUUGGCAAAAAUCCUCUAUAAGCUUCCAAAAGGCUUGAGCCCUCGCAAUCCAGACUAAAGUAGCUCAAUCACUCAUAGAGCUUCAAAAACCCUAGAUUCAAAAUCUGCCAAUUUAAAGCCUAAAACCUCAUUCUAUGUUUCUAUCACAAGAGCUCAAUAUAAAUUAAUUUAGAUGAAAGAUUGAGCUACUGAACCUUUAAGAUGCUUCAAACAAGCUCAAAAUGCUUAAGUUCCAAAGAGCUGAGCUCAAUCGGCGCUCAAAAACCAAGCCUAGCUAAACAAUGGUGAGAGAGCCAUAAAAGGAGAAAAGGAAAGAUAAUCCUCUCAAAAAUCCAUCUAAAUGGAGAUAAUAUCCAAGCUGGAGCAAGGGGCUCUCACUUCUCGCUCUCUUGGUUCAACACAAAAAAGCGCCUAAGGGGAGGUGGGUUGCUGUAAAACAGCCAAAUGCGAAAACCCCUGCAUAUUGCUUUGGCAACUGCCCCUGGUACCGGACACGUGCUCCUGACGGUAGAACCCACAAUAUGCAAACCCGAGCUCGGUUCGCGGGCUGCGGUUCUGUAACCGUCAGCCCUGGCAUGUAACCUGGUACAACUAUUCAACUUGACCGUACAAGGACAUUCUUGUGUCGGAUCAAUCUUGGCUGGCACGGCUACAGAGUGACCAAAAAUUCAUUUGGGAUUGCGUCGAAGUUCAAUCCAACAUCCUCGGAUCGUGCCAGGGUUGGAACAAUCAAUCAACUACCUCCAAAAAACAGUGGCAAAGGUCCAAACACAGAUAAACAUCUUGAAUCUGGGCAUUUGCAAGAUCCAUGCAUUACAUUCGCUCUAAUAAAGGAUUCGUCCGCUGGAACUCAAAGUGCGACUGUACCUCAGACGGGGCCCGUGGAAAAAAGAUGGAUAGCGCUCUUGCAGUCGAACUCUCUAUCCCACGGUUGCCUCGCGCGUCCGCGUGUUGCCGUUCCAAAGAAGCCUUCAGAUAGGAGAAUAGGUCGCGAUUCGCAGGCUUCUUUACUUUCGCGAGCGUAAUAAGUUUUCCAGGUUGCUCCUCGAGUCAAUGGCCGCGGACUCCACGUGGUAUAUUCACAAGACGUGAAGUGAUCAUGAUUACUUACCGAAGGCACCCGAUACUAUAAAAGACUGUGCAGGCCGGAUAGGUUUCAGUGGGUAAGCAAGUCGAUAUCCUACCGACUAACAGCCCAACGAUCUCAUACGGUCCCGAAUAAACGGGGGCUGUCACUUUCCCCGUCCCAAUUCUUUGAUCUCUAUCCGAGACUUCAAAAAUGUCAACUUGAACCAAGCUCGCCGUGUCGUCGGCUGUCUGCUCCUUCUGUGCCUACUCUGGUCUGUCAAAAUCGGUACCCGAGCGAUUUCGAACCUUGUCCUCCAGCUUCGCUGGAUCUACAUUAGGGCCAAGAAGCAAGUCUUCCUCGACUUCAUCCAAUAGAAGUGGCGAAUCAUACAUUUCGGUCGUAAAGGGCUUCGAAGGGCGCGCCAUUUGAUUUGCUUAUUAACUGUUGUUAUAUACAAACCGAUUAUUGUAGAUGCUAGCGAUACAUGCCCUGGAAGUCUAAUGACCAGCUCGGAGCAUAUCCUCUAAGGGAAUAGUGCCUCCGACUGUCCAUCACUCUGCGGUGAAUGCUGGUACGAUCCAAUUCGGGUGCCUAAGCGUCCUGUAGGCUCCUCCAAAGUGAAGCACGAAGCGCGUGUGUCGAUCAGAUACAAUCGAUGUAGGCAUCCAUGAAAUGCGGCAAUCUCAUAAGGUAACCUGUGCGAAGCUCUCUCGCGGUCCAAUACAGGUUAUGAAUAGGUAAUGAAAGUGCGCCGACUUCGUACAUAUCAAGAUCACCGCAAAUACAUCGAUGCCCGACUGGAGGAGAAAUCCUGUACGAUUCCAUGUGAUUUCUCCACUUCACACUGGAAUUGGCCAAAUCUCUAAGCAUCCACCGCGAACCGUGCUGCUGCUUACUUUGUUGGCAAGUUAGACAACGAGCCACAAACUCGCAAACGUCCUUUUUAUCCGGCCCAAUAAGCAACUUUAGAUCCUUGUAAUCUGGGUCCCGGAUGUAUAGCUAGGGCGGCCCACGUGCGCCUUGUUGAAGAUAUCUUUUUAAUUCCGAAUCCCCGACACAUAGUCGUCUGAAAGCGAUCACCCUCGUCGUCACCAGGAAUCACACGGAUGCCACAUAAAACUCAUUUUUCUCUACAUCUUUUGGCAAUUCCAAUCAGAAACAUGCUAUCCUUGAUUCGUCCAACAAGGUAGGUAUUGCACUAACUAAUGUCAAUCACGCUCAAAGGGUGUAACAGAGGUCACUAUCUUCUCCAACACCAACCGCUUCAUCUGCUAUCAACUGCGGUUGAGUCACAACAUGCAUUCGUAAUUUUCCAGUCGAUUUUUACUAGGCAUGAUCCGCCACCCGCUCACUUACCUUGCCCGGGUGUAAAGAAUAGUCAGAUCAUCAUCCUUGAGUAGCUCCAACCACUGCGCUGCCUCAAGUUCAACUGAUACGAAUAUGAGGGAGACGCAACUAUUCUGAGUAAUCAGUAGGUACUGUUUUAGCUCUUGUGAUCCGUGUAUAAUUCGCGUCGCUCAUAAAGGUAGUGGCGCCAGCUUCAAUGCGAAACUAGGCCGCGCAACUUCCAAUCAUGCGUCGGGUAGUUCUUCUCAUAUUCCUUAGUUGGGAAAACCAUCGCGAUCACACUGCCAUCCUGCACUCAAUACACAGCCAGUUCGUAAGUGAAGCAUCACUAUAAACCAACAUACCCUGCUCACAGCUAUGGUAGGCAAGAUCGUGGCCAUCUCAGUCUCUGCUCUCAACUCUUGGAAGCUUCAUCUCGCAAGGCAUCAAUUCAAAUGAAACUUGACCUUUGUGGCUUGAAGCCCGUGGGGGAAUUAGAAUAACCUUGCACAUCUUCAACGAAUCUCCGAGAUAACCGGCAAUCCAAGGAAAGGAUCCGUAUCUCCGUGAGUCGCGUCCGCAAUCCUUGAAUUUCUGUCAUAUUUUCUGGGAUCCACUGCAUAAUCCUGAUCCUGAAAUCAAGUGUCCAAGGAAGACUUACUCUCGAUAGCCAAAAAUUACACAUUUCUUCAACUUGUAUAAACUCCUUUUCUCGAAGUACUUGUAGCAGAGGGUACAGAUCUCAAAUGCUCCUCGUGAUUCACAUCACAUUCGUGAGUAACCAAAUGUCGCGAUGAACACCUACAGAACCUGUCUAAUUAAGCUUAAAACACGUCAUCAGAUCCAUAAAAGCUGCCGGGGCAUUAGUGAGCCGAACGCAUACGUGAACUCGUAAUGUCAUACCUGUGUUCUGAAAGCGUCUUUGAUACUCUCGGCUGAUUUCAAGCUGGUGGAUCCGACUGCAAGUCGAUCUUGGAAUACACACAUGAUCCCUGAAGCUGAUCAAACAAGUCGUCGAUCCUUGGCAACGGAUACUUGUUCUUGAUCGUGACUUUGUUAAGUUCACGAUAAUCCACACAAAGGCGAAGUGACCCGUCCUUCUUCUUGACGAACAAAACGGGUGCUCCCUAAGGUGAAACGCUCGGUCGAAUGAAUCCUUUGUCCAACAAAUCCUGCAGCUGUGCCCUCAGCUCCCUCAGCUCUGCCGGUGCCAUCCUAUAGGGUGCUUUUGAGAUUCGGGUAGUCCCAGGGACGAGAUCUAUCACAAACUCAAUCUCCUUAUCAGGAGGCAUACCUGGUAGCUCGGCUGGAAACACAUCCUGAAACUUGAAGGCAUGCACCAAUCUGAAAACUCCGAGCCGUAGACCUCGAACAAAACAAUCCGCCCGGUCCUGCUCUGUCGCCGCCACGUCCGGGACGCAGCUCAGGAGAUGGGUGAACUCCCGCUCGUACUCCCGAACCGUGCGGUUGCCUUGCUUAAGCUUGCGAAAAUCUUCUCGCAUCUUCCUCUUAUCACUGUCGGGGAAGUACUCGGCGAACAUCAGUUUGCGGAACUCCGCCCAAUCGAUCGGGGGAAGCUCCGGGGAUCGGUCCUGCUUGACCCUCCUCCACCAAGUCCUGGCCCGCUUCUCGAAGCAAUGCGCGGCCAAGUUCACCUUGUCCUUUUCCAAGGUGAAGAUGUCCUCAAAUAGAGUCUCCAUAGCCGUCAGCCAAGACUCCACCGCAGCUGGGUCCACCACCUCUCCGUCGAAAGUAGGCGGGCGAAACUUCGUGAACCUCGUGAGCGCCACGUAGCCGCGCUCACGCUCCGCCUCCUCAGCCACUACCGCGGGUGUAGGAGAACUCGAACUCGCCGGAGGAAUAUCCACCGGUGGGGGUUGCGCCACCACCGGAACCGAUACGCCACCCACACCCUCGGCCGCAUCAGGAGCGCGAACCGAAGGCGCAGGCGAACAGCGGCCUGGAUCCGCUGCCGCAGCCGCCGCCGCAGCUUGCUGCUCCAGCAGCUCCUGAAUCCUAUCGAACCGUCCAGUGAGCGCUGCAACUUGCGCUCGCAACUCCUGCACCUCAGUAGGCUCAGCUGACACUGGCGUCACUGGAGGCACGGCUGGCUCGGGCACCUCUCGAGGUGGUGCCGGAGCGGUCCUACGCACGUAGCGUCUCUUUGGUGCCAUAGCUCCUGAAACGCAAACAGAUGGUCAAUUACUUAACCCAACAUCGUCGUCGUAAUUGCGAAACAUAACGAUUAAACAACAUCAAUCAGGCGGUAGCUUGCAAGUGUCUUAAUUCUCGACUUUCGGCAUCGUGUUGUCGGCCGCCAACACAAUCACCUCAAGCCAAAAAUUAAUACCACUUGAAUCAUCUCUAGUCAUAACUAGAGUAACAACUCCAACGCCAAACCCAAUCAAUUAGCUUCCGCCGCGUCAUAGGUUCACGUCGCACUCACGCACCUAUAACCUUAGGGUUGCCAACCUAGAGUCUCCUAGGUCAUCCUAGACUCUCUCUUUUGCUUGCUCUUAACUCGCUCUGAUACCACCAACUGUCACGCCCCAGACCGCACCACCCGAAAACGGUACCAAUUUGGUCCGGUUCGAGGGCGGCGGCGCGACCGCCGAACGAACGGAGUUUCCCCCGUCCGCCCAAGGCUAAGCAACAGAUUGUGUACAACAAGUCCACAGAAAAAAUAACUUGCACUCAUACACAAUCCGCAACGAAACGAGAGCACAAACAGUGCUACAACCAACUAGAGCAAGCGAUACAAGUAAAACCAUACAAGUAUACAAAAGAGAGAAACUUAGCUAAUUGAGACUUAAUUGAAAUAUUAAACCUCUUUCGAUAUCCUUUAAACUUUAAGCAUUUAAUACAACUUGCAUUCUUUUUCCAGAUGAAUAUACAUCAUAAACUCUCCAAAACCUCACCCUAUACAACAUCUACUCUCAUAAUGUAACAAAAGUACAGGGUAGAGCUAAUGCAAGUAGGAAAGGUAAAGCUAUCAACCAAACAGCUAGGGCGCUAAGCCCUUGCCGCGAUCCAUCGAUGAAGGCCCGCUGUCCUGUGUACCUGUACCCCCAAUACCACACGGGGGUGAGAACUACGAAUAGUUCCCAGUGGGUUCGGCCGCCGACUCCGCCGAUCUACCCACUAUUGCACUCAGCAGGCAUAGGAGAUAUAUAUUAUGGCUAAUAUUAAAUAUAAACUGCAGCUAACGGAAAGCAGGUAUGUAAACACACUAUAGUCAACUAUCGCCAUUGGAAUCAUGAAUGCAUAUAUAAAUAAGCUGGUAAGUAGCAACUAUCAUAGUAGUUUAUCUUGACAACAUGCUACUAGUAAGCAAAUCAGCUGAUAUGAAAAAAGAUGCUACUAUGAACUCAAUCAUGGGGUAAGACUCAAUAGGUAACAAUCUCGCAAGGAAGCACAAGGUCCAAGCAAGAUCACUAUGCAAUCUCCGAGGGUACUAGCUGGUCAAUGCCCCGAUACGCUGCGAUAACAAGCGGCUAUCCGAGGCAGCAGCAGGCUGGCCUGCUAGUGCAAACUCCGGAGCCGACAACUUGAGGGGAGCGACCCCACCAAGCGCAGACAGCAAGUGAGCAAGAUCAUCUCACGAGCACAACAACAACCCUUUGAGGGUAAUAUUCAUCAUGGAAGACGGUAUAACUUGUACCAAUCUCAUUAGUGUCUCAACGACACUAAUGUUCUAAUAUCAAGAUCAUCAAAACAUAGUCCACCCGUCAUAGUUUUCUAGUAGAUGCAACUCGUCAUUUGACUCAUUUUUCAACACUAGUAACAACUAUCCUUUUGCAACAUAAGUCAUUUGUCAAUCUCAUAUAGGUUAAGAUUUUCAUCAAGCAAUCAUCAUGCAUACUAGAUCAUAAACCAACCAAGCAAGAUAUAUUUAUUGAACUACUAGCAUGCAAGUAUAAGCAACAAUAAUCAUUUUCCUAACCCUAUAUGUACUAUGCAUAAUGAAUCAAUUUAACUUAGACAUAGAAGGUGGCCCGAUGACUUCGGGAUGGCACUCCCCCACCUUAGGUGAUGCCAACAACACUCCGAGACGUGUUCUCGUGCUAGUCUUGUCGCCGCUUAAUUUUCGUUGGGUUAACUUCAACCCUUUAGCGCAUCAAAUGGCGAUAUCUUCGUGCCCACUCGUCGGAUCGACGAACCGUCUUCGCCUACGCGUUUAUAAGCAUAGAAAUUAGGUUUCUAACCCCUCAAAAGAGAUCAAACCCUAAUAUUUGCAAAAUCCCCAAAAUCAAGCACUAGGUUGAGCAACAAUAGAGAAUUCAUGGUUUCAAGCUCCAAAUUUGGGAUUGAACCUUCUCUUAAGCUUCAAUGGUUUCCCUUUGAACCAUUCUUAAGCAACAAAACCCUUUUUAAAACCUAGGUUUAGCAACAAUGAGAAAAACCAUAGGUGCUAGCCUCAAUGUGAGCUAGAUCCGUCAUCUCUAAGCUCAUUAGGUUCCAUUUGAACCAAUAAAAGCAACAAAACCACCCAAACCCUAGAAAUCCAAAACUAGGGUUAGAGCUUACCUCUAGGGUUUGUUCCAAAAUAAGCUUUAGCUUGAUGGAGAGGAGGGAGAAGAGCUUCUUGAUCUUCUCCUUGAUCUUCUCCUUCCUUUCUCUCCUUCUCUUCUUCUUCUUUCUUCCUCUUUUCUUCUUCUCCUUCCUUUCUCCUUCAACCGGUUAGAGAGAGAGAGGGAGCUAGAGAGAGGGAGGGGCUGUGAGAGAGAGAGAGGAGAUAGCUGAGAGUGAGAGGGUUAAGUCCUCUAUUGUAACAAUAUGCUAAAAAGCCCUCCAUUUAUCAAAUUUUGCAACUUAACCCGCUGCCUGCGCGCCCUUGUACCGGUACACGGUUUUUUUGUACCGGUACAAGCCCUGCGCGAUGGCCAAAACCGAGCGCAAACCGAGCCUCGGGUUUCUCUGUUUCGUAGAGCUUGUACCGGUACAAGCGAGCCUUGUACCGGUACAGCGCCUGAAGCCUUCGAACCCGAGAGCUGCGCAGCCCGGCUGCGAUGGUUGUACCGGCACAGCCAUCACCCUUGUACCGGUACAACAGCCCCUGAAUGCUGUUUUUCGAUCUGUUUCGAUUCCUUUUCGCGUCCAACAACGCUAAAACUAUUCCAACAUCUUUGGAACUUAUUUUUACUCUUCCAAAUUUGUUGGAACACCGAAUGGAACUUGUUCCAACCGUGCAAUCACCUACUUUGGUCCAUUUGGCCAAAGUUAGCCAAUAUCGUCGAAAUUCGAUAUCUUACACCUCAACCAAAGUAGGAAAAGCGGCUCCAACCGGAGGCCUCUGCACAGGUGGUGCCGCCAAAACCUCCUCCUGGGGUACGGCUGCAGGCGCCGCACGCGAAGAACUGAGCGCGGGGGACGGCGCUCUCGGUGCAACGUCCACAACUGGUGAUGGCGGUGUAGGGGCCUGAGUCUCCCUGGAGGCUGCCGCCUGCUGCAAUAGUAGAUCCUCCAGACGCUUCAUCCGCGUCUCCUGUCGGCGCGCCGCCUCAGUCUGCUGUCGGGCCGCCUCCGCCUGCUGAGUGACCAAAUCACUGAGGGCCGCAAGCUGGCCCCUCAACUCACGGACCUCGCUGGAUCCGGAGGUAGCGGAGGUCUCAACCUCCUCGAAGUUUGCCGCAUCGUCCGCCCCGGCAGAUUGGGAGCGAAUAAUCGGCAUCGUCACUACAACACCAUAAAAGCGCAAGUUAGUAAGAACCCACGCUAUCGCAUCCCCGCUCAAAUAAACAAUACCCAAAUCAUGUGAAAGUAAAGAAGUGUUCUUCACUACUAACUCCCGAUGUUACGUUGUCGGCCGCCAACGUAACCCUCCGCGAAGUUAGGAGCCAAACACUCCAAUCAACUCUAACUUUUUAGAGUUAUCAUAAUACCCAAUCAUGAUACUUUCGCUCACAAGUCGAAUAGACCUCGUCUCUCACGAGCCUAUUUCCUAUAGUCCAACCGGCCUAAGGUUUGCUAGGUCCCCUAAGACUCAACCCUAGGCUCUGAUACCAAAUUAAUCUGUCACGCCCCGGGACCCAGCGGAAGCCCGCCCGGCACGUGCCCAGACCCGCCAUACGUCUAAAACAUAUAAGGCGUCUAAAAACAACAAUAAUAAAAGCAAUAAUAAAAGACAUCUAGGAGUAUCAGAGCAUAAUAAAUGUCUAAAAGCUACAACAAAGGAUAAAGAUAAAACUGUAAAUCCACUAAAUAAAACAUAAAGUGAUACAAGGAAAUCCCAGAUACAAGUGCUAUAGGUAGAUACAUAGGUGGUCUCUAUACAUGGAUACAAAAACCUCUCACUCUCUCAACUACAAAAAGAAAGAGUAAACCACCUAGGCAAAGUACCGCUCCUCGCUAGCUAGCUAAGCGAUCCCCUUGCCGCGAUCCCGUGCCUCCGCCGGUGCCGAAGGCUCUGAAAAGUAAACCAGAAAACAGGGGCGUGAGAACUAUUAAAAAUAGUUCCCAGUGGGCAAUUACUGACUUCAGUGAACUGCGCCACAAGGCCCAAAAGCUACAAAAAGAUGUCAGUGACAAACAAUAAGGUAAAGCGAAAGGUAAGUAAAAUGUAACUUACUGUAACAUACAGUCUCUACUUAGCAUGAAUUGCAUAUGUAAUAGAGCAACAUUAUCAUGAAUGUACAUGGGUGUGUAUGACAUGCAUAAGCAUAGAAAUGCAACUAAUCCGAUGUCCUCAAUGCAGAAAUAGCAAAGGUGUCAUUGUUUACUAUUCUAGUCCAAGUCCACUUUAAUAGUUUUAAAGUUCACAUAGCACGUUCUGUCACUAAGUCCCAAUCAUAUAAGACCCACCCGAAGGCUGUCUGGCCUGCGCCGUGCCUAAUGGCCCCGUGGUAGUCAACAUCCCCACUCUAGGGAUGAGCCUCCCCCACGGCAAUCCACUUCGGCGCCCAAUCCCGCACGGGCGAGCAUAUGUCGCGAUGGCUAUCUCCGGAGUGCCGGCUUGUAGGGAGCGACCCUCACAAGCAUGUGCGAAUGAGCACAAUGGCAAGCAAGCAAUGAUCCGUCUCAAGAACCAAGUCCUCAUGUCUAACAACAUGGAAUAUAUCAAGUAUCUAAAUGGCCUAUCUCUAUGUCAUCAUGUCUCUAACAUGGAAUGUAGCAGAUAUGUAGUGGCCUAUCAACAUGUCUUUAUGUUGCAGUUUAAUAGUUUACUAGUUUCAAGUGCCCCUUGAUGACACUCUUGUUUUUCUAUGUCAAAGCAUGGCAACUAUAUUUCCAAGUACAUGUUCCAAGUCACGAUCCUCAUAAGAGGUGUACUUUUCACUUGCAAAAUGAACACCUUUCCCGUAUGCAUGCGUUCUACUCAUAUAGCUCUACUAUAUAGUGAAAUUUUUUUCAUAAUACACAAGGCAUGCAAUUUAAGUGCUCUAAAAUUUAUAUAAAUUCUAUUUAGCAUAGGCAUGAACUUAAAAAUAUUUUACAACAAGUAGAAAGAGCAUAGGGGCCAUUUCGCCCCCAUUUCCACGAAGCCAAACCCACCGAUGACAACGAAACUCCUCGUUCGCUCCCACGAGGGUGUCCUCUAGUCUCCUAGUACCCUAGAGGUAUAGAAACAUGUGUCAUACGAGCCAAACGAUCAAAACCUAGCUCAAUCAUUAAGCUAAUCAAGCAUAGGUGAGGAAAACUCACCGCUAGUGCAAAAAUCUCCUCUAAAGCUCCAAAAGAGAGCUUGAGCCCUUCCAAUCCCACCAAAUGGAAGCCUCUAAUCCACUCAAUCUAGCUUCAAAAACCCUAGAUUCAAAAUGCCCAAUUUAAGCCCUAAAACCUCAUUCUAUGGUUUCAUCACAAGGAAGCCAAUAAAAAUCUAAUUUAGAGGAAGAGGAUGAGCUACUAACCUUUAAGAAGCUUCAAACCAAGCUCAAAAUGCUCUAAGUCCAAAGAGCUCAGCUCAAUCAAGCCUCAAACCCAAGCUUCUAGCUCCAACAAUGGUGGAGAAGCAUAAAAGAGAAAAGGAAAAGGAUUAAUCCACCAAAAAUCCAUCUAAAAUGGAGAUCAAAUCCAAGUGGAGCAAGGUGGAGCUCCUCUCACCUUCUCCUCCUCUGGUUCCAGCACAAAAAAAGCCCUAAGGGGCGUGGGUGCUGUUAUAAAAAGCCCACAAUUGCGAAAAACCCCCUGCAGUUCCAUUCUGGGCAAACCUGCCCCCUUGUACCGGUACACGGGCUCCUGUACCGGUACAAAGCCCACGAAAAUGCAAACCCGAGGCUCGGGUCGCGGGGUCUGCGGCUCUGUACCGGUACAAGCCCGAUGGCUGUACCGGUACAACCAUCAACCUUGUACCGGUACAAGACCAUUCUUGUUCCGGUACAAGCUCUGCUGCAGGCUACCCGAGAGCUGACCAAAAAUUCCAGUUUCGGGAUUUUCGUGCCAAGUCUCAAUCCAACAUCCUCGGGAUGCGUGCCAGGGGUCGGAACACUAUCAACAACCCUCCAAAAACAGUGGAAAGGCUCCAAACACAGAUCAAACACUCGAAUCUUGCGAUUUGCAAGAUCCAGUGCAUUACAUUCACCCCUUCUAAAAAGGAGUUUCGUCCGCGAAACUCAAAAUGCGACGUACCUCAAGACUCCACCUGAAAAAGAUGGGGAUAGCGCUCCUGCAGCGCACUCUCUAGCUCCCACGUGGCCUCGCGCUCCGCGUGGUUGCCCCAAAGAACCUUCACAUACGGAAUAUCCCGAUUCCGCAGCUUCUUUACUUCGCGAGCUAAAAUCUUCACAGGUUGCUCCUCGAAGCUCAAAUCCUCGCGCAGCUCCACUGGUAUAGUCUCCAAGACGUGAGCUGGAUCAUGAAUGUACUUCCGAAGGACCGAUACAUAAAAGACGUCGUGCACGCCGGAUAGGUUCGGUGGUAGAGCAAGUCGAUACGCUACCGGACCUACACGCUCCAAGAUCUCAUACGGUCCAAUGAAACGGGGGCUCAACUUUCCCCGAAUCCCGAAUCUUUUGAUUCCUCUAGUCGGCGAGACCUUCAAGAAAACAUGGUCUCCAACUUGGAACUCCAAGUCUCGCCGUCGUCGGUCGGCGUCGCUCCUCUGUCUACUCUGCGCUGUCAAAAGUCGCUCCCGAGCGAUUCGAACCUUGUCCUCAGCUUCCUGGAUUACAUUAGGGCCCAAAGCAAGUCUCUCGCCGACUUCACUCCAAUGAAGUGGCGAUCUACACUUCCGUCCGUAAAGGGCUUCGAAGGGCGCCAUCUUGAUGCUUGCUUAAUAACUGUUGUUAUAAGCAAACUCCGCCAUAGGUAGAUGCUGCGACCAUCCUCCCUGGAAGUCUAUCACGCAUGCUCGGAGCAUAUCCUCUAAGGUCUGAAUAGUGCGCUCCGACUGUCCAUCACUCUGCGGGUGGAAUGCUGUACUGAAAUCCACAAUGCGGGUGCCUAAAGGCUGUCCCCUGUUAGGCCUCCUGUCCAAAAUUGAGACACGAAGCGCGUGUGCGCGUAUCAGAUACAAAUCGAUGUAGGCAACUUCCAUGGAAAAUCCGCAUAGAAAUUCUCAUCAACGGUUAAACAUCUUGAUGCGAGCUUCUCUCUCCCCCGUCCACAAGUCGUAUGAAUAGGUAGAAGUGCCGCCGACUNNNNNNNNNNNNNNNNNNNNNNNNNNNNNNNNNNNNNNNNNNNNNNNNNNNNNNNNNNNNNNNNNNNNNNNNNNNNNNNNNNNNNNNNNNNNNNNNNNNNNNNNNNNNNNNNNNNNNNNNNNNNNNNNNNNNNNNNNNNNNNNNNNNNNNNNNNNNNNNNNNNNNNNNNNNNNNNNNNNNNNNNNNNNNNNNNNNNNNNNNNNNNNNNNNNNNNNNNNNNNNNNNNNNNNNNNNNNNNNNNNNNNNNNNNNNNNNNNNNNNNNNNNNNNNNNNNNNNNNNNNNNNNNNNNNNNNNNNNNNNNNNNNNNNNNNNNNNNNNNNNNNNNNNNNNNNNNNNNNNNNNNNNNNNNNNNNNNNNNNNNNNNNNNNNNNNNNNNNNNNNNNNNNNNNNNNNNNNNNNNNNNNNNNNNNNNNNNNNNNNNNNNNNNNNNNNNNNNNNNNNNNNNNNNNNNNNNNNNNNNNNNNNNNNNNNNNNNNNNNNNNNNNNNNNNNNNNNNNNNNNNNNNNNNNNNNNNNNNNNNNNNNNNNNNNNNNNNNNNNNNNNNNNNNNNNNNNNNNNNNNNNNNNNNNNNNNNNNNNNNNNNNNNNNNNNNNNNNNNNNNNNNNNNNNNNNNNNNNNNNNNNNNNNNNNNNNNNNNNNNNNNNNNNNNNNNNNNNNNNNNNNNNNNNNNNNNNNNNNNNNNNNNNNNNNNNNNNNNNNNNNNNNNNNNNNNNNNNNNNNNNNNNNNNNNNNNNNNNNNNNNNNNNNNNNNNNNNNNNNNNNNNNNNNNNNNNNNNNNNNNNNNNNNNNNNNNNNNNNNNNNNNNNNNNNNNNNNNNNNNNNNNNNNNNNNNNNNNNNNNNNNNNNNNNNNNNNNNNNNNNNNNNNNNNNNNNNNNNNNNNNNNNNNNNNNNNNNNNNNNNNNNNNNNNNNNNNNNNNNNNNNNNNNNNNNNNNNNNNNNNNNNNNNNNNNNNNNNNNNNNNNNNNNNNNNNNNNNNNNNNNNNNNNNNNNNNNNNNNNNNNNNNNNNNNNNNNNNNNNNNNNNNNNNNNNNNNNNNNNNNNNNNNNNNNNNNNCUCCGAGUGCGUGUUUCCUCAGUUCAAGUAAACCUUACUACGCACGCUCUCUUCGAAGGUUCUCAACUUCGUCUCUGACUGCUGGCGGGGCUAGAACUGGGAUGGUCAUCGACCUCGUCCCAUACACCAAAUAUCACUACGAAGUGAAUUGCCUGACCCGGUGAGGGGAGUAGAUAACCUUGCAAAUCCCUCAACGAAUCUCCGGUAGUAACCGGCCAAUCCAAGGAAGCUCCGUAUCUCCGUGACGCUCGUCGGUCCCGGCCAAUCCUUGAUUGCUUCAAUUUUCUUGGGAUCCACUGCUAUACCUGAUCCUGAAAUCAAGUGUCCAAGGAAGACUACCUCUCGAAGCCAAAAUUCACAUUUCUUCAACUUGGUAUAAAGCUCCUUUUCCCGAAGUACUUGGAGUACAAUCCUCAAAUGCUCCUCGUGAUCCACAUCACUCCGUGAGUAGACCAAAAUGUCGUCGAUGAACACCACGACGAACCUGUCUAGAUAAGGCUUAAAAACACGGUUCAUCAGAUCCAUAAAAGCUGCCGGGGCAUUAGUGAGCCCGAACGGCAUAACUGUGAACUCGUAAUGUCCAUACCGUGUUCUGAAAGCCGUCUUUGAUACGUCCUCGGGCUUGAUCUUCAACUGGUGGUAUCCCGACUGCAAGUCGAUCUUGGAAUACACACAUGAUCCCUGAAGCUGAUCAAACAAGUCGUCGAUCCUUGGCAACGGAUACUUGUUCUUGAUCGUGACUUUAUUAAGUUCACGAUAAUCCACGCAAAGGCGAAGUGAUCCGUCUUUCUUCUUGACGAACAAAACUGGUGCUCCCCAAGGUGAAACGCUCGGUCGAAUGAAGCCUUUGUCUAACUGUAGCACACUGGAUCUUUGCAAAUUGCGAGGUUCGAGUGUUCGAUUGGUAUUCCGAACUUUUCCACACUUGGUGGAGGGCCGUUGAUGGUAUACCGGCCUAAAAGUUCGAUCUCGAGAGUUUUGGCAGAGUCCUGAGAGUUUUUACUCUCGGGGUCCGGUCCCUGAUAGGAGAGACCGGUCCCCCAGUGAACAGUACCGCGCAGCAGGCGAGGCAACCGGUCCUUGGCAGUUGAGACCGGUCCCCGAGCCCGUCUGCGCGGGGAGAGACCGGUCCCGCGCAGGGAGAGACCGGUUCCCGAACGCUGGUUUUUCGGGUUCGCAGCGAGAGACCGGUCCCUGCUGGGGAGAGACCGGUCCCUCUGGGCGAAAACUGCCCAGUCCGGGCUGAUGUAAAUUUGAGUUUUUGAGGGGCCUAUGUGGAUUUUGUUACUUUAGAGGCUAUAGGCAGCCUCUCCUCCCCUCUCACUCUCAUUUUCUCUCCCUCACACUCUUCCUACACUUCUAGAGAGAGAAAGGGAAGGAGAAGAAGGAGAAGAAGAGGAGAAGGAGCUUGCAUAGAGGCCUUGGGGCAUCAUCUUCUUCCUCAUUUUCCACCUUUGGAGGCUUGGAGCAUGCGGUUGGAGCCUUGUGGAGGAUCAAACUCCAACCCUACUUGGUUUUGAGCUUGGAUUGGGGCUUCUCUUGAGGUUGGUAGCUUAUAAUCCCCAUUUGAUACUUGUUUUCCUAGGUUUUUCUAGAUGAAACCCUAGAUUUUGGGAUUUAGGGUUUAUUUUGGGGGUUUUUGGAUUUGAGGGUUAUGAGACCUAAUUGAUGGGUUUGGAACCUUUAUAUAGGUUAGAUUGGAAGACCUCUACCUUCCAUUUGAGGAUUUAGAGAGGGUUUUCCACUUGAGGUGAGUUUCUCCCAACCCUAGCUUGAGUUGGGUAAUGUUUGAGCUAUUCGCUCUCCGUUUCGUUCGGGUGACCCUAUUUUUGAUGUUUCUAGGGUACUAGGGAGCUCGUGGAUAUCUUCGUUCGGCGAAACGAAGAAGUCGAUCUUUUUCGGUGGGUUUGACUUCAUGAAAAUGGGGCAAAAUGGCCCCUAUGCCUUCUAAACUUUUUGUAAAGUAUUUUCGAAUGCAAAUUCAUGCUAAACAUGAUUUAUAUGAAUUUUAGAACACCUAAUUUGCACGCUUCAUGUAUCGUAAAAAUUGUACUCCAUAUAGUAGAGCUAUAUGCGUAGAUUGCAUGCAUUGUGGAUAGUGCUUGGUUUUGCAAGUUGAGAACAUGACUCCAUGCUUGAAUUGAGUGAACUAUGCAUCAUGANUGGCCCCUAUGCCUUCUAACCCUUUUGUAAAGUAAUUGUGAAUGUAAAUUCAUGCUAAACAUGAUUUAUAUGAAUUUUAGAACACUUAACAUGCAUGCCUCAUGUAUCGUAAAAUUUGUACUCCAUAUAGUAGAGCUAUAUGUGUAGAUUGCAUGCAUUGUGGAUAGGGCUUGGUUUGCAAGUUGAGAACAUGUCUCCAUGCUAGAAUUGAGUGAACUAUGCAUCAUGAACAUAUUAAUACCAUGCCUUGGACUCGUUGAACAAAGUGUCAUAAAGAGGCACUUAGAAAUAGUAAACUAUGCAAAUGCAACUUAGAGACAUGAUGAUCGGCCAUUGUACAUCUGCUAUAUAUUUCAUGUUAUUAGACAUGAGGACUUGGUACUUGCGACAGAUCGUUUGACUACCUGCCAUUGUGCUCAUUCGCACAUGCUUGUGAGGGUCGCUCCCUACAAGCCGGCACUCCGGAGAUGGCCAUCGCGAUACAUAUUCGCCGUGCGGGAUUGGGCGCCGAAGUGGAUUGCCGUGGGCCAGGCUCAUUCCAAGGGUGGGGAUGAUGACUACCACGGGGCCAUUAGGCUCGGCACCGGCCAGACAGCCUACGGGUGGGUCUCAGGGCCUUAGACAGCCUUCGGGUGGGUCUCUUCAGAUUUGACUUCGAGUAUUCAUGACGACUUAGAGUAUUACUUGGACAUUGACUAGAAUAGUAAAUAUCGGCAUUGUACUAUUUCGCAUUGUGAACAUUAUGUUAGUUGGAGACUAUUACUUCAUGCAUAGUUGCUUUCGUACUCAUGCUAUUUAUGCUAAGUGGAGACUUUAUGCUAUAGUAAGUUAUAUUUUACUUACCGUCUAAUUAUUACAUUGUUAGACGCUGACCUCUUCUUGUAGCUUUUGGGCCUUGUGGCGCAGUUCACUGAAGUCAGUAAUUGCCCACUGGGAACUAUUUUUAAUAGUUCUCACGCCCCUGUUUCUAUGUUCCCUUUUCAGAGCCUUCGGCACCGGCGGAGGCACGGGGUCGCGGCAAGGGUGUCGCGUAGCUAGCCGGGAGAGUUUCUUUUGCGCUAGGUGGUCGCUUCUUCUCCAUUUUAUAUUUUGAGAGAGCGUGAGGCUUUUGGUUUCCAUGUAUAGAGAGACCACCUGUGUACCUACUUUUAGCACUUGUUAUGGGAUCCCUACGGUACUUACUUUAUGUUUUAUUUAGUGGAUUUACAGUUUUAACUUUAUCCCUUGUUGUAGCAAUUAGACAUUUACUAUGCUCUGAUACUCCUAGAUGUAUUGUAUUAUUGCUUUUAUUAUUGUUGCUUUUAGACGCCUUAUAUGUUGUAGACAUAUGGCGGGUCUGGGCACGCGCCGGGCGGGCUUCCGCUGGGUCCCGGGGCGUGACAGAUUAAUUUGGUAUCAGAUCCUAGGGUUGAGUCUUAGGGGACCUAGUAAACCUUAGGCCGGUUGAACUAUAGGAAAUAGGCUCGUGAGAGACGAGGUCUAUUCGACUUGUGAGCGAAAGUAUAAUGAUUGGGUAUUAUGAUAACUCUAAAAGGUUAGAGUUGAUUGGAGUGUUUGGCUUCUAACUUCGCGGAGGGUUACGUUGGCGGCCGACAACGUAACAUCGGGAGUUAGACGUGGAUAACACUUCCUUACUUUCGCAUGAUUUGGUUAUUGUCUUUUGAGUGGGGAUGCGAUAGCGUGAGUAUUUCUAACUUGCGCUUUUAUGUUUUGUAGUGACGAUGCCGAUUACUCGCUCCCAAUCUGCCGGGGCGGACAAUGCGGCAAACUUUGAGGAGGUCGAGACCUCCGCUACCUCCGGAUCCAGCGAGGUCCGUGAGUUGAGGGGCCAGCUUGCGGCCCUCACCGACUUGGUCACUCAGCAGGCAGAGGCGGCCCGACAGCAGACUGAGGCGGCGCGCCGACAGGAGGCGCGGAUGAAGCGUCUGGAGGACCUACUGUUGCAGCAGACGGCAGCUUCUAGGGAGACUCAGGGCCCUACGCCGCCGGCACCAGUUGUG